rnacentral:lncRNA from 1 species
UGUGCUCGGAACAAGAGUACCCAGAAAGCUCAAUGAGCUGCGCACAGAGGACUACAGCGGUGAACGACAGCGACCGAUUCUGUAAAAUUCAGUCAAGUUUUGGGUGAUUUCUGCAGUUAUUUCGGAGGUCAAGAGGCUGAUAGGGAAAGCUGCGACCGAAGGGCACUGGUCUGGAAGCAAAGGCUCAGGUCACCGCUGUCCCGAUUCGCGAAGGAAGUGCCCCAAAAACAAUUUCGGCCCUGGACAGGUGCACUGUUUGCACUGGACCAGGGCCGGCCGGCCCUGGCAAUAACGUCCCCCAAACAGUACAUAUACAGAUGCUAGAAAUAUAUUAAUGUAACCUGAAACUACUAGAACCAUUCAAUUCUAGCGUCUACAGCUAUAGCAUUAGUUGGUACAAUGGACAUUCUUCCAAAGAGGGGGAUGAACUCGUUGAGGCUCUUAUUUAUUCCUCCUCUUGUUGUGCCCUUUUCAGCUGCUAAUUCCAGACGAUCCAAUCUCAUACAUCUUCCCUGCAAAAGCAUGCGUGCCAGACUUCAAGAUCAAAUUUUUCCAACAAAAGAAACUUAAAGAUCAAACUCGCUAGCAGAUUAAAUGGUGCACAAGGGUGUUAAAAUCUUGACAUAGUAUAUUUUUGGCAGAUUUUAUGUGAGCAUGCAACUAAAACUGGCAUCACUAUCAAUGGUGCAAAAAGAUUGGUGGAAAACUUUAACAGUUUGAGUUGUAACUUCUCCAUUGUAUUUGUUAAGGCAAGACGGAUGUCAUCUAUGCAUUUUUCUGUAAAACUUAAAAGGCUGCAUAGCAGCUCUUGUUCGUACGACAAGCAAUUGAAAAUCCCAUCAUUAUGCCCCGCAUAUACCAGAAAAAAAAAGUCAUUUACACAAAUUCAGAGCGUUCAUCCACUGUAAUUUGCAGAUAUAGAAACGUUAAGAUAAAAGGAAAUGCAAAGUUAGCAACGGGAAUUGACAUACCAAUAUCUUCACAGUUUCUGCACAAGCACAAAUCAAAAGAAUCCGGCGGUGGAGUUAUGUACCUCUCCUUGGAAAAUGCCACCUCUUGGGAUUUCAAAAUAUGCGGCCGUGGCUAGCCGUCUGACCACGCCAAUUCCACCAAAGCCGCCGCAACGCGGCGCAGUGUCCGAUUGAUUGCUUCAAAACAGAGCUUCGUAUCCAUGUGUUUAUCAGCACAGAGUACCCAAAACCCCUGAAAAUUAUUUCUUUAUUCAGAUAAUAAAAUUUCCCAAAUUUCAAAUUUUAAUUCCGAACCAAAAAUAGGAUUUGAAUUUUGAUUACCUAGAAAUUGGGGGGUUGGCGAUAUGCGUCCUCGAGAGGGUACCAAUACAAAUUACAGAGCGUGUUGGGACGAUGUACAAGGCUUUUGCAGUCUCUCAGAUGUAAAUACCGAAGCUCCGUAAGGCGUUCAAUCCAGGGGGAAAGCUCUUUGAUAGAUGUUCCAUCCAAGACAAGAUUUCUUAAUCCUUCCAUAUUUUCUUCAAUGCUUGGAAACACCUCGAAUUUUGUACAACCGGAAAGAGAGAGAUAGACAAGGGACUUGAGCUGACAAAUGCUACUUGGAAGACUCUUAAGCUCCUUGCAAUUUUCUAGCUUCAAAUGAUUCAAUCCCGUGAGAUUAUUAAUUGACGAGGGCAUUUCUUUAAUUUUUGAUCCGGAUAAAUGAAGAACUUUUAACCCUUCAAUCACUUUUAAAAUCUCUGGAAACAUCUCAAGACUCUGACAAUCAUAAAGUACAAAGGUUUCGAGAGAUUUCAUAUGAAUGUUGCUUGGAAGACUCUUAAGUUUUUGGCAAUCUGAUAGGUUCAAAUGAAUCAACCCCGUGAAAUUAUUAAUUGACAUGGGCAGUUGUUUAAUUUUUGACCCGGAUAAAUUAAGCUCUUCUAACCCCUCAAUACCAUCUGAAAUCAAUGGAAACAUCUCAAGACUGGAGCAGCCACAAACAUUAAAGGUUUUCAGACAUUUCAAAUGAAUGCAACUUGGAAGACUCUCAAGUUCCUUGCAAUCUUUUAGGUUGAAAUGACUCAACCCCGUGAGAUUAUUAAUUGACUCGGGCAGUUCUUUAAUUUUGGACUCGGAUAAAUUAAGCUCUUCUAACUCCUCCAUACCUUCUGAAAUCUCUGGAAACAUCUCAAAAUUGGAGCAGCCAAAAAGAUUAAAGGUUUUGAGAGAUCUCAUACGAAUUUUAUUGGGUAGAAUCUUAAGUUCCUUGCAAUAUGAUAGGUUCAAAUGACUCAACCCCGUGAGAUUAUUAAUUGACUCAGGCAGUUCUUUAAUUUUGGACUCGGAUAAAUUAAGCUCUUGUAACUCCUCCAUACCUUCUGAAAUCUCUGGAAACAUCUCAAGACUGGAGCAUCCAUAAAGAUUAAAGGUUUUCAGACAUUUCAUAUGAAUGCAGCUUGGAAGACUCUUAAGUUCCUUGCAAUCUCUUAGGUUUAAAUGAAUCAACCCCGUGAGAUUAUUAAUUGACUCGGACAGUUCUUUAAUUUUGGACUUGGAUAAAUUAAGCUCUUGUAACUCCUCCAUACCUUCUGAAAUCUCUGGAAACAUCUCAAGGCUCACGCAGCCAAAAAGAUCAAGAGUUUUGAGAGAUUGCAUACGAAUUUUGCAGGGUAGAAUCUUAAGUUUUUCGCACCCUUUCAGAUCCAAUAAAACAAGUUUUGUAAGAUUCGAAAUAGAUGGGUGAACCUUAACUAACCCUCCACAACCAUGAAGAAUUAGCCUCUCAAGAUUUGGCACAUUUGUGAAGUCAGGGGUUUCCUUAAGGUAUGAACAAUAACUUAAAUUGAUGAAUUUCAACUUUUCCUGCGUCUGUUAAAACAUUCAGGAAAACAUGCAUUACUUAAUAAGACAUCUCACUCAAAGCCCAAACAUUUAAAAGAAACAAAUACAUGUAAAUGAUUGCACAUACCUGGGUUCCUUCCCAAAGUCGGUCAAUGUGGCUAUAUUGCAUGUCAAGUCCAACAAGAUUUUCGAAUUGAAAGUUGGAUGGCAAAGACUUGAGCGGGAAACAAGACCAGGAAAGAAACCUCAACUCACUAGAAACAAACUUUAAGGACCCAGUCAGGUGUUGUAUGCUGAAAGUACCGAUCUUGAGAAGUCUUAGUUUAGUCAUCCUAUCAAAAGCUUUAACAAUUAAGCAUCCCUCAUAUGAGUGCCCCAAAUCUAGGAUUAUGCUUUUAACUGUUUCUGUACCCUGUGCAAAUCAAAGGGAAGGAAAAAGCAGAGAACCUUAGUUUAGAUUAUGAAGUUAAUGGUUGUUUCUUAAGGAGUUGUUUGAUAAUAAUUUUGUUUUCACUUUUCACUUUUGUUUUGAUUAUUUAUUUAGAAAUCUGAAAAUUGAAAACAUAUAACUUGUUUGUAAUUGUUUUCAAUUUUCAAUUAUUAAAAAAAUGAAAAUUAAAAAUUAAAAAUGGAAACAAAAGUGGUUAUCAAACGAGCUUAAGAAAUUGAUUUUGGUCAAAAGUUGAAGCUUUCUACUAAACAUUGCAUAAGAAGAGAAAUUAUCACCGUAUUUUUAGUUAUCACAUGAAGAACAUCUUCAUAACUCCACAACCUACUUCGUUUCCCAGGCUCUUCGAUAGAUUCUUGCUGGACGAUUUUCCGACCCAUUUCCUCUAGUAAAUCAUGCAUCUCCAGUUCCCCCUUCCAUGAGACAGUUACUAGAGCUCGAUCGAUUAAAACUUUUAUUCCAAUAUCAGGAUAGGAACCACAGCUGUGCAGAACUUCGGUUGCAUAGUCUUUUCUCAUUCCUUUAAAGAAACAUGCAAUAUCUAGAAAGAUAUCCUUCUCCGUGUCAUCUAGUCCAUCGAAGCUUGUUUUAAGCACAUCAUGAAUUCCCUUUUGCGGGAUUUUCUUUAUUUUUUCUAACUCAUUUUCCCACUGGCGUACAUUUUUGUUAUCAAGAAAAGCUCCCAAGACUUUGAGUGCUAAAGGCAGACCUUGAGCAUAUUUUACAGCACGCCUCGAGAGAUCAUCAUAAUCUCUGUUGGGUUGGUUUUUUCUAAAGGCGUACCGCCUAAAGAGUUCCAGAGCUCCAUUAUCACUUAAAAUCUUGGGAUUAUAUAUCUCAUCAGCUAUGCUUAGUAAUUGCGAAUCUCUGGUUGUUAUAAUAAUUCUGCUUCCACCACCAAAGGAAUGUGGUUCUUUAAGUAAAGCUUCAAUUUGUUCUAAUUCUUCCACAUCAUCAACAACAAUAAGAACUUUUCUCCGACCUAGGCUAUUUAACACCACCUGGAAACCUUUAUUCGAAACGUCGGAACUCCCCACCUUGUUGUUCGAGAUACUCGAUAGAAGUUCUGCCUGCAUAUAUAGUUUGCCAUGCUUUAUGAAACCUUCCUUGAAAUUUUCAAGAAAGCAACAAGCUUUAAAUCCACCAGAGAUUUCAUCAUAAACAGCUCUAGCGAUGGUUGUUUUGCCUAAACCACCCAUACCCCAUAUUCCAACAAUGCGAACAUCAUUAGUUUCAACUCCAGGAGGAUACAAUAAUGAAUGCAUGUUAUGCAUAUGAGAGUCCAUUUCAACCAAGCCAUUAUCUUUGCUUGAUGAUGAUGAGAUGUGGAUCAAUUUCUUAAAAACAUCUUCUACAAUUUUCUCAAUAAGCUCUGCAUCAUCCCUGUCAAAUUUAAAAAACAAUAUAAUAACACCACCAAAUAAUACUUAAUGGGUCUUUUUCAUCUGUUAGUUUAAAAAAAAUAGAAAUUAAAACUAAAACUAAAAUCUAAACGUUAUAAAAAUCCCAAAAAUUAAUAGGAAACUAAAACAAAUUAGAAUUUACUCAUAUUUCGCGAAUCCCAGCCGGAUAAACUGGUGGCAAUUGUAAGAGCGGAUCUCCAGCUCUGAACCUCUUCCAUUUCAGCGUUAGAAUCACGAUCGUGCUGAGCAAAAGCUUCCUCGAAUUUUCUCUUGAGUUUACGAACGUCAGACGGAUCAACUUCAUAGAAAAUGGGGAGUACAAUCUGGUUAUUGGUAUCCUUGCAUUUCAAGAUUUGCACGAGUUCUUUCAAGCACCAAGUGGAAGAAGCAUAGUCUUGAGAGAAAACUACAAUCGAAAGCCUUGACUCUCGAAUCGCUGUCAGGAGCUCAGAAAGGUGGUCGCCUUUUCUGAGCUUCUCGGCAUCAAUGAAGGCGUUGAUUGGUUUCUUAACCAGAGCGUUGUAGAGAUGGCUGACGAAGCCCCUGCGAGUGUCUUCCCCUCUGAAAUUGAUGAACACAUCGUAUUUGCAACCAAGGCCAGAAGAAGAUGAAGAAGAAGAAGCAGCCAUUAUUAAUCGAUCGCACCUGGUCAGCGACGAUCGAGCAGCUAAGACUAAGAGAAUUGUAAGUACAGAGAUACUCAAUAGAUCUACAAAUUGGAUCACCGGAAAUUAGUCUGAUCGAUACCAAGUCAAUGAGUCAAUGCAAAAGUAAAAAGGGGAAAGGGAAAUUAUGCUUUAUGUUUUUUCACAUCUUCUUCGGGGAAAUUUCGGUGUGAAAGGAAUCUUAUCCUUUUGAUUUUUUAACCGAAGCAAAUGCGAAGAAAAGGGUCAAAGUGGUAAAUUGAAUAUACACUUGCCUAUCCAACAACCUCUUAAUUUAAUAUAUUUAAUUGAGAAAAGUAGUUUAGAGGAAGAGGUAUUCAUCAAUUCCCCAUAAACUUGUGACCAUUGGCCAAUUUUCCCCCUCAACUUUAAUUUUGGCCAAUUUCUUCCCUAAACUCUCAUAAUUAGUUAAUUUCCCCCAUCAACUUUAAUUUGGUCAAUUUCCCCCCUCAACUCUCAUAAUUAGUCAAUUUGCACCCUACUGUUAAUUUUUUAUUUAUUUUUCAUCUAUUCUUUUUUUUUUCUUUCAAUCUUUCUAAUAACUUCCAACAAAAUACUAAAAUUAAUAUAAACUCACCUGCAUAAUAUAGGGUAAAAUGUACAAAAACAUAAUACCAUUAGUAUGUGAUAUGGGUUGAUUAUAAGAAAAAGUUAUGAAUCGGGUUUAAAUCAUGUAGAAGAAGAAACAAUAAUCCUAAACUCAUGGAUCAGACCUAUUUCAAUAAAAUGGGUUAUUCUUAAUAAGGAGUCGAAAAUUAUGAAUUGACUAGCCAUUUUUGCACUAAACCUCGAUUCUCCGCAAUUUACUUGAACUUAGCUUUCACUUUUAUAAAGAAAAUUGUAUUCACAUACAAAAAUGUACACAUCAAUCCUUUUCGUUAUCAAUUUUGUAUAGUAAAAAAUCAAAUAAAAUUACUCCAUACUAAUUUAUUAUGACUAAUAAUACUAUUUAUGAUAAAUUGUAAAAUUCUAAAUUUUAAUCUAUUUGUAAUAGGAUAAAGACAUAGGAAAAUGAUUAACAUACAUCUUAUUUAGUUUCUUACACACACUUGUUUAAUUAUGAUCAAAUUAAAAAAUUAACAGUAGGGUGCAAAUUGACUAAUUAUAAGAGUUGAGGGGGGAAAUUGGCCAAAUUAAAGUUGAGGGGGGAAAUUGACUAAUUAUGAGAGUUGAGGGGGGAAAUUGGCCAAAAUUAAAGUUGAGGGGGGAAUUGGCCAAUAGUCACAAGUUCAUGGGGGAAAUUGAUGAAUACCUCUUAGAGGAAUGAUGGUAUCUCUUUUUCUUCUCACUCAAUCUUCCAGCAUGCGAUUUAAUCAUGAUUAAAGCCAAGCUUAAUAAUAGGUCGUAUUAUUUAGGUCGUUUUGGAUUAUAAGUUUUUGUUGUGAACUUGUGAUACGAUAGUUAGAAAAUUAAAAAAAUUAUAAUUUAAAUAUAUGUGGUGAAAUCUGUUAAGAUUUAGAUUCAAAAUUGAAAAUUUCAUUAACUUCAUUAAUUAUUAGCACACGAAGCUUACAAAUGAAAUAAAAAUAAUAAAAUUAGUCUCACAUGUAAUCUCUAUGCGCUAACAAUUAAUAGAGAGAUUCAUUUUAACCUAAAAUGUGUGACUUACGUACUAAUAAUUAACAAAAUAUUGACAAAAUUUUCAAUUUUAAGCAUAAAUCUUAAUAAACUUCAUCUCAUAAACUUAAAUCCUAAUUCAACAAUCUUCUCAUUACCUUACCACUGCAAACUACCUUGCCACUACAAAAAUUAUUAAUCAAAUUAAACUUAUUAUUUACUUACAAAUACGUAACUCAAUCACCGAAAGCUAUCUCCGUUGCUAUCUCCGUUUCUUUGCUGAGUGGACAGCUGUCUCUUUGUCUUCUUUUGGCAGAUAGCUACUAGACUCCUAGUGGCCGGCCUAUUUUCCACAGCUGGUUAUAGGACUCAGUUGCUAUUCAAGAAGUGUUAUGUUGUAAUUCAAUAUUGAUGGAAAUCCAACAGAAUCUUCUUCGAAUUGUUGUGAGCAUUUUGGGAUAUUUUUUAAUCAUAUUCAUUUAUCGUUGUGGGAUCAAUUUUAUUAAAUAUUAUUUAUGUUUAAUUUUAAAUAAAUAAAUUUAAAAUAAAUUUUUAUCGCACGAUAUACUAUGAACGAAUACGAUUCAUAGAUCUCCAAUAUCUUCACAAGAAGAAUCCAAAAGGAUCCGGAUUCAAUGGAAAUAAGCUAAUUUUGAAUCAAAUAACAUUACUUUAUUUUGUAAGUAAAUUAAUUUUAAAUCAAACAACAUUCAUUUAUUAUGUAGCUAAUUAAUUUUGUAUGUGUCAUCAUAUAUAUUAGGCACAUUUUAUUAUAGGUGAUUUUGUGGUAUUCAUUUUCAUUUGUAAGUAAGAGGUCUUAAGUUCGAUUUUCAUCAAAAACGAAUUUAAACUAUAUUAUUGCUAGUCCAUUAUGAGGCCUAACCCACCCUCCUCCCCCUUAGUGUAGAUAGAUCGUUUGUUCAAAAAAAUAUAUAAUCAAAAUAGAAUGUGAAGCGAAACAAUAGAUCAACAUUAUUUAUGUUAAUUAUAAAUAGGUCAACCAUGUAUGUGAUACUUAAAUCAUUUAAAAUAAAAUAAAAAUUACAAAAUCUGCCAUUACAGCUGGCACACACUUUAAUUAACACUUUCUUUCUCAUAAUUUUUAUAUUUGGAAUAAGUCAUACGAAUCAAAUACUACAAUGUAUUAUCUGUUUUUUAAUUCUAUUUUUUACAUUUGGAUUCAGACACUGCGUUGUAGUGUCCAUUUACUGAUUUUGUUUUUUCCAUCACUCACAUGCCUCCUAUAUGUUCCUUUGUACAUUUGGAUUUAGACAAUGCAAUGCAGUGUCUGUUUCUUGGUUCUGGUUUUCUCUUUUGGAUUCAAACGCUGCAUUGCAAUGUAUGUUUCCUAGUCCUAUUUCUUUCAUCAUCCACACGUCUCCUACACUUCACACUUUCAUGCGACUCCUGAUUUUUACAUUUAGAUUCAGACAUUGUAAUGCAAUGUUCAUUUCCUACCUUUGAUUUUUACAUUUAAAUCUAGGGUUAAACUCUGUUUACUACCCUAAUGUUUCGUGGUUUUCUACAUUUAGUACAUCAAAUUUUUUUCAUCCCAGAGUCAUACCUAAAGUGUUAAUUUUGGGACAGUCUCAUACAUCCAUUAGUCAAACUGUUAGUUCUCACGUUAAGUGAUGAUGUGGCGCCCAUGUGGACAAUGACUGGGCCCCACGUGUCAUUAAAAAAUAUUAAAAUAAUUAAUUAUGUAACACCCGCCCCCACUUAUAAAAUUAUAUGUGUGUAAUAUUCCCUAAAUAUUCUGAAUCUAUCAAUUUUACCCUUUUUGGACUACCCUAUCAGGAUCUAAACAUUGGAUCCUUCUUUCUUUUCAAACUGCCACGUGGCAGCUCCCUAGCAAUUUCCCUGUCUUCUCUCUCUGUCCCCCCCCCGUGACUCCUUCUUUCUCUUCUUCUUUUUCUGUUUUCUUUUCUUUCUUCUGUCUGUCUCUCUGUCCCUCCCGACUCUAUCUCUUUCUCUCGUCUCUCUCUCAUAGCUCCCUCAUCUCUCUUCUCUGCAGCAACCCGCACGCACGCACCCAUCUCCCCCGCGCGAAGAAGACCCAUCUCCUUCUUCUCUCUCCCUCUGUCCCGUGCUGCGAGCCCAGAAACCGGAGAGGAACUCCGGCGAAACCUUUAUUUUCCCGGUUGGGACGAAUCGAAGCCGGGUGUAAGCACACCCAACUCCGGCGAUCCCGAGGGUGUCGGGGCUUUUUCCGGCCAUCUCCGAUCGUUCCACGACGAAAGGAAGGUGCAAUUAUUAACGGUGAUUCUGUUAUACCUUCUUGGUAUAGCUUUGCACCGUUGGUGUACGGUGAGUGGACCCCUUCAAAAUCAUGUUUUAACAAUAGAAAUGCAUACAUGAAAAGCAUGAUUUAAUACUUAUGUUUUACGAAGUACUUUAUGAGAUAUAUGCUUACUGAGGCUAGAUUGAAUUAUUACUAUUUUUCCUAUAACCCAUGUUCUUAUAGAAUAUCCGAUGGAUGACGAUAUGAUAUUAGAACAUGUUUAGAACACCUCUUUGUAGUAUAGAUGAUGGAUGACUUUAUACUACGAAGUUGUUUUUCAAUAUGUUAUGCUCAAUGGUUUUGUACUUACCUAGUGGUCCUUUCCGCUACGGGACGUAGGGAUAGAUUCCGGUCCGUCCCGAGCGACGGUUUGGUGUUGGCAUAGGGCCUGGAGUGUGUUUCCUCUGGCUAUUUAGCACAGGGACGGGGAGCCGGCAUGGGGUCUGUAGUGUAUUUUCCUCUGACUGUCUGCUCAGAGACGGGGAGCUGGCAUGGGGCCUGUAGAGUAUCGGACAAUUCACUAGUGUUUAUUACUUAUACAAGUUAUGAAUUUGAGAUAUUGCACGGCAUGCUAGGUUUCGGAAAAUCUAUUUUGAUCAUGAUAUAUGUGUUUUCAUUAAACCUGGGGGUUAGUAUGUUGAUAACUGUUUUAUUAUAUUUAUAUCAAACUGGUCCACUCAUGUUUGUUUUGCGCCCCCUUCAGGACCUACGAACGAGGAUUACGAUAUAAGCUACGAGGCUUUUCCCUAUCAGUGAUCCAGUGCUAUACUUCUUCUGCUUCGAUAUCUUUUGUAAUAUAGCACAUCUCUAUUUUAAAUUCUGUUUGUACUCUGUAAUAGAUGUAUGCUUUGACAUUAUGCGUGGAUCCUAAUGUUGUAAUUAGAAGUUGAAUUUGUAGUAUUAUUGUGGCUAGUCUUGCUGCCUGUUUUAGCUUAUUUGUGAGUUUUUACUUAAAUUAAUGGCUUUCGUCACCCUUUGGGUGUCGGCCAGCACGUGAUAAUCCCGAUGUCACGAGGACAUCGGGAUCGGGGCGUGUCAGAUUGGUAUCAGAGCAUGAUUCAUUCAGAGCAUACUUAGGAUUCUUUUCCACCAUUUGGUAAUUAUAAUUCCCCUUAUAUCCUUAAUUUUCUGUUGUUCUAAAUCUUUCUUGUUUCUUAUCAGAAUUAUGGAUCCCGCUGGUGGGCAUGUACCUCGUCGAGCUCGUUUUGGUAUAGGGGGAGGACUUGAGCAAUUGGCUAAUGUUUUGCGAACUGCCCUUACUGGUAGAUCAUCGAAUCGCACCUAUAUUGAGAUUGCUACCAGUCAUGGUAUUCCAGAGCUUAAGGUAGUGGGAGCCUGUCCGGAGGCUGAGGAAUGGUUAGAGCAGGUGGAAGAUACUCUGGAGGGUAUGAGAUGUCCACCAGGUGAGUGGGCGGAGACUGCUGGGUUUUUUCUUAAGGGUCCUGCAAAGAUUUGGUGGAAAGGAGUGAAGCAUUCUCGUCCACGAGGCACUUCGAUGACUUGGGUGGCAUUCCGGAAAGCUUUCAGUGCACAUUUUCUGAGUCCCAGUUAUCAGUUGAGGAUGAGACAACAAUUUCUGGAGUUUCGUCAAGGCGAUCUGAGUAUCACAGAGAUGGAUAAUACUUUUCGACGCCUGUCGAGACACCAUCCGGUGACUUAUGAUAACCCGAGUGAGAAGAUGGUUCAGUUGCUGGUUUGUUUGAACCCUGAUUAUCGUGAACGAGUGGCAGCUAUAAGGCACAGAAGUUAUGAGGAAAUGAUUGAGACUUGUUUGAGGAUUGAACAAUCUAGGUGGGAGACUCAGCACCAGGAGGAGCAGGCGCAGUAUCAGGAACCACCCAGAUAUCAGGAACAACCUCGGAACCAGAACCAGAGAGGUCAUGGUUUUAGAUCUCGGAGUGUGAGGAAAUCUGGUAGCUCUUCUAACUUUGUUGGCCCUAGACACUCUCAUUCCUUCAAACGUCAGGGUCAAGGUUCAGGUUCUUCCAGCGAGGGUUCGGGUAAUGAAUCAGGGAGGCGAUAUUUCAGUCAUUUUCGAUCGCAGGUUACGUGCCACAGGUGUGGAGGCAUGGGACAUAUUGCCAGAUUUUGCCCUUCAGGACAGCCUGCUGAGAGUUAUGCAUCGGUGCCGAGUUAUGGUGGAGGGAGUAAUCCGAGUUCUAGCUAUGGAGGUAAUUACACUCAGAGUUAUGGUGGAAGUGGAAGUGGAAGUCAGAAUACCCAAUUUUCCACUCAGAGACAGCCGCAACAGUUUGGUGCAGCUUCGAGUAGCCGCUCUCAGGGGAAUCGAGCAGGCCGUAAUAAUCAAGGUUUCAGAGCUCGUGGUAACCGUAACAGUGGUGGAGGACGUCAGUUUCAUGGACGUAUCAACGCCAUGACACAGCAGGAGGCUGAUCAGGAUCCUCAAGUCAUUACCGGUAUGUUACUUAUUUGUGGUAACUGGGCGAGGGUUCUAAUCGAUCCGAGUGCUACUUUUUCUUUUGUGUCUUCAUCUUUUGCACCGAAUUUAAAUGCACCACCUACACCUCUUGGUUAUGAUAUGCUUGUGCAAAUGCCGCAAGGGGAUCUGUUUUGUGCUCAGUGGGAGUAUAAAAGUUGCCCAGUGGUAGUGGAAGGGGAAAUGAUGGAGGCUAAUCUGGUCCCUUUUCAUUUGGCGGAGUUCGAUGUGAUUUUGGGGAUGGAUUGGCUAUCCAGGCACCGGGCCUAUGUCGCAUGUUGGGAGAAAUCUGUGACGUUCAAUCGACCUGGACGACCGUCAAUCACAUUUCAGGGUGAGCGACGAAUCCUUCCUAGUAGUAUUAUUUCCGCUAUUCAGGCUACUAGAUUGUUGAGUAGGGGAUGUGUGGGAUUCUUAGCUCAUGUAGUAACGAGGGAUAAAUCUUCGUUACGUCCUAAGGAUGUGCCAGUGGUGAAGCAUUACACCGAUGUUUUCCCGGAGGAUUUACCAGGGUUACCGCCUGCGAGGGAAAUUGAAUUUACCAUCGAUUUACUUCCAGGAACAGACCCUAUCUCUUUAGCACCUUAUCGCAUGGCACCGGCGGAGUUGAGGGAAUUGAAGGUUCAACUUCAGGAAUUGGUGGAUAAAGGUUACAUCCAACCCAGUAUGUCUCCCUGGGGUGCUCCUGUUUUAUUUGUUAAAAAGAAGGAUGGAUCGAUGAGACUUUGCAUCGACUAUCGGCAGUUAAACCGGGUGACGGUGAAGAAUCGAUAUCCUUUGCCUCGGAUCGACGAUCUGUUCGACCAGCUGAAGGGUGCUCAGAUAUUCUCUAAGAUAGAUCUUCGCUCAGGUUAUCACCAGUUGUUAAUUCGGGAGGGAGAUGUACCGAAGACUGCUUUCCGCACUAGGUAUGGACACUUUGAAUUUCGUGUCAUGCCUUUCGGACUGACGAAUGCACCUGCAGCAUUCAUGGAUUUGAUGAACAGAGUUUUCAGACCGUAUUUGGAUCGGUUUGUGAUUGUGUUCAUUGAUGAUAUUCUGAUCUUUUCCAAGAGUGUCAGCGAGCACAAGAAGCAUUUGAGGUUGGUGUUGGAAAGGUUGAGCAGUGAGCAGUUGUAUGCUAAGUUUAGCAAGUGUCAGUUCUGGCUAACCCAAAUUAGCUUUCUCGGUCAUGUAGUAUCUGCUGAGGGGAUUAGUGUGGAUCCUCAGAAGGUGUCAGCAAUAACUACGUGGGAGCAACCGAGGAAUGUUACUGAAGUGAGGAGUUUUCUAGGUCUGGCUGGCUAUUACCGAAGAUUUGUUAAAGGUUUCUCAGCCAUUGCCUUACCUCUGAAUAAGUUGACUCGAAAGGAAGUGGAGUUUAAGUGGGAUGAAGAUUGUGAGCGGAGUUUUCAGGAACUGAAGCGAUGUCUUACUCAAGCUCCCGUUCUUACUCUUCCAGACGAUAGCGGUGAGUUUGAUAUCUACACGGAUGCAUCAUUAUCAGGUUUGGGUUGUGUACUGAUGCAGCAUGAUAAAGUCAUUGAUUAUGCUUCCAGACAGCUCAAAAUUCACGAGAGAAACUAUCCCACUCAUGAUUUGGAACUUGGUGCAGUAGUGUUUGCUUUGAAGAUCUGGAGACAUUACUUGUACGGUGAGAAGUGUCGUAUCUUUACUGAUCAUAAGAGCCUCAAGUAUAUCUUUACUCAGAGGGAUUUGAAUUUGAGGCAGAGAAGAUGGAUGGAACUUAUCACUGAUUAUAACUGCACGAUCGAGUAUCAUCCCGGACAUGCCAAUGUAGUGGCAGAUGCACUUAGUCGGAAAUAUCAUGGAUAGCUUGCAUCUCUCCAAGCUAUUCAUGUUCCACUACUAUUUUCUCUUCGAGAAACAGGCUUGUCGGUGAGACCGGGUGAGCAAUGAGCGUGGUUGGCAAAUUUCCAAGUUAGACCUGUUUUGGUGGAUAUAGUCAUAGAAGCUCAGGAGCUUGAUCAGGAGAGUGCCAACAUUAAGGUCUCGGUGGAAAAAGGAGAAGAGAAGCAUUUUAUCAUCCGAAGUGAUGGAGCCUUGAUGUGGGAAAACAGAUUGUAUGUUCCUCAUGAUAACGAAGCAGUGAAAAGAGCAAUUCUGGAUGAAGCACAUUUGUCAGCUUAUGCCAUGCAUCCGGGAAGUACUAAACUGUAUCGCACUAUCCGUCUGUUCUAUUAUUGGUUGGGAAUGAAGCGGGAUGUGGCGGAUUAUGUGAGUAGAUGCAUCAUUUGUCAACAAGUAAAGGCAGAGAGGCAAAGACCUGGAGGAUUGAUGCAGAAUCUUCCGAUACCAGCAUGGAAAUGGGAAGACAUCACCAUGGAUUUUGUGUAUGGUCUGCCGAGGACGCGGUCGAGAUUGGACGGCAUAUGGGUAAUUGUUGAUCGACUGACUAAGACCGCUCAUUUCUUACCUGUUCGACAGACCUAUUCAAUGGAGAAAUUAUCGAAGUUGUUCAUCGAUAAUAUUGUUAGACUUCAUGGUGUACCUGUCUCUAUUGUUUCAGACAGAGAUCCCAGAUUUACUUCCAAAUUUUGGAAAGCUUUUAAUACUGCCAUGGGUACUCAGUUGCUGUUUAGUACUGCUUAUCAUCCACAGACUGACGGUCAGUCCGAGAGGACAAUACAAACAUUGGAGGACAUGUUGAGAGUGUCUGUUCUUCAGUGGAAGGGUAGUUGGGAUAACUAUCUGCCGUUGGUUGAAUUUGCAUACAACAACAGCUACCAUUCGAGUAUUGGUGUGGCACCUUAUGAAGCCUUGUAUGGGAGAGUGUGUCGAACGCCGUUGUGUUGGGCAGAGGUCGGCGAGCGAGUAUUGUUGGGACCGGAGAUUGUAGACACUACCAAUGAGAACAUCCAGCUGAUAAAGAGAAAUCUCAAGGCAGCUCAAGACCGACAGAAAAGCAUAGCGGACAAACAUUCCAAAGAUCGUGAGUACAAGAUUGGUGACUUUGUAUUCUUGAAGUUGUCUCCCUGGAAGGGUGUGGUUCGUUUUGGUAAACGAGGAAAGUUGAGUCCUCGAUAUGUUGGUCCUUAUCAGAUUACGGAGAGAAUUGGUGCAGUUGCCUAUAGAUUGGAGUUGCCACCGGAGUUGUCUCAGAUUCACAAUGUUUUCCAUAUUUCUAUGCUUCGGAAAUAUGUAUCAGAUCCCUCUCAUGUUAUUCAGCUAGAGCCGCUGGAAGUAAGUCCGGAUGUUAGUUAUGUUGAAGAACCAGUGGCUAUUCUUGACCAGCAGAAUAAAGUGUUGAGGAACAAGGUCAUUCCGUUGGUGAAAGUGUUGUGGAGGAACCACGCUACUGAAGAAGCGACGUGGGAAACGGAAGACCUGAUGAGGAGUCAGUAUCCGUAUUUAUUUGCUUGAAGUUGUAAUUUCGGGGACGAAAUUUUUAUAAGGGGGGUAGAUUGUAACACCCGCCCCCACUUAUAAAAUUAUAUGUGUGUAAUAUUCCCUAAAUAUUCUGAAUCUAUCAAUUUUACCCUUUUUGGACUACCCUAUCAGGAUCUAAACAUUGGAUCAUUCUUUCUUUUCAAACUGCCACGUGGCAGCUCCCUAGCAAUUUCCCUGUCUUCUCUCUUUGUCCCCCCCCCCGUGACUCCUUCUUUCUCUUCUUCUUUUUCUGUUUUCUUUUCUUUCUUCUGUCUGUCUCUCUGUCCCUCCCGACUCUAUCUCUUUCUCUCGUCUCUCUCUCAUAGCUCCCUCAUCUCUCUUCUCUGCAGCAACCCGCACGCACGCACCCGUCUCCCCCGCGCGAAGAAAACCCAUCUCCUUCUUCUCUCUCCCUCUGUCCCGUGCUGCGAGCCCGGAAACCGGAGAGGAACUCCGGCGAAACCUUUAUUUUCCCGGUUGGGACGAAUCGAAGCCGGGUGUAAGCACACCCAACUCCGGCGAUCCCGAGGGUGUCGGGGCUUUUUCCGGCCAUCUCCGAUCGUUCCACGACGAAAGGAAGGUGCAAUUAUUAACGGUGAUUCUGUUAUACCUUCUUGGUAUAGCUUUGCACCGUUGGUGUACGGUGAGUGGACCCCUUCAAAAUCAUGUUUAACAAUAGAAAUGCAUACAUGAAAAGCAUGAUUUAAUACUUAUGUUUUACGAAGUACUUUAUGAGAUAUAUGCUUACUGAGGCUAGAUUGAAUUAUUACUAUUUUUCCUAUAACCCAUGUUCUUAUAGAAUAUCCGAUGGAUGACGAUAUGAUAUUAGAACAUGUUUAGAACACCUCUUUGUAGUAUAGAUGAUGGAUGACUUUAUACUACGAAGUUGUUUUUCAAUAUGUUAUGCUCAAUGGUUUUGUACUUACCUAGUGGUCCUUUCCGCUACGGGACGUAGGGAUAGAUUCCGGUCCGUCCCGAGCGACGGUUUGGUGUUGGCAUAGGGCCUGGAGUGUGUUUCCUCUGGCUAUUUAGCACAGGGACGGGGAGCCGGCAUGGGGCCUGUAGUGUAUUUUCCUCUGACUGUCUGCUCAGAGACGGGGAGCUGGCAUGGGGCAUGUAGAGUAUCGGACAAUUCACUAAUGUUUAUUACUUAUACAAGUUAUGAAUUUGAGAUAUUGCACGGCAUGCUAGGUUUCGGAAAAUCUAUUUUGAUCAUGAUAUAUGUGUUUUCAUUAAACCUGGGGGUUAGUAUGUUGAUAACUGUUUUAUUAUAUUUAUAUCAAACUGGUCCACUCAUGUUUGUUUUGCGCCCCCUUCAGGACCUACGAACGAGGAUUACGAUAUAAGCUACGAGGCUUUUCCCUAUCAGUGAUCCAGUGCUAUACUUCUUCUGCUUCGAUAUCUUUUGUAAUAUAGCACAUCUCUAUUUUAAAUUCUGUUUGUACUCUGUAAUAGAUGUAUGCUCUGACAUUAUGCGUGGAUCCUAAUGUUGUAAUUAGAAGUUGAAUUUGUAGUAUUAUUGUGGCUAGUCUUGCUGCCUGUUUUAGCUUAUUUGUGAGUUUUUACUUAAAUUAAUGGCUUUCGUCACCCUUUGGGUGUCGGCCAGCACGUGAUCAUCCCGAUGUCACGAGGACAUCGGGAUCGGGGCGUGUCAAAUUAAAUAAAAGUUAUAAAAAAAAAACCGAAUCUGCAACCCAGAAGAAGAACCUUCUGGGUACGUGUUUGCAGUUGCGGGGCGAAUUCUAGAUCUUAAUUGGAUUAUUAGUUUCUGUUGUAAUAUGGUAGUUAGAAGAUUAAAAAAAACUAUGAUUUAUGCUUCAUAUGCUAACAAUUAACAGAUAAUUAAUGAAAUUUUUAAUUUUAAAUCUAAAUCCUAACAUAUUUUACAAUAGAAGCUUAAAUCUUAAUUUACUCAAUCACAUGGAUUAUUUUAUAACUACCUUACUAUUAAUUCAAUUAAACCUAUUAUUUCUACGAAAACUAACAAAAAUUUCAAAAAAAACUUUAGUUUUAAUGAAAAAAGAAAAAUGAAGAUUUGGUAAAUAAUACCAAAAAAAAAAUAAAAAUAUAAAUUUUCAUUAAAAAUGAACAGCAUCAAAAGUGUUUUAUUAAUACUCCAAUUAUUUAUUUACAAAUACGUGACUAAAUGAAAGGGAGCACUCAAAAUGAUGAAAAGCAGGAGCACCGAAGGCUAUCUCCGUUUCUUUGUUGAGUGGACAGCUGUCUCUUCGUCUUCUUUUGGCAGAUAGCUCCUAGUGGCCAGCCUAUAUUCCACAGCUGGUUAUAGGAUUCGGUUGCUAUAUAAGAAGUGUUUUGUUGUAAUUCAAUAUCGAUAGAAAUCCAAUAGGAUCUUUUUCAAAAUUUUGUGCGGAUUUUGGUAUGUUCGUAAAUCGUAUUUGUUCAUAUUAUACGCUCAUUUUUCAUGGAAUAUUAUUUUUGUUUAAUUUUAAAUAAAAUAAUUUAAAAUAAUUUUUUAUUGUAACAUGUACAAUGAACGGAUAUGAAUUGAUUCACAGAUCUUCAAAAUCCUUACAAAGAAAAUCCAAAAAUAAUCCGAAUUCAAUGGAGAUAAGUUAAUUUUGAAUCAAAUAACAUUAGGAAAAAAAAUUAACAUUAGACGGUUUUAAAUAAUUUAUUGUAUAUUUUUAGGGAAUUGUUAUUAGCACUUUAAAAAUCUCAUUUUACACUCCAAACUUUUUAUAUUAGAAAAGAAAAAUACACUUAUGAGGAAUGUAGAAUAAGAUUUUUGAAUUAACCAUGCAAAAAUGUAAUGUUAAAGCAUCAUGUCAUACAGACCUCUUCAAGGUACCAGAAAUUUUUGCACUAAAGAUGUCACAAGCAGCUGAUAUGAAGCUGCAUUUUCUGUGAGUUGAAAUUUUGUCAAUAUAAUCGAUCACCUGAAGAGAGAGAGAGAGAGAAAGACAGUGAUGUCCAGAGAUGUGAGCCUAAAUGCUGAGUGUGUAAAAAAAGAAGAUUAAAUGGAUAGCAAGAAUAUACAACUUUAAUGCUGAAAAGAACAUUGAAUAUGAUGCUCAUUCAUCAUUGCCAUUGAACGUGUACCUUCUUCUUUUCCUCUUUCUCAAAAGCAAGUAGAGCCUUGAAGACUUGCCUAUAUGAUCCAUCAUCACAACCAGGCAAAGUUGUUUUAAUCAUAGCAACAAUGGCUCUAACUAACUACCUGCCAUAAGAAACAUGCUACAUCAACAAGAUCACAGAGUGUACCAGAAACCGUAAUGUAGCAAAAUCUUAGAUAAAAUAGCUGGCCAAAAGGGAAUGGAAAAGCAAGCACAAAAAACAAUGAAAAGGACCAGUGAUGCCAAAAUUCUGGUGGAAAAGGUGAAAAGCUUAUGUCUAUUACAGUUCUUGUAUGCAUUCUUUAUAACUUAAGUUCUACGUAGCAAAAACCACCUUAUGCACAACAAUAUUGGAAAAAUUAGAUACAUACAACUGAGAAGAUAGGUUUUCAUAAUCUGGACAAGUGCUAACUACCUUCUUCCUAUAAACUGCCACUCCAUGAACAUUAAAUGGUAUUUUCCUUUCACGCAAGGCUGUCUGGAAGACUUUUCCUGAUACCUGUAGAAUAAAUUACAAAAGAAAAUGUGACCAAAAUGUCUUAUAUGAUUCACCUCAUUCACAUUAGCACUAAGGCAAGUAAGCUUGACCUGCCUCCGGUAAAGGAUUGCUAUAUUUCCAUAGGAGCACCCUGCUUCUGACCGUUUAGAUGCAGUCUCCAGGAUCUUGUCGACAACAAAGGCGCAUUGUGCAUCCUCAUUGUGACUUUCCUUGAUAAUUACCUACAUUUUGCCAGUAAAACCAGUGUCACUAACUAAAAGGACUGAAAAAUGACAUCAAAUUGUACUUGUUGGAGCAAGGAAAGAUUAAGUACCUUAGACCCAGAAGAAUUGUCCGUGUCAACAUUCUUUAGUUGGCAUCACUUCUUAUUGUUUUUUAUAACAGAAGAUGCAGCUUCCACACAAUAUAGCGUGUGGACCGAAAGUUCUUAUUAAGCCUAAUCUGAACCAUAAAGUUAUGUCAAAUCCCACAGAACCCCAUAAAAUAAAACUUACUUUCCUGUAAUUGUACAAUAUAUUUGUUCUAUACUAUAUAUAACGAAAAAAGACACCGUGAAUGACAUAAGAUAACAUAGCAGUCAAGUGCGAAGCGAACCUCUUUGUAAUUUGAAAAAUCUUUACGAAAAGAAUCAAAUCCAGAAAUGUCCGCCCCAUUGAAACUGAAAAUGGACUGCAGCAGGAUAUAUGUUAUUUGAUUUAGAACAGAUAAGGGCUGGAUUAGAAUGAGCUGAGAGAGGGAGAGAGGGAGAGACGGAGCAAUAACAUUGGAUUUCCAUAAUAAAUCAACAACAUGCCUGAUCAUCAUCACCAACAAUGGUUAUGUGGUUAUGAGAGGCGAGAAUCCGCAAAAGUCUAUAUUGCAUAGCACUUGUGUCUUGAAACUCGUCUAUUACAAUAGCUUUCCAUGACUCCUGGCACUCCUUCAACACUAAUUAAGAGAACACCAUGUAUCAACAUUUAGCAUUACUUGUAAAACUAGAUAAAUCAAUGAAAUAUACUUAGAUGAUAGAGACCUUCAGGAAAAUCACUUAGCAGCUUCACAGAGCAGCUAAUUAAGUCGUGGUAGUCCAAAGCGUUGCACGAUUUCAAGAUAUCAUUGUAAUUCCUAAGAAUUUCACCCUGAUUCAGAUUGAGAGCUAAAACUCAUAAGCAAUAGUUUCAAAGAACUGAAAUGAUAUCUGAAAUUCUAGUUCUGAGCGUACUCCUGUCACAUCACCCAUUCUUUGGCAUUCAGCGGGAGUUCUUUCCAGAAGCUUUUGCCUGAAACAUAAAUAAAUUUAUUGCCUAAUGCCACAUAUUGUAAGACACACCAUUGUAUUGGUCACUCUAGCUAAGCACAAUGAGCUUCAGUGGCAUACGGCGGUCACACAACACGCCGGAUGCACUCUUCCACUUCAUCCAUCCAGCUUGUAUUCUAUGGUUGAGAUCUCCAUCUAAUUCUCCGUUCUUUUGCAAAAUAGAUCCUAGGUAACGAAAACGGUCGCUCUUUGAUAUUUCUUGAUCUCCGAUCCUCACCCCUAAAUCGUUUUGGCCUCCAUUUGCACUGAACUUGCACUCCAUAUAUUCUGUCUUUGAUCGGCUUAGGCGAAAACCUUUAGAUUCCAACACUUCUCUCCAAAGGUUAAGCUUUGCAUUUACCCCUUCCUGAGUUUCAUCUAUCAACACUAUAUCGUCUGCGAAAAGCAUACACCAAGGAAUAUCACCUUGAAUAUGUCCUGUUAACUCAUCCAUUACCAACGCAAAAAAGGUAAGGACUUAAGGAUGAGCCUUGAUGUAAUCCUACAGUUAUGGGAAAGCUUUCGGUUUGUCCUUCAUGAGUUCUUACGGCAGUCUUUGCUCCUUCAUACAUAUCUUGUAUAGCUUGGAUAUAUGCUACUCGUACUCCUUUCUUCUCUAAAAUCCUCCAAAGAAUGUCUCUUGGGACCCUAUCAUACGCUUUUUCCAAAUCUAUAAAGACCAUGUGUAAAUCCUUUUUCCCAUCUCUAUAUCUUUCCAUCAAUCUUCGUAAGAGAUAGAUUGCCUCCAUGGUUGAGCGCCCUGGCAUGAACCCGAAUUGGUUGUCCGAAACCCGUCUCUUGCCUCAAUCUAUGCUCAAUGACUCUCUCCCAGAGCUUCAUUGUAUGACUCAUUAGCUUAAUACCACUAUAGUUCAUGCAAUUUUGUACAUCGCCCUUAUUCUUGUAGAUAGGCACCAAAGUGCUAAUUCGCCACUCAUUCGGCAUCUUCUUCGUUUUCAAAAUCCUAUUGAAAAGGUCAGUGAGCCAUGUUAUACCUGUCUCUCCCAAAACUUUCCACACUUCGAUUGGUAUAUUGUCUGGGCCUACUGCUUUUCUAUGUUUCAUCUUCUUCAAAGCUACAACCACUUAUUCCUUCCGGAUUCCACGAUAAAAAAAGUAGUUUCUACACUCUUCUGAGUUACUCAACUCCCCUAAAGAAGCACUCAUUUCAUGUCCUUCAUUGAAAAGAUUAUGAAAAUAACCUUUCCAUCUGUCUUUAACCGCGUUCUCUGUAGCAAGAACCUUUCCAUCCUCAUCCUUAAUGCACCUCACUUGGUUUAGGUCCCUUGUCUUCUUUUCCCUUACUCUAGCUAGUUUAUAGAUAUCCAACUCUCCUUCUUUGGUAUCUAGUCGCUUAUACAUAUCGUCAUAAGCCGCUAACUUAGCUUCUCUCACAGCUUUCUUCGCCUCUUGCUUCGCAUUUCUAUACCUUUCACCAUUUUCAUCGGUCCUAUCCUUGUAUAAGGUUUUACAACAUUCCUUCUUAGCCUUCACCUUUGCUUGUACCUCCUCAUUCCACCACCAAGAUUCCUUUUGGUGUGGGGCAAAGCCCUUGGACUCUCCUAAUACCUCUUUUGCUACUUUUCGGAUACAACUAGCCAUGGAAUCCCACAUUUGAUUAACUUCCCCCUCUCUAUCCCACACACACUGGGUGAUUACUUUCUCUUUGAAAAUGGCUUAUUUUUCUUCUUUUAGAUUCCACCAUCUAGUCCUUGGGCACUUCCAAGUCUUGUUCUUUUUUCUCACUCUUUUGAUAUGUACAUCCAUCACCAACAAGCGAUGUUGAUUAGCCACGCUCUCUCCUGGUAUAACUUUGCAAUCUUUACAAGUUAUACGAUCCCCUUUCCUCAUUAGAAGAAAAUAUAUUUGUGUUUUUGACGACCCACUCUUGUAGGUGAUCACAUGUUCUUCUCUCUUCUUAAAGAAGGUGUUGGCUAAGAAGAGAUCAUAUGCCAUUGCAAAAUCCAAGAUAGCUUCCCCAUCCUCGUUUCUCUCCCCAAAACCAUGGCCACCAUGAAAACCUCCAUAGUUGCCUGUCUCCCUGCCCACGUGUCCAUUUAAAUCUCCUCCUAUAAAUAACUUCUCCGUCUGAGCAAUUCCUUGCACCAAGUCUCCAAGGUCUUCCCAAAAUUUCUCCUUCGAACUCGUAUCCAACCCUACUUGAGGUGCGUACGCACUAAUCACAUUGAUAAGUUAUUGUCCUAUUACAAUCUUGAUUGCCAUGAUUCUAUCUCCUACCCUCUUGACAUCUACAACAUCUUGUGUCAAGGUCUUGUCCACGAUGAUGCCAACACCGUUUCUCGUUCUAUUUGUGCCCGAAUACCAUAGUUUAAACCCUGAGUUUCUAGAUAUAUAUAUAUAUAUAUAUAUAUAUCAAAUGGCCCCUAAAUGCUAUUAAAAAUCUCAAAAAUUAACAGGAAACUAAAACAAAUUAGAAUUUAUUCAUGGUUUCGCAAUUCCCAGCCGGGUAAACUGGUGGCCGUUGUAAGAGAGGGCCUCCAGCCGGAUAAACAUUUUCGAGUUAUAUGAUAUUUGUAUAGCAAAAAUACUUUAAUAGCAAGUGCGCGUGAGUGAAGAAAUUGAACUUACUUAUAUUCUUUCGAAUCCCAACCGGAAAAAUUGCAGGCUCUGGGAAGAGCGGACCUCCAGCUCUGCACCUCCUUCACGUCAACGUUAGAACGACCUUCAUGUUUAGCAAAAGCUUCUGCAAAACUUCCCUCGAGUUUACGAAUAUUGGACGGAUCGACUUGGUAGAAAAUGGGGAAUACAAUCUGGUUCUUGGAAUGGUUGCAUUCCAAGAUUUCCACGAGUUCUUUCAAGCACCAUGUGGAUGAAGCAUAGUUUUCAGAGAAAACUACAAUCGAAAUCCUUGACUCUCGAAUCGCUGUCAGGAGCUCGGAAAGGCGGUCGCCUUUUCUGAGGUCUUCGGCAUCAAUGAACGUGUUGAUUGGUUUCUGACGCAGAGCUUUGUAGAGAUGGCUGACGAAGCCCGUGCGAGUGUCUUCCCCUCUAAAAUUGAUGAACACAUCGUAUUCCCAACCAAGGCAAGAAGAAGAAGAAGAAGCAGCAAUUAAUCGAUCGCACCUGGGCAGCGAUGAUCGAGCAGCUUAAGACUAAGAGAAUUGUAAGUACAGAAACACUCAAUAGAUCUACAAAUUGGAUCACCAGAAAUUAGUCAAUGAGUCAAUGCAAAAGGGAAAAGGGCAAUUAUGCUUUUUGCGUUUUCACAUCUUCUUCAGGAAAUUUCGGUGUGAAAGGAAUCCGCAUACUUUUGAUUUUUCAACCCAAGAAAAUGCGAAGAAAGGGGACAAAGUAGUAAAUUUAAUCUACAGUUGCCUACCCAACAACCUCUUGAUUUAAUAUAUAUUUAAUUAGGAAAAGUAGUUUAGAGGAAGGAUGGUAUCUCCUUUUCUUCUCUCUCGAUCAGUCAAUCUUCCCGCGUGCGAUUUAAUCAUGAUUAAAGCUAAGCUUAAUCUUAGAUCGUAUUAUUUAGGUCUAAUUGGAUUCUUAAUUCUUGUUGUGAUAUAGUAGUUGGAAGAUUAAAAAAAAUUAUGAUUUAAAUGUUUGUGGUGAAGUCUGUUACGAUUUAGUUUCAAACUUGAAAAUUUCGUUAACUCCGUUAAUUAUUAGCACAUGAGACUCACAAAUGAAACUAAAAAUAUAAAGUUAGCCUCACAUGUAAUCUUCACGUGCUAACAAUUAAAAGAGAGUUCCGUUUUAGCUUAAUAUAUGUGACUCACGUGUUAAUAAUUAACGGAAUAUUAACAAAAAUUUUAAUUUUAAGCAUAAAUUCAAAUAAACUUCACCACAUAAGCUUAAAUUCUAAUUUAGAUAUCUUCUAACUAUCUUAUCACCAUAAAAAUUAUAAUCAAAUUAAACUUAUUAUUUAUUUAUAAAUGCGUAAUUAAAUCACAAAGUGUUGAAUGAAAGGGAGCACUCCAAAUGAUGAAAGAUGUGUGAUAUCCACACAUCUUUUUUUUUACUUUUUACACAUCGUUUUAAUUUUCGACUGUCGGAUCGAAUUAAUUGAAGAAAAUCAAAGGAUAAAAAUCAACAAAGGGUGUGCAAGAAGUAAAAAUGAGUGUGUGGAUAGUCAUCCCAUGAAAAGCGGGAGCAUCGAAAGCUAUCUCCGUUUCUUGUUGUCUAUUUGUCUUCUUUUGGCAGAUAGCUCCUAGGGACCGGCCUAUUUUCCACAGCUGGUUAUAGGACUCAGUUACUAUAGAAGGAGUGUUUUGUUGUAAUUCAAUAUCGAUGGAAAUCCAACAUAAUCUUUUUCAAAUUUUUGUGAGGAUUUUGGGGUGUACGUAAAUUGAUUAUGUUCAUCGUAUAUUAUGUGACCAUUUUUUAUCAAAUACUAUUUGUGUUUCAUUUUAAAUAAAAUAAUUUAAAAUAAUUUUUAACUGCAAGAUGUACAAUGAACGGAUAUAAUUCACAAAUCUCCAAAAUCCUUACAAAAAAAUCCGAAAAAGAUCCAAAUUCAAUGGAAAUAAGCUAAUUUUGAAUCAAAUUACAUUACUUUAUUUUGUAAAUAAAUUAAUUUUGAAUCGAACAACAUUCAUUUAUUAUGUAAGUAAUUCAUUUUGUAUGUAUCAUCAUAUAUAUUAGGCACAUUUUAUCAUAGGUGAUUUUGUGAAAAAUUAAUAAAAAGUUACAAUAUUAACAAUAGAUCAAUAAUAUUUAUGUUAAUUAUAAAUAGGUUAACCAUAUGUUGUGAUACUUAAAUACAUUUAAAAUAAAUAAAAAUUACAAAAUCUGACAUCCACUGCGACGUAGGAGCCACGGUGCAGCCCAAACUUUGCAGAUAAGAAAUCUGGUAAUUCACAGCAUGACAAACAAAUUACUGGGUCUCCUGACCAUCGUUGAUGCCAAUGUGUGCACAAGGAAAGGAGUAAGGUAAUCAAAUGCGUUAGUCUUGUGUACCUGUUUCGGUGUUGGUUUGGAUGAACCCAUUGAGUUCUCGAUCCUUAACUUCUGGAAAUGCUCCUGAAAGCAUAAAUAUAUGUACGGAUUUAAACCAAUGACAAAUGGACAUAAUUUACGGACAAUGAUUGAAGAAAAUACAGAUAUAAACGCCUCAGUAUUCCAUUGACGAAAGUUCUAGAUUUGAUGAAUCAAAAGUCCCACGUUGAGACUGCGUUAAGGCAAAUGGUUCUCAAAACCUGUUUUUCCCUCAUCAAAUGAGCGCGUUGAUCUGCAGGUAUUUUCUGCCAUCUCAAAACCUGUUACAAAGAAAUAUAACGUUGAUGUCGAGCUGGAUAGCAUAUUAUACCAAUUAUGUGUACAAACCUAUUGAAAUAAAGUAGCUGUAGUUGCAUAUUACGACAGAUAUUAACGAAAACAAAAGAAGGCUCGCCUAUUCAAGAUCCUAAAUCCCGUGAUUCUUUUGUUUUUAGUUUCAGAAAUUUUCAGAGCAAACUGGAAAGUACCAAGAUACUUACAUAUUGGGCAUAAUGAAAUGCAUCUUCAUCUUUCAAGCAAGAUUUGAGUGAGCGCAAACCGUCCUGAGAGUUACAUAAGUCAAUCAGUAAUAUAAAAACGUAGACGCAUCACAUCCAAACACAAGUAUUCAAACACCAACAACUUCUUCAUGCGGUGAGGCAUGUUAAAAAAUAGGGAAGAACAGUUAUUGAAUAGGAAGUUAAAGGACUAAAUUUAUGACCUUGUGUUUGUAGUUCUUGGCUCGUAUGCGUUCAUCUAUUACAAAACCAAUCUGUAACAGGUACAACAGAAAAUAUAAGCAGUAGUCAGAACAUUAAUCUUCGGCAUUCACAUUGCCACCAAUCCAAAGUUAAAAGUCUGAAGGCAAAACAGUAUGAUUCUUAUCUCUCAAACAAAAAUGAAACUAUACCCCGGUCUCAGACAUAAAUGAAAUAAGUUCUACUGCCUCAACUGAGUACUGUGAUUAUAUAUAAAUCCAAUUCACCUUGUCAAGUAAUCUCUUAGGAUCUUGAAAUGCUUCCUUCUUAGCCCAGUCAUUAAAUACAUGCGAGAAAAUUGAUCUCUCAUCCACACUGAAUCUAUUGCACAGUGACAGAAGAAUAAAGUUAAACAUGAACAUAACCAACCAAAAUGCUAGUUAUAAUAGUACACCCAUAAUUGCAAGCAAAACCUUUUUAAGAAGCCAUUUCCAUGGUUUUCCUCCCAAAUUCCAUCAAUUCUGCAGAGGCAACGUCAAAUUUACUAUGAUGGAGAUCAUUUUGCACUGUAAUAACUUCAGAAGGUAGGAGAUUUGGUUUCAGAUCAUCUGUUGACGGAGUAGUUUCUUUUGAAGUGUCAUGAUGCUUUUGAUUGCAAGCCUUCUGUACUUACGUCAGCCUACAAAACAAAAAUUGCAUUCAUCCACACUAGACUUAAUAAGAUUAGAAACACUUCAGAUUCUUCAUUAUUUGUAUUUUUGACUAAACAGCAGAACAACUGAGGAUAAUGAACAGUAAUACACACCUGGACUUCUCGUAGAUGAUUUGGAAUUUCUUUCAGAAAUCGCGAAGGUUGAAGCAUCUGAAGGAGUCACCUUCUCAGUCAGAGCAACAACAACAAAUAAGGAGGACAGGAAUUCAAGCUAAAACGAACCUGCCAACUGGAAUCCAUCGUAACAUAAAGAAUGAAAAGCUUUUUUCGAGCACGAGUCAUUGCAACAUAUAAUAGGCGUCUCUCCUCCUAUGAUUAGAGUGGGAUUAUUGAGUUAUUGACCAAAAGAAAAAAGAGUGGGAUUAUUGUGAAAAACAUGUCAAAGCUCUGCAUAUAACUGAAAAAUGUUGAACAAUUUACCACACACCUCAAUGGAGGUCCCAUUUUCUUUUGCAACCCCAUUGAAUUCAUGCAACAACGGGAUCUCAGAUUCAUUUACCUGUGUUAUUGGCAUGAGCAUUAAAGCAAGCUAAGAUGAUUUGAAGAGGUUGAUAUCGUCAUGAAUAUAGUAGAACAGAAUACCAAUUUCAAGCCAUCAAUUAGGUAUAGCAUUGGCAUGUUUAAUCCGUAAAUCUAAUGACAGAACACCUCAACUCUACACAUAAAUAAAUAAACAACCUGAAAAAUAUUACAGCCACAUGUUAAGGCAAAUACCUUAAUUAUGAAAACUAUAUCCCACUCUAAACCUUUUGACUGCAAGAGAAUGAAAAAGAAAGACAGUAAGCCAAGAAUGUUUUGUAGAACUCCAAAGGAAGUCCAAUAGGGAAAUCAUCGCAAGUAUAAGAGUUAGCGAGGUUCGCAUAAGAGGAUAUCAAAAAGAUCUAGAACCUGAUGAAUAGUAGUCAAAGUGACAGAACUUUGGUUGUCAUGUCUUCGGGAGUGAAAAUUUUCACUCUCCUGCUCAGAUAUGUAGUCGAUGAAAGCUUUGAGUAAAUUAACGCAGCCUUUUUCUUCUGCUACGACUUCUCUCUCCCCUUUUCCCGCAACAAAAUGAGUUGAUAAGAAAUCAGAUACGUCGUCUAGUAGGUACUGAAGAACCUGCAAUGAGAAUAAUCGCAUCACAGCAACAGGGUUGGACCAAGAUUUAAGUGACAACAAUGAUUAACUAACUAAAAUAGAGAAAUUAUUCAUUUAAGACCUUGUUGACGGAAAAAAGGGUUUUCCAAGCAGCGGGUCAUUUAAGCUUAUUGUAUAAAUGACAAUCAUCACAAACGGCAAACUUACAGAUCUCACGUCAUUGUCUUCAUUCAGCAGUUUUCCUCCAUCUACAUCAACGACUGCACGUUGCUCAAGACGGUACUUCUAAAAAUUGAAAGUCAACAACAACAACAACAACAACAACAAAGCCUUUUCCCACUAAGUGGGGUCGGCUAUAUGAAUCCUAGAACGCCAUUGCGCUCGGUUUUGUGUCAUGUCCUCCGUUAGAUCCAAGUACUCUAAGUCUUUUCUUAGAGUCUCUUCCAAAGUUGUCCUAGGUCUUCCUCUACCCCUUCGGCCCUGAACCUCUGUCCCGUAGUCACAUCUUCGAACCGGAGCGUUAGUCGGCCUUCUUUGCACAUGUUCAAAAUCACCGGAGCCGAUUUUCUCUCAUAUUUCCUACAAUUUCGGCUACUCCUACUUUACCUCGGAUAUCCUCAUUCCCAAUCUUAUCCUUUCUCGUGUGCCCACACAUCCCACGAAGCAUCCUCAUCUCCGCUACACCCAUUUUGUGUACGUGUUGAUGCUUCACCACCCAACAUUCUGUGCCAUACAACAUCGCUAGCCUUAUUGCCGUCCUAUAAAAUUUUCCCUUGAGCUUCAGUGGCCUACGACGGUCACACAACACGCCGGAUGCACUCUUUCCAUCCAGCUCGUAUUCUAUGGUUGAGAUCUCCAUCUAAUUCUCCGUUCUCUUGCAAGAUAGAUCCUAGGUAGCGAAAACGAUCGCUUUUUGUGAUCUUCGCUAGAUUUCUCCGGUCAUUAGUGUGGAUAAGUAUAUAAAUGGAUAGAGAUAGGAAAGCAAACACAAGAUGUACGUGGUUCACCCAGAUUGGCUACGUCCACGGAAUAGAAGAGUUCUCAUUAAUUGUGAAGGGUUUACACAAGUACAUAGGUUCAAGCUUUCAUUUAGUGAGUACAAGUGAAUGAUUUUAGUACAAAUGACAUUAGGAAAUAUUGUGGGAGAAUGAUCUCGUAAUCACGAAACUUCUAAGUAUCGGAGUGUGGUGUCGUCUUGACUUGCCUUAUCUGUCUCAUAGGUAGAUGUGGCAUCUUCUCUGGAAGUACUCUUCCUCAAACGAUAAAUUAUUAAGAAGCAUUGAAUAUAAGCAUGAAACGAAGAAAAUGUUAUGGAAUGGUGAUCCUCAUCCUCAAAGAUGAUUAAAAGCAAUUUGAUUCAAAAAUGACAUAUCAACUCUGGAGAAAUGGAAGACAAACCUGUGGUACCAUAUUCGCAACUGAGGUUAUGACAGCUGAAAUCGAUUGUUCCUGUGUGCAUUGAUAAGUGAGACUACCAUAGAGAUUCACAACUAAAUAAAGACAGGUAUUCCACAGAACAACCUUUACCUCUUUGGAAACACAGAUCUAACAAAAACUAUAACAUUUUGGAUUAAUAUUGACAAAUCAAGAAUAAUGCAAGGGAGCAAGAGAUACUCUUCCUUCUAAUAACAAGGAGGCGUGAAAAGUAUACAGAGUUCCAACAAUUAGAGAACUAAAAUCAAACUAAAAAAAUCACCAAAGUAGACAGAAUCUCACUUCGCCAAAAAUUUGAAAAUAUACCUUUUUAUCCAUUGAGAUUCAUGAACUACUACUACUACAUCAUGCCAAUAAGCAAUGCGUAAGAGGAGCUACAAUUUACCGAAUAUAUUUACCCUGAGAACAAGUUUUGAAAUCAUCUCUAGUGUUAACAGCACCUUGCGUCCUUGGGUAAGCUGAGUCCUAUUAUCAAGUAAAGAGACCAAUCAGUACAUAUCCAAAAGAUCUUAAAUGCUUGUAAUACCAAAUAAGAAAGAAACAUGAGUAUAUCUUGAAUUAACCAUGCAAAAAUGUAAUGUUAAAGCAUCUUGUCAUACAGACCUCUUCAAGGUACCAGAAAUUUUUGCACUAAAGAUGUCACAAGCAGCUGAUAUGAAGCUGCAUUUUCUGUGAGUUGAAAUUUUGUCAAUAUAAUCGAUCACCUGAAGAGAGAGAGAGAGAAAAAGACAGUGAUAUCCAGAGAUGUGAGCCUAAAUGCUGAGUGUGUAAAAAAAGAAGAUUAAAUGGAUAGCAAGAAUAUACAACUUUAAUGCUGAAAAGAACAUUGAAUAUGAUGCUCAUUCAUCAUUCCCAUUGAACGUGUACCUUCUUCUUUUCCUCUUUCUCAAAAGCAAGUAGAGCCUUGAAGACUUGCCUAUAUGAUCCAUCAUCACAACCAGGCAAAGUUGUUUUAAUCAUAGCAACAAUGGCUCUAACUACCUGCCAUAAGAAACAUGCUACAUCAACAAGAUCACAGAGUGUACCAGAAACCGUAAUGUAGCAAAAUCUUGGAUAAAAUAGCUGGCCAAAAGGGAAUGGAAAAGCAAGCAUGAAAAACAAUGAAAAGGACCAGUGAUGCCAAAAUUCUGGUGGAAAAGGUGAAAAGCUUCUGUCUAUUACAGUUCUUGUAUGCAUUCUUUAUAACUUAAGUUCUACGUAGCAAAAACCACCUUAUGCACAACAAUAUUGGAAAAAUUAGAUACAUACAACUGAGAAGAUAGGUUUUCAUAAUCUGGACAAGUGCUAACUACUUUCUUCCUAUAAACUGCCACUCCAUGAACAUUAAAUGGUAUUUUCCUUUCACGCAAGGCUGUCUGGAAGACUUUUCCUGAUACCUGUAGCAUAAAAUACAAAAGAAAAUGUGACCAAAAUGUCUUAUAUGAUUCACCUCAUUCACAUUAGCACUAAGGCAAGUAAGCUUGACCUGCCUCCGGUAAAGGAUUGCUAUAUUUCCAUAGGAGCACCCUGCUUCUGACCGUUUAGAUGCAGUCUCCAGGAUCUUGUCGACAACAAAGGCGCAUUGUGCAUCCUCAUUGUGACUUUCCUUGAUAAUUACCUACAUUUUGCCAGUAAAACCAGUGUCACUAACUAUAAGGACUGAAAAAUGACAUCAAAUUGUACUUGUUGGAGCAAGGAAAGAUUAAGUACCUUAGACCCAGAAGAAUUGUCCAUGUCAACAUUCUUUAGUUGGCAUUGCUUCUUAUUGUUUUUUAUAACAGAAGUUGCAGCUUCCACAAUAUAGCGUGUGGACCGAAAGUUUUUAUUAAGCCUAAUCUGAACCAUAAAGUUAUGUCAAAUCCCACAGAACCUCGUAAAAUAAAACUUACUUUCCUGUAAUUGUACAAUAUAUUUUUUCUGUACUAUAUAUAAUGAAAAAAGACACUGAAUGACAUAAGAUAACAUAGCAGUCAAGUGCGAAGCGAACCUCUUUGUAAUUUGAAAAAUCUUUACGAAAAGAAUCAAAUCCAGAAAUGUCCGCCCCAUUGAAACUGAAAAUGGACUGCAGCAGGAUAUAUGUUAUUUGAUUUAAAACAGAUAAGGGCUGGAUUAGAAUGAGCUGAGAGAGAGAGAGAGAGAGGGAGAGAGGGAGAGAGGGAGAGAGGGAGAGAGGGAGCAAUAACAUUGGAUUUCCAUAACAAAUCAACAACAUGCCUGAUCAUCAUCACCAACAAUGGUUAUGUGGUUAUGAGAGGCGAGAAUCCGCAAAAGACUAUAUUGCAUAGCACUUGUGUCUUGAAACUCGUCUAUUACAGUAGCUUUCCAUGACUCCUGGCACUCCUUCAACACUAAUUAAGAGAACACCAUGUAUCAACAUUUAGCAUUACUUGUAAAACUAGAUAAAUCAAUGAAAUAUACUUAGAUGAUAGAGACCUUCAGGAAAAUCACUUAGCAGCUUCACAGAGCAGCUAAUUAAGUCGUGGUAGUCCAAAGCAUUGCACGAUUUCAAGAUAUCAUUGUAAUUCCUAAGAAUUUCACCCUGAUUCAGAUUGAGAGCUAAAACUCAUAAGCAAUAGUUUCAAAGAACUGAAAUGAUAUCUGAAAUUCUAGUUCUGAGCGUACUCCUGUCACAUCACCCAUUCUUCGGCAUUCAGCCGGAGUCUUUCCAGAAGCCUUUGCCUGAAACAUAAAUAAAUUUAUUGCCUAAUGCCACAUAUUGUAAGACACACCAUUGUAUUGGUCAUUCUAGCUUGAUUGUAGCUAAUAUUUUUUAAAUCGAAUGAUUAGAGUUCUUAAUCCACAAUAAUCUGAACAUUAAAUUUGGUAUUCAAGACUAACCUGUGUCACCAACUACAGCCAUUUCCUUGAUGCAUCCUUAAAAUGAUGUGGAGAUGUUACGCCGUUAGACUCUUCCCCAUCUAUAGCAACAUUAAGAUUCGUUUACUCUUUUCAUCUUCUGAUAACCGCACAGCUUCAAUGAUUGCUCUUCUCUGUUGCCCAUGUCCAUAUAUCAAAAAUUCUGGUCUGCGCUCGAGUCUAAAACACAAGCCAACAUAACAGACUCAGCUAUACCACCAAAUGUAUGGUGUUCAAAAUCAAGGGAGGUGAAUCAAUAGCUUACUUCUCAGCAUGUGAUCGGCAAAGUUGCAAUGAAAAUGAAUGAAAUGUACUGAUUGUUAGUAGUUUUGCCGUUGCUUUCCCAGUCACAGAUCCAAUUCGAUCUCUCAUCUCGGAAGCUGCUGCUGUAGUGAAAGUCAUUGCUAGAAUGUUCGACGUGCUAAUGCCCUAAGAACACAAAAAAAAAAAAAAAAACGUAUAAGAUUUCGAUCAUAAACAAGAAAUGUAGAGAAACACACAAUUACGAAAGAAAAAGUUAGAGGGAAAGUAGCAACACCUCAUUGAGCAGCAUUAGAACGCGCCCAACUAUCGUUGAAGUCUUUCCACUUCCAGGGCCGGCAACAAUCAUCAAAGGUACUGAAAUAUCGCUGCAAGCUGCCUCGCGCUGCCUUUCGUUGAGAGAAAGCAAAUACUUCAAUACUCAUCCGGCAUGUUAGGCAAUCCAUGGUUAACAGAAUCUUUUUGGUUUUCACUACUCAAAGGUGGCGCUGAUGCGGCACUAACGUCACUACCACAACUCCCAAUAUCAUCACGCUGAAUGUCCACACUCGGUUUCUGCUCGAUUAAAGCGUCAAUUUCCUGCAAAAUACUCUCGUCGAAAUCAUCAUCGUUAAGAAUUCCAGAUGCAGAGAAAGAAUCAAAUGAAGUCAGAAACUGCGGUUGUCUGAUUGGAGUUGUGAAAGAAUCCGAUUUUGACACGCUUGAUUCGGUCCGGCUAACGCUUAAGCUCCCGGAACACGAAGCACUGCCAUAUUCACCACGCGUUGAAUUGUACCGGCUUGCGGAAAUCGGAGGCGGUGUUCUUUGAACUCUAUUGAGCUGAGUUGGCGUUUGGAUUCCAUUUCCGCCACAGAUUCUGGAAUUUGAAAAACACAAUUGAAUUGAUUUAAAUUGAAGCAAGAAAACAGCCGAGUAGCAAAAAAAUAGUAAGAAGAUGAAACCUUUGAUUCCUGAACGACUUACUUGGUAUGAGGGAGGUGAUGAUCAGGUGAAACGGCGUCGUUGCGGGGGCGUUUGCGAUCAAUGAGGGCCUUGGCGGCUCUGAAAUUCCGAGAGAUGCGGUUUCUUUGUUCCGCCGUGAGCCCUCCGCCGUACGCCUGAACGUUUUCCUUGGACAUUGCUUCGAAGAUUCCAACGGAGGAUUUGGCCUGACGGCCUGACCAGGCUGAUAACAGUGUAAAACCUUAGGAGCUAAGGAAAACUAAGAGAUAGAUCGUAGAGAGGGAAAGUUUUUUCUUUUUGGAAACUAGUAGGGAGGGAAAGUUUGUUAAACCUGAAUAAUAUUCUUUUCAUUCAACUUGUCUACAAUAAUUACCACUCUUGGUAUUUAUACAUUUCUAACACACCUCACUAACUAACUAAGACCACUACCAAUCAUACAAAAAUAAUUGUCCUUUGAUGAACUCUUUCACGAACAAAGUGGCAAUCAAUCUCUACAUGUUUGGCUUUAGAGUGCAAUACAGGUUUAGUGGCAAGAGCCAUUGCUUAAAUGUUAUCACAAUGCAAAACUGGAACAGAAGGAGAACCAACAUGCAAAUCUCGAAGAAGAUGUUGUAUCCAGAUAACCUUAGCAGUGGUUGUAGCCAUUGCUCUAUAUUCAGCUUCAGUGGAAGACCCACUCACUGUAUGCUGCUUUUUAGAACUCAAAGAGAUAGGAGUGACAAAACCCAUGGUUGAACGACGAUCAUUGUGAUCCCCUGCCCAAUCAGCAUAUGUAUGAGCUUUCAACUAAGAUGAACCUGAUUUAAAACACAAUCCCAGAGACAUAGUGCCUCUGAGAUAUCGCAGAAUACGUUUCACAGCAGCAAAUGAGUGGCUAAUGGUGAAUGCAUAAACUGACAUACUUGAUUGACGGAAAAAGAAAUAUCUGGUCUUGUAAAUGUUACGUAUUGUAGUGCCCCAACAAUACUUUUGUAAGUGGUAGGAUCAGAAACAGGUUCACUACCAUGAUUCAGAAGCUUUUGAUUAGGAUGACAAGGUGUGGAAAAAGGUUUACAGUCCAGCAUAUGCAUCUUUUGAAUGAGUUCUUUGACACACUUGGUCUGAUGAACAAAGAGUCCCUGUUCUUGAUAUUCAAUCUGUAAACCAAGAAAAUAAUGCAACACACCCAGAUCUUUCAUGUCAAACUCACUAGUUAACUGACUAAUAACAUUCUGAACCUUCACAGCAUCAUUACUAGUGGGAAUGAUAUUAUCAACAUGUAAUAAGAGAACAAUAAUUGAUGAACCAUCACACUUGACAAAUAAAGAAGGAUCUGCAUAUGAUGACUUGAACCCAAGCUUAGGCAAAUAACCUGAAAACCUGUCAUGUUAGGCUCUGGGAGCUUGCUUGAGUCCAUAUAAAGACCUCUCUAGUUUGCACACAUAAUCCGGAUAGGUAGAAUCCACAAACCCUUGGGGCUGAGACAUAAAAACUUCUUCCUCAAGAAAGCCAUGCAAAAAAGCGUUCUUGACAUCUAACUGUUUGAGUUUCCAAUUAUGAGAUGCAGCCAAGGAUAGAACCAAUCGAACUAUGUUUGGUUUGACCACAGGGCUAAAGGUUUCAUAAUAGUUAAUACCAACUUCUUAAGAAUACCCCUUAGCUACAAGUCUAGCCUUGUACCUAGCCACUAAACCAUCUGGAUUUCUCUUAAUCUUGUAGAUCCAUUUACAACUAACAAGAUUUUUGUCAGGUGGUAAGGGCACAAGCCUCCAAGUAUGAUGUUGAAUCAAAGCAUCCAUCUAUUCUUUCAUGGCAUUUUGCCAUUAAACACACUUGACAAUACUAGAAAAAGACUGAGGUUCCUUGAUUUCAGAAGCCUGAUCCACCUUAGCAGAAAACACCUUCUUUUUCAUAAUCCUAGACUUAGACCGGGUUUGCAUGGGAUGACAAUUUUGAGCAUUGAUACACACUGGUUGGAGAUCAUCCACUUGAGACAUUGUAGUAUUUGGAUGAUCUUUUGAAUACACAGUAGGCAAAACCUCUGAAGAAGGCACAAAACUUGUGGAAGAAGAGACAAGAUCACCAGAACUAGUGGGUUGAGAGGAUGAUGACUGAGUAACAUGUUGUGAUUUAGAGGUAAGAGAAGUGGGACCAAUAAAUGGAAAUGUGGAAGAAACACUAGGUGGAUGAAUGAAUGUGUUUGAAUGCACAACAGACAUUGGUGAGGAAGAAUGACCAGAAGUAACUUGAGGAUUGAAACCCAAAGCAUUAGAGUCUGUAGGAAACUUGGAUUCAUCAAAAAUAACAUGUCUAGAUACUAACAGUUUCUGAUCUUUGAGAGAUAAGCAAAUAUACCCUUUGUAUUGUGUAGCAUACCCCAGAAAAAUACACUUAGUAGUUUUAGGUUCAAGUUUAUUGCUUCUAUAGGGUUUCAAUGAAUGAUAGCAUAAACAACAAAAAAUUCUCAAAUGAUCAAGCUUAGGUGGAGAUUUAUAUAGCAUUUCAAAAGGAGACUACAUAUGUAGGGUAGGUGUGGGCAUUCUGUUUAUAAGAAAAGUAGCAGUGGCACACGAAUGGAACUAGAAUUUUGAAGGUUGAAACUUGUUGUAAAAAGGUAAUAGCUGUUUCGACAAUAUGUUGAUUUUUUCUCUCAGCCAACCCAUUAUGUUAUGGGGUAUAAGGACAAGAUUUUUGAUGAACAAUGCCUUUGGUAAGAAGAAAUUGCUUAAACUGAGUAUUAACAUAUUCCCCACCCCCAUCACUUUGCAAAAUUUUUACAUAAGCAUCAAAAUAAUUCGAGACAAAAGCAAGAAAGUUGACAAAACAGUGAGGGACCCCAAACAUCUAUGUGAAUUACUUCAAAUGGAGUAAGUGACUUCGAAGCAAUUACAGGAAAAAUGGAGCUUGGUAAAAUUUGCCUUGCAAACAAGCUUUACAAGUAUGAGAUUGAGAGUUACAAGGAAAAGAUAUACAAGACUUAUUAAGUGCUGCAGUGACAAUGGAAUGUGCAGGAUGGCCUAAUCGACAAUGCCACAAUGUAGAAUACAUCUUUUGACCCACAAAUGCAAUUGGAUUAAAAACAGGAGAAAUAGACCUAUGUGGUUUGAUUAUGGGAAGUGGAUAGACAACAUUAUUACUCAGCCCUUGGAAUAGCACUUUCCCGGUGACCUUGUCUUGUAGAUAGAGAGAAACAUCAUCAAUGAUACAAUGACACUGAUUAUCUUUGCACAACUGAUUCAUAGAUAAUAAGUGUUGUGACAGUUUUGGAACAUGUAACACAAAGUUUAACUUGAAAUUAUGUGACUUAGUGAGAAGAGAAGAGGAACCAAUAUGUUUGAUAGCUAAACCUUCACCACUAGCACUGGUCACAGUAUCAUUUGAUGGAUAAAUUUGUUGCCAUGUGCAAGUUUGACAAAUCUGAGGUCAUAUGGUUAGUUGCUCCCAAGUCAAGAAACCAUAAAUCUUGUUGAAGAGUUGAGGAUGAUGCACCAGCUCGUGCUUGUAUAGCAAGAGGAGGAUUUUGUGAGGAUAUAGUUGAGAGAUACAUAUGUGGUAUGACAUGAUACUGAAACUGGGAGCUAUUAGACCGUGGAAUCAUGCCUUGUGAAGGACCACAUGGAUUCUAGCUAGGUGCUUCGCCAUAUGACCCAGCAGGCAUUGGAGUUGGCAUAGAUGAGGAUAAACCCUGAGAGAAAUGCUUUGAUGUGCCUGUGAAAUUCUUAUUUCGAUCAAAGCAAGUAGCAGCAACAUGGCAAUUUCUGUGACAAAUUUGACAUCCAUGUUGAAAACAAUUCAAUGCAAAAUAAACUUUGCGAUCACAUAUUUGCAGAAAGGCCUUUGCAACCCUAGAAAGAAGAAGGAGCAAAGAAGACCAAAUGUGUACGUUUCUCUUUGGUUUUUUUUCCCUCUUAAUCACGCUGUUCGAAAUCACGGACCUCGGGCCUGGGCCUAGUGGGCCCAAUUAUGAGGCCCAUUAUCUCCGGUCUUCUCGUUCUACUUCUAGUUACCCAAAUUAAGAACGUACUGGUUCGCUUUUAGCGCGAGAGAGAAAUGGAGGCCCUGAUUGCCUCGUACGGAGACUCGUCGUCGGGCUCAGACUCCGAGUCGCCGGCUCCACCUCCAUCACCACCUCCGGAGCUCAACAACCCUCAAGAACCGACCCCUGCGCUGCCUCCACCUCCUCUGUCACUUCUCGACAACCCCAAUUCCUUCGGUAACCUCUGAUUCCCAUCAAUUUUCAUCUUUUAGCUUUCUGUUGUGAUGGCUUUUUCCGAGUUGCCCACCAAGUAUUUGAUGUUUUGCCUCUGAAGGAUUUCUGGACUUCUCGGCAAGCGCCCAGCCGAGCAGAGUUCGGAACUUUCCUCACGUCGAAGGGAACUACGCAGUACAUGUAUACAUCCCAGGUUAUCAAAAUUCUCGAAAUUUUCAGCUCCAUUAGCAAAUGCGAUCGCUUUGCACUUAGUUUUUGCUUGUUUAAUUCUGUGGUCAGUUUAUAUACCACCAGCACCAAGGAAAGAGAUGGCCUUGUUUUUGAACAAGCUAGCUUCUCUGGUGCCUGGUCUCCAUGCGGUUGACGUUGACUUCCUGCUUGACAUUCUGCGUAAGGACGAGCACAAGCUUGAACAAGUUGCUUUAGGCAGAGAGUUCCAUAUAAGUCUCGGAAGAACUGUUCCGAUUCGGGUGCACCAGAUUGAUUCCUUGGUGACAAUGCUGCGGCAGAAGCUUCAGAUUCAGAGGCGGUAUGGUUACAUUUACAUUCUCUUGUCUGCAUUGCGUGAAUUUAGUUCUGUUAUUUAACAUAAUUCUGUAAGCCUGCAAAUUUUUCGUCCAUUUUCAGUUUAACACAUUUUGUUAUUGUGAAACAAGUAUUGGAUUGAUUUUAGCAAGUGGUAGGUUUUUGUUAAUGAUGAUCAGACCCGGACCUUUGUGUCUAUCGAAAUCAUUGCUGCUGGGUUAGCUGAGGUAUGAUUGCUAGCUUUCUCUCUUGGUGCAAUUCUAAAUGUUUUCAGUUGUUAUAUGGGCUUAAGAUUUAGCAAGGACUUGCCGAAAGUCAUGGGAUUUUGAAAUAUCGAGAUCUUGCUUGCUUAUUAGCUUAGAUUUGGUCUUCGAUGCACUUGUAACAUGAAAAACACAAACGAAAACUAAUGCAUGAUAUGCUCAUGGUUUUAACAUGUGUUGUCCUGGCGUAAAUCAUGUUCCUAAUCAUGUCAUGUGAGUAUAAGCCUAUGAAACUUAGGGCAUGUUUGGCGGGCUGGACAAGAUUGGAAUUGGUAUUUCAGACUAGUUAGGUUAGGAUUGAACUGGAUAGGAUAGGUUUUUUGUCUAAAGAUUGGUGUAGACUGUCUUAACCAGACUAGGAACGAUGGGAUUUAAAACGUGAAACAGAUCGGCGACAUCCCAACGAUGACCCGCCCACCCAACAACUCUGCUCGUGACUUGCAACACCUCUCGUACCCUCCACGCCCCUUGCGGCCCGUCAGACCACUCUGAUAUCCUGGAGGAGUGAAACGUGGUUACUAGAAGCAUACCUGUUUUCGUAUUAAUGCACGGUUGAAUCAGCUUUCAUUGUCUACAAGUCUGAAAUAUUUUAACUUCCAUUGAUUUCAGAUAACAAAGCAGAUUCAAGCUGUGAAUGAGGUGUAUAAGCUUCACAAUCAUCCUAAAUUUUACAAGGUUAGCUUUUUCGUCCUUUUCAAACUCGAAUCGCUUCCUGAAUAUAUGACAAUAUAUUGGAUCAAAUGAUUUCUCAAAAAACUAAUUCACUUGAUGGGGUCUUGGUGAUCACAGGAUCCACGCCCUCACAUCUCGGUAGCUUGGGCAUUGGGUGACAUCAGCAAUUCCCUGAACAAAGUGGUUGAAGAAGAAAGACGAAGAUCUACCAUCGGAGGAUCGUUACAGAAAUGUAUUUUUACCAGUAAAUUCAAUGGUAUCGAAUGUAGGAUUGGUAAUAAGACACACAAAAUAUGUAAAUUUUCUGAAGAAUAAUGUAGCCAUUUAACUGUAUUGUGAAAUUCCGAGAAUAUAUCACUGAGCAUUGGAUGAGAAGACAUUUCUUCGUUGGUGUCGAACUUCUUGUCGAAGGUAUUGGCACCAGUGUAAACGUCAUCAUCCAUGUUGAUGGUAAUUACUUCCCAGCUACUAAGGGUGUCGGAACAGCCUUGCACGCAGCCUCCUGUGCAUUACUUGGUAUUGUCUCAGAUUCUCCAAACUUGAAUGCUAAUGUAAACCCACUCUUGACCUUUCCGUCAUCUGCGAUUACCGGAAUGCCGGCUUGGAUGUUGCCGUUGACCUACCGAACUUAAAAUACCGACGAAAUGUUGGAGUACUUAAGUGUACUACUCGUUUUUGUAUGCGAGAGCUCCACCUCUAUCGUUGUAACAGCAUCUGAUGCGGACUAGUCCUUCAUUCCCGUUACUCUUUGCCAUCUCCACUUCGAACUUGGCGUGAUGGCUCCCGGCCUCCUCUCCGGUGAAAUUGAGUAACCCCGGAGCUGGCGUGCCAUCAAGAUUUCCGUCGUGUCUCUAUUUGCUGUUGUGGUUUGGUUUCACCACUAUAAACUUGGCAGAGUUGGCAUUUUCAUUCUGUUGUCUGUAUAUCUUGAUAUUACAAGUAUUUGUUGUGCAAAAUGCAUGCUAAGUUCAACUUAUGUUUAUAUGUGUGUGUGUGUGUGUUGCCACUUUUCCAACGUUUUCUCCAAAAUUGUGACGAGCAACAAAGCAGUUUUGAUUCCGUGCACAACAACGAUACCUCGAAAGAAAUUGAUUCUUCCCCAGAAAGAUGUUUUAAAACAAAGUUGAACAAGGGAAGAAAACUUUUGAAUCGCAAUCAGAUGUCUGGUCAAAUUCUUUAACAGUUGAUGUAUACAGAAGUUCCUUGCUUAUGACACGACUUAUGAGAGGAUGUAUGUAUUGCAUUUGCAUCAAAAGAAAGAAAGAAGGUUGUAAGUGGUAAGGGAACGACUACCGAUGCCGCUCCACUUCUAAUCAAAGGGAUCGAUCCGAGGGUCGUGUUCACUUGCCAUCGCCAUUCCAGUGCAAAGGCAUGUCGGGCACAUUACCUGCCACAUUUACAGACGCAAUGUUAGAUAUAGCUGCCAUUUGGAAGUCAUCUCUCAAAAUUUUGCUACUAAAUCAAUCUUAAACUUCAUUUCCAGUGCAAUUUUUUUCUUCUGAAUUGUCUUUCACAUGCCCGACAAAUAGAAGUAUCACCAAACAUGUGAAUAUAGAGCAUCUAAGCGGCAGGCACUAAAAGGAAUUUAGUAUGCAAUAAACAUUCAACGGACAUAAUUAUAUGUCUAACCUUUCCCGCUCCUGAGCAAUUUGAACAUCGUUCAGUUUUUGGCAGAGAUAGGGGUUGGUUUCCGCCAUCAGCUGUCGAUACUGGUUCAGUAAGAACAAGGGUUCCAGUGCUGGAGCAACGAGCACAAGCAAGAGAUCCUGCGUAAGUAUCAAAUACACAGGUAAGUUGACAUACGAAACCAAUCCGAACAUCUCCAUCGUAUAUAUUUAAAGCUACAGUACAUAAACUAAAAGUCAGAAAUAUAGGACAUUAUCACACCAGUUCCAAGACAAUAUUUGCAUCGUUUAUGCUCCUGCUGUUUCACAUUGUUUAUUUCAACUACCAUCAAUGCUGAGAUCACUCCGACUGCUCCUCCAGAGAAUGACGCCACUAUGGGAUCAACUUGACUGCAGUUUGAAAGUAAAGGAGAUCAAUAAACGAAACUGGUAACAACAUAGUAUCAACAUUAUUUAGCUUCGUUUCAAGAAAGAUGACAUCCUAGGUUUUUCUAAUGUGUAAAAAUUGAGGAUCCUCGUAAAAUUUGACCAUAUCGGUUCCCAAAGCAUUUGAUUCCUACGUUACAGACGGAAAACAGCAACAAUCGAAUUUAAAGAUUCAUAACACGAUAGAUGGUACAAAAUUUCAAAACGAUAAUUACUAGAGAACAGGAGGGUUAAUAGCCUGAGAUAUGAGCAAUACCUCAACUGCAACGGCAGAUGCAUAUUUACUAUAAAGUCUUUAUAUGAUGUGCCUCCUAUUCCCAGCUUCAACUCCAACUGAAAGAUGUAAAGGUAAUUGUAGGCAAAGAGUUACAAACAUAACCGAAUCCAUGUUUUAUAAGCAACAACUACACUUAUUUUGAUAUGUUUCCUCAUUUUUUACUUGCAAAUUCCGAACCAUAUUGUCGGACCAGUAAAAGAAAAUAAUGUUUAUGAUAACUGUUAAAACUAAUUACAACAAGUUAAUGCAUAAAGAACUUACGGAGGGUGCUAUGAGGCCACCGAAAAGGAUAAACCCCACAAUAAUUGAAUAACAAACAGCAUAAUACUGCUUAAGGUUGUCUGAACUCUGCAAGCAAUGAAUUCACCUUGUGAUUAAUACUUUGCACAAACACUAGUUUUCGCAAUUUUUUAUGAAUCGACAAAAGGCUACAACAAAAUAUGGCUAAAACAUGUCGGGGAUAUGAAAAUACAUGUCUUCACAGGGGCACCAGCUUACCAGGGGAGGCAAAAAUGGAAUGAACGAUGGAAAACUAGGAAGUUCGUUUUCUUGAUCUUCAUUUACCGCUCCAAGCUCUGCACGUUUAAUCCGCUGUUGUAUCCUCAGCCUGCGAACCUACGCAUAUCGAAGCUCAUUCUUAAAGAACACAUUUCUAAUGGCAAUUGGAGAGUAAUUUAAAACAUGCUAAACUGAGAAAGUGGUAGCAACUAGUAAUUGCUCUCACCUCCUCCAUAUGCAAGAAAAUUUUGUUGCGACGACUCCGAAUAUUAUCUUGAAUUUCCUGCAGCUCCAUUGUGGCAAAAUCCUGCACUGUUUCAGGCCCCUCUAUGAUACAAAAUCUGCACCAUUAAGCAUGUAAAAAUUAAAAAUUACAGGCUACAAAGCAAUUUCCGUAUAGUUGUUGGGUUAAAUAACAUCAACAGCAAAUAAAUCACAUAGGUUUUUCACAUAAAGUUACAAACUUUCAAGGACUAAUAAGCUGUCUGCAAUCUCAUAAAUUUCACAGUGCAAAGUAACAAUCCAAAGCUUGGAACUUUAAAUUUCCACCUUCUGUUAAUUUUUUAGUGCACCUGGUGUCGUUAGAUUCGAGUAGUAUGUCACAUUAAAUUUUUUUUUUCUGUGCAUGCAUUUUUUUUUAAAAGAAAAUUUUAUAUUGUUAAAGAGCGAGUUCGAAACUAUUACAUUAUGGAAGGACAUAGUACCGAAACUCCGACGAUCAAAAACAAAAUCAUGUACAACCACUCCAAGCAGUCAACAUGGCCAUCACAUAUUGAAUCCAAAAUGUUGACGCCCCAUUCGCUGCAUAUAAUGUACAGACGAGCGGCAGCUUCAACCAGUUCUGCCAUAUCCGGCUGGAUGAGAGCAGCUAAAGACAUGAUUGUUCCCUAAUAACAUGAAUAAAUUGAGUAAACACCAAAAGUAGCAGCAAGGGAAGGAGAUGUGAAGUAUAUGAAGAGGUGUAAGACCUGUGAAUGUCCAGCAACAAAGAUUUUGGAGCUUGUUGUCGAAUAAUGCAACGCAUCAUUUCUGGUAGAUCAAAUAGAGCCAAUUCCCGCCAACUCCAAUUCCAAAAUUUCUACAGUAAAGCAUAAAUCUUAUUCUCUCUUCUGAUAAAGAUGAGUGUCCCAGACUCCAACGUGUUCCACACACAUUCCCUACCCAUACAUCGAAACCUUCAUCUGCAAGGACGAAUCCCAGCGAUUCUUCUGGAGAAUUUAAGAAUCAUGCAUCACCUGGUUAAGAUCAAGAAAAGCCAGUAACCAAGUUCAAUUGAGUUAAAAUGUAUCCCAUGGAUGUUCAUCACUUUGCCCAAUUGUUCUUUUCAAGAAAGGAAAUUUCAACAGAACCUGAAAACUUCAGAUCAGGGGGCACCAAAUAGUGAGCUAUACAUUCAAAAUUUGAAAUAAUCAACUUAGUAGGACCAGUAUGUUGAAAAAAUGGGAAGGAGCUAUGAAAGUAAGACUUUUCACUAAUCAGGCGUCCAGAGAAUCCAUAUUUUACCCGCGUAUCAGUUACGGGGAACACUCCCCACCAGAGCAAUCUCAUUAGUCCUUCACAUCUCAACCGUACAGAAGUUGCACUAACAAACAUGACUCCUAUUAGUCCUUCACAUCUCAAAUCCAGGAAGUACCCAUCUUUCGUCUGAAUCUGGAAAAUAAGCAGCAGUCAAUUUAACAAUCUCGGUAUCUCAAAGUUACUCACUUUAAUCACAAAUUUAGCAAUUAAACAUAUAAAUGGGCAUUUUUUUAGGGAAAUAUUAGUAUAGUACUCACUGUGUGCUCGGAGCAAGAGUACCCAGAAAGCUCAAUGAGCUGCGCACAGAGGACUGCAGUGGUGAACGACAGCGACCAAUUCUGUAAAAUUUAGUCGAGUUUUGGGAAAUUUCUGCAGCGAUUUCGGAGGUCAAGAGGCUGAUAAGGAAAGCCGCGACCAAAGGGCACUGGUCUGGAAGAAAGGCUUUGGUCGCCGCUAUCGCAAUUCGCGAAGGAAGAAGUGCCCCAAAACAAUUUCGGCCCUGGACAGGUGCACUGUUUGCACUGAGCCAGGGCCGGCCCUGAAUCGCGAUAACGUCCUUCUCCAAACAGUAUAUAUACAGAUGCUAGAAAAAUCUACCGGAACUAUUCAAUUCUAGCGUCUACAGCUUUAGCAUUAGUUGGUACAAGGGGCAUUCUUCCAAAGAGGGAGAUGAAAUCGUUGAGGCACCAAAUAGUGAGCUAUACAUUCAAAAUUUGAAAUAAUCAACAUGGUAGGACCAAUAUGUUGAAAAAAUUGGAAGGAGCUAUGAAAGUAUGGCUUUUCACUAAUCAGGCGUCCACAUAAUCAAUAUUUUACUCACAGAUCAUUUACGGGGAACACUCCCCACCAAAACAAUCUUUUUAGUCCCUCACAUCUCAAACCAAGUAGAAAUUGCAGUAACAAACACAUCUCAAACCCAGUAAGUACCCAUCUUUCGUCUGAAUCUGGAAAACAAGCAGCAGUGGAUUCAACAAUCUGGGUAUCUCAAAGUCACUCACUUUAAUCACAAAAUUAACAAUUAAACAUAUAAAUGGGCAUUUAUUUAGUGAAAUAUUAGUAUAGUACUCACUGUGUGCUCGGAGCAAGAGUACCCAGAAAGCUCAAUGAGCUGCGCACAGAGGGACUGCAGCGGUGACGACGGCAACCGAUUCUGUAAAAUUCAGUCGAGUUUUGGGCGAUUUCUGCAGCGAUUUCGGAGGUCAAGAGGCUGAUAAGGAAAGCUGGGACGGAAGGGCACUGGUCUGGAAGAAAGGCUCAGGACACCGCUGUCCCGAUUCAUGAAGGAAGAAGUGCCCCCAAAACAAUUUCGGCUCUGGACAGGUGUACUGUUUGCACUGGACCAGGGUCGGCCCUGGCGAUAACGUCCCCCAAACAGCACAUAUACAGAUGCUAGAAAUAUAUAAAUGUAACCUGAAACUACUAGAACCAUUCAAUUCUAGCGUCUACAGCUUUAGCAUUAGUUGGUACAAGGGACAUUCUUCCAAAGAGGGAGAUGAACUCAUUGAGGCUCUUAUUUAUUCCUCCUCUUGAUGUGCCCUUUUAGGCUGCUAAUUCCACACGAUCCAAUUUCAUACAUCUUCCCUGCAAAAGCAUGUGUGCCUGACUUCAAGAUCAAAUUUUUCCAACAAAAGAAACUUAAAGAUCAAACUCGCUAGCGGAAUAAGUGGUGCACAAGGGUGUUAAAAUCUUGACAUAUGUAUAUUUUUGGCAGAUUUUAUGUGAGCAUGCAACUAAAACUGGCAUCACUAUCAAUGGUGCACAAAGAUUGGUGGAAAACUUUAACAGUUUGAGUUGUAACUUCUCCAUUGUAUUUGUUAAGGCAAGACGGAUGUCAUCUAUUCAUUUUUCUGUAAAACUUAAAAGGCUGCAUAGCAGCUCUUGUUCGUUGUAUUGAAUACCAUGGUUUUACUGAUGAAUGCAGAGUUUGCUGAUGAUUCAUACGACAAGCAAUUGAAAAUCCCAUCAUUAUGCCCCGCAUAUACCAGAAGAAAAAAAAGUCAUUUACACAAAUUCAGAGCGUUCAUCCACUGUAAUUUGCAGAUAUGGAAACGUUAAGAUAAAAGGAAAUGCAAAGUACCUUUCACCCAAAUUGGAGGAGCAACGGUGGCAUUAGCAAGCUAGCAACGGGAAUUGACAUACCAAUAUCUUCACAGUUUCUGCACAAGAACAAAUCAAAAGAAUCCGGCGGUGGAGUUAUGUACCUCUCCUUGGAAAAUGCCACCUCCUGGGAUUUCAAAAUAUACGGCCGUGGCUAGCCGUCUGACCACGCCAAUUCCACCAAAGCCGCCGCAACGUGGCGUAGUGUCCGGUUGAUUGCUUCAAAACAGAGCUUCGUAUCCAUGUGUUUAUCAGCAGAGAGUACCCAAAACCCCUGAAAAUUAUUUCUUUAUUCAGAUAAUAAAAUUUCCCAAAUUUCGAAUUUUAAUUCCGAACAAAAAAAAUAGGGUUUGAAUUUUGAUUACCUAGAAAUUGGGGGGUUGGGGUGGAGAGGGACUCGGGCCAAGACACAGAUAUGCAUCCGUGAUAAGGUGUGCAAGGCUUUUGCAGUUUCUCAGAUCUAAACACUGAAGCCCCGUAAGCCGUUCAAUCCAGGGGGAAAGCUCUUUAAUAGAUGUUCCAUCCAAGAAAAGAAAUCUUAAUCCUUCCAUAUUUUCUUCAAUGCUUGGAAACACCUCAAAUUUUGUACAACCGGAAAGAGAGAGAAAGGCAAGGGACUUCAGCUGACAAAUGCUACUUGGAAGACUCUUAAGUUCUUUACAAUUUUCUAGCUUCAAAUGAUUCAAUCCCAUGAGAUUAUUAAUUGAUAAGGGCAGUUCUUUAAUUUUCGACCCAGAUAAAUCAAGAACUUUUAACCCCUCAAUCACUUCUGAAAUCUCUGGAAACAUCUCAAGACUCCAGCAACCAUAAAGAUCAAAGGUUUUGAGAGAUUUCAUAUGAAUGCUGCUUGGAAGACUCUUAAGUUCCUUGCAAUCUUGUAGAUUCAAAUGACACAACCUCGUAAGAUUAUUAAUUGACGGGGACAGUUCUUUAAUUUUUGAGCAGGGUAAAUCAAGCUUUUCUAACCCCUCAAUACCUUCUGAAAUCGAUGGAAACAUCUCAAGACUGGAGCAGCCAUAAAGAUUAAAGGUUUUCAGACAUUUCAUAUGAAUGCAGCUUGGAAGACUCUUAAGUUUCUUGCAAUCUUUUAGGUUGAAAUGACUCAACCCCGUGAGAUUAUUAAUUGACAGGGGCAGUUCUUUAAUUUUGGACCCGGAUAAAUUAAGCUCUUCUAACUCCUCCAUACCUUCUGAAAUCUCUGGAAACAUCUCAAGACUGGAGCAGCCAGAAAGAUUAAAGGUUUUGAGAGAUCUCAUACGAAUUUUGCUGGGUAGAAUCUUAAGUUCCUUGCAAUUUGAUAGGUUCAAAUGACACAACCCCAUGAGAUUAUUAAUUGACUCGGGCAGUUCUUUAAUUUUGGACUCGGAUAAAUUAAGCUCUUCUAACUCCUCCAUACCUUCUGAAAUCUCUGGAAACAUCAGAAGACUGGAGCAGCCAAAAAGAUUAAAGGUUUUGAGAGAUCUCAUACGAAUUUUGCUAGGUAGAAUCUUAAGUUCCUUGCAAUUUGAUAGGUUGAAAUGACUCAACCCCAUGAGAUUGUUAAUUGACUCGGACAGUUCUUUAAUUUUGGACCCGGAUAAAUCAAGCUCUUCUAACCCCUCAAUCACUUCUAAAAUCUCUGGAAACAUCUCAAGGCUCACGCAGUUAAUAAGAUCAAGAGUUUUGAGAGAUUGCAUACGAAUUUUACUAGGUAGAAUCUUAAGUUUUUCGCACCCAUUCAGAUCCAAUAAAACAAGUUUUGUAAGAUUCGAAAUAGAUGGGUGAACCUUAACUAACCCUAUACAACCAUGAAGAAUUAGCCUCUCAAGAUUUGGCACAUUUGUGAAGUCAGGGGUUUCCUUAAGGUAUUCACAAUAACUUAAAUUGAUGAAUUUCAACUUUUCCUGCGUCUGUUAAAACAUUCAGGAAAACAUGCAUUACUUAAUAAGACAUCUCACUCAAAGCCCAAACAUUUAAAAGAAACAAAUACAUGUAAAUGAUUGUACAUACCUGGGUUCCUUCCCAAAGUCGGUCAAUGUGGCUAUAUUGCAUGUCAAGUCCAACAAGAUUUUCGAAUUGAAAGUUGGAUGGCAAAGACUUGAGCGGGAAACAAGACCAGGAAAGAAACCUCAACUCACUAGAAACAAACUUUAAGGACCCAGUCAGGUGUUGUAUGCUGAAAGUACCGAUCUUGAGAAGUCUUAGUUUAGUCAUCCUAUCAAAAGCUUUAACAAUUAAGCAUCCCUCAUAUGAGUGCCCCAAAUCUAGGAUUAUGCUUUCAACUGUUUCUGUACCCUGUGCAAAUCAAAGGGAAGGAAAAAGCAGAGAACCUUAGUUUAGAUUAUGAAGUUAAUGCUUGUUUCUUAAGGAGUUGUUUGAUAAUAAUUUUGUUUUCACUUUUCACUUUUGUUUUGAUUAUUUAUUUAGAAAUCUGAAAAUUGAAAACAUAUAACUUGUUUGUAAUUGUUUUCAAUUUUCAAUUAUUAAAAAAAUGAAAAUUUAAAAAUAUAAAUGGAAACAAAAGUGGUUAUCAAACGAGCUUAAGAAAUUGAUUUUGGUCAAAAGUUGAAGCUUUCUACUAAACAUUGCAUAAGAAAAGAAAUUAUCACCGUAUUUUUAGUUAUCACAUGAAAAACAUCUUCAUAACUCCACAACCUACUUCGUCUCCCAGGCUCUUUGAUAGAUUCUUGGUAGACGAUUUUCUGACCCAUUUCCUCUAGUAAAUCAUGCAUCUCCAGUUCCCCCCUCCAUGAGACAGUUACUAGAGCUCGAUCGAUUAGAACUUUUAUUCCAAUAUCAGGAUAGGAACCACAGCUGUGCAGAACUGUGGUUGCAUAGUCUUUUCUCAUUCCUUUAAAGAAACAUGCAAUAUCUAGAAAGAUAUCCUUCUCCGUGUCAUCUAGUCCAUCGAAGCUUGUUUUAAGCACAUCAUGAAUUCCCUUUUGCGGGAUUUUCUUUAUUUUUUCUAACUCAUUUUCCCACUGGCGUACAUUUUUGUUAUAAAGAAAAGCUCCCAAGACUUUGAGUGCUAAAGGCAGACCUUGAGCAUAAUUUACAGCACGACUCGAGAUCAUCAUAAUCUCUGUUGGGUUGGUUUUUUCUAAAGGCGUACCGCCUAAAGAGUUCCAGAGCUCCAUAAUCACUUAAAAUCUUGGGAUUAUAUAUCCCAUCAGCUAUGCUUAGUAAUUGCGAAUCUCUGGUUGUUAUAAUAAUUCUGCUUCCACCACCAAAGGAAUGUGGCUCUCCAAGUAAAGCUUCAAUUUGUUCUAAUUCUUCCACAUCAUCAACAACAAUAAGAACUUUUCUCCGACCUAGACUAUUUAACAUCACCUGGAAACCUUUAUUCGAAACGUCGGAACUCCCCACCCUGUUGUUCGAGAUACUCGAUAGAAGUUCUGCCUGCAUAUGUAGUUUGCCAUGCUUCAUGAAACCUUCCUUGAAAUUUUCAAGAAAGCAACAAGCUUUAAAUCCACCAGAGAUUUCAUUAUAAAUAGCUCUAGCGAUGGUUGUUUUGCCUAAACCACCCAUACCCCAUAUUCCAACAAUGCGAACAUCAUUAGUUUCAACUCCAGGAGGAUGCAGUAAUGAAUGCAUGUUAUGCAUAUGAGAGUCCAUUUCAACCAAGCCAUUAUAUUUGCUUGAGGAUGAUGAGAUGUAUCGCCGACCCCACUUAGUGGGAAAAGGCUUUGUUGUUGUUGUUGUUGAUGAUGAUGAUGAGAUGUGGAUCAAUUUCUUAAAAACAUCUUCUACAAUUUUCUCAAUAAGCUCUGCAUCAUCCCUGUCAAAUUUAAAACACAAUAUAAUUACAACACCAAAUGAUACUUAAUGGGUCGUUUUGAUAACAAUUUCGUUUGCAAUUUUUUUUAAAUCUAGAUUUUAAGUUUGCAGAUUUUGUUUUCAGUUUUUAGUUUCAAUGAAAGUAGUUAUUAAACAAGGUUUCCAAUUUUUCUUUCAUGGUAUACAGUACGUAGUCCCAAAUAUCAGUAGUUAGAUCUUGCAUUUAGAUCUAAUGGGUAUUUACAACCUUUUUUCCUGAGAAUUUUGUACCAUUGUAGCCAGAUCACAUGUUUUCAUCCGUUAGUUUUAUAAAAAUGGAAACUACAAACUUAAAAAAAAAAAAAAAUAUAUAAUAUAUAUAUAUAUAUAUAUAUAUCAAAUGGCCCCUAAAUGCUAUUAAAAAUCUCAAAAAUUAACAGGAAACUAAAACAAAUUAGAAUUUAUUCAUGGUUUCGCAAAUCCCAGCCGGAUAAACUGGUGGCCGUUGUAAGAGAGGACCUCCAGCCGGAUAAACAUUUUCGAGUUAUUUGAUAUUUGUAUAGUAAAAAUACUUUAAUAGCAAGUGCGCGUGAGUGAAGAAAUUGAACUUACUUAUAUUCUUUCGAAUCCCAACCGGAAAAAUUGCAGGCUCUGGGAAGAGCGGACCUCCAGCUCUGCACCUCCUUCACGUCAACGUUAGAACGACCUUCAUGUUUAGCAAAAGCUUCUGCAAAACUUCCCUCGAGUUUACGAAUAUUGGACGGAUCGACUUGGUAGAAAAUGGGGAAUACAAUCUGGUUCUUGGAAUGGUUGCAUUCCAAGAUUUCCACGAGUUCUUUCAAGCACCAUGUGGAUGAAGCAUAGUUUUGAGAGAAAACUACAAUCGAAAUCCUUGACUCUCGAAUCGCUGUCAGGAGCUCGGAAAGGCGGUCGCCUUUUCUGAGGUCUUCGGCAUCAAUGAAGGUGUUGAUUGGUUUCUGACGCAGAGCUUUGUAGAGAUGGCUGACGAAGCCCGUGCGAGUGUCUUCCCCUCUAAAACUGAUGAACACAUCGUAUUCCCAACCAAGGCAAGAAGAAGAAGAAGAAGCAGCCAUUAAUCGAUCUCACCUGGGCAGCGAUGAUCGAGCAGCUAAGACUAAGAGAAUUGUAAGUACAGAAACACUCAAUAGAUCUACAAAUUGGAUCACCAGAAAUUAGUCAAUGAGUCAAUGCAAAAGGGAAAAGGGCAAUUAUGCUUUUUGCGUUUUCACAUCUUCUUCAGGAAAUUUCGGUGUGAAAGGAAUCCGCAUACUUUUGAUUUUUCAACCCAAGAAAAUGCGAAGAAAGGGGACAAAGUAGUAAAUUUAAUCUACAGUUAGUUACCUACUCAAUAACCUCUUGAUUUAAUAUAUAUUUAAUUGGGAAAAGUAGUUUAGAGCAAGGAUGUUAUCUCCUUUUCUUCUCUCUCGAUCAGUCAAUCUUCCCGCGUGCGAUUUAAUCAUGAUUAAAGCUAAGCUUAAUCUUAGGUCGUAUUAUUUAGGUCUAAUUGGAUUCUUAAUUCUUGUGAUAUAGUAGUUGGAAGAUUAAAAAAAAAUUAUGAUUUAAACGUUUGUGAUGAAGUCUGUUACGAUUUAAAUUCAAAAUUGAAAAUUUCGUUAACUCCAUUAAUUGUUAGCACAUGAGACUCACAAAUGAAACUAAAAAUAUAAAGUUAGCCUCACAUGUAAUCUUCACGUGCUAACAAUUAAAAGAGAGUUCCGUUUUAGCUUAAUAUAUGUGACUCACGUGUUAAUAAUUAACAAAAUAUUAACAAAAAUUUUAAUUUUAAGCAUAAAUUCAAAUAAACUUCACCACAUAAGCUUAAAUUCUAAUUUAGAUAUCUUCUAAUUUAGAUAAUUUUUAACUGCAAGAUGUACGAUGAACGGAUAUAAUUCACAAAUCUCCAAAAUCCUUACAAAAAAUAUCCGAAAAAGAGCCAAAUUCAAUGGAAAUAAGCUAAUUUUGAAUCAAAUAACAUUACUUUAUUUUGUAAAUAAAUUAAUUUUGAAUUGAACAACAUUCAUUUAUUAUGUAAGUAAUUCAUUUUGUAUGUAUCAUCAUAUAUAUUAGGCACAUUUUAUCAUAGGUGAUUUUGUGAAAAAUUAAUAAAAAGUUACAAUAUUAACAAUAGAUCAAUAAUAUUUAUGUUAAUUAUAAAUAGGCUAACCAUGUAUUAUGAUACUUAAAUGCAUUUAAAAUAAAUAAAAAUUACAAAAUCUACUACUACAGCUAGCAUUCACUUCAACUAAAGCAAUACGUAGUUUUUAUAUUUGGAAUAAGUCAUACGAAUCAGAGACAUGAAGAGGUGUAAGAACUGUGAAUGUCCAACAACAAAGACUUCGGAGUUUGUUGUCGAAUAUCUGCAGCGCAUCAUUUCUGAUAGAUCAAAUCGAGCCAAUUCCCGCAAACUCCAAUCCCACCACCACCUUUCAAGCCGGACUCAGCCCUCCGGGCGGCAUUUGGCAGGACAGCACUGGAUCAAACAAGAUUGAGACUGGCAGUGGGAGCAAUGAACGAGCACACUCAGCAGGGAAGUCCAUCAUGGGUUCUAACCACACAUUGUUUCUCUACUUUGUGGCUUCCAACACGAUUGGAUUUUUUGUUUCACUUUACAUGAUCAAUGUCCUCACCAGCAAUUUCCCUCUGCAGUUGGAGCUUCAAAUUUGUAUUGUCGCGAUGUACAGCACGUACAACACUGCAGUUUUCAGCAUUGCACCGGAGAACGUGCGCUUCUUCGUCCUUCUGUUCUCUGUAGUUUUCCCAACUUUGGUUACACUUGCUGUCCAAAAUGAUCGUCUUUCGACAUACAUCACAAUGGCGAUCUUUAAUCAUAAUGACUUGUACUGCUCGAUCAAACGAGACGCAUGGAGGCGCGACGUAGGAGCCACGGUGCAGCCCAAACUUUGCAGAUAAGAAAUCUGGUAAUUCACAGCAUCACAAACAUGUUACUGGGUCUCCUGACCAUCGUAGAUGCCAAUGUGUGCACAAGGAAAGGAGUAAGGUAAUCAAAUGCUUGAGUCUUGUGUACCUGUUUCGGUGUUGGUUCGGAUGAACCCAUUGAGUUCUCGAUCCUUAACUUCUGGAAAUGCUCCUGAAAGCAUAAAUAUAUGUACGGAUUUAAACCAAUGGCAAAUGGACAUAAUUUACGGACAAUGAUUGAAGAAAAUACAGAUAUAAACGCCUCAGUAUUCCAUUGACGAAAGUUCUAGAUUUGAUGAAUCAAACGUCCCACGUUGAGACUGCGUUAAGGCAAAUGGUUCUCAAACACAAAGCAAUAGUUUGCUACCGAAAACAACCAAAGUCUGACAAAGGGAACCGUCUUACACCUAACCUGUUUUUCCCUCAUCAAAUGAGCGCGUUGAUCUGCAGGUAUUUUCUGCCAUCUCAAAACCUGUUACAAAGAAAUAUAACGUUGAUGUUGAGCUGGAUAGCAUAUUAUACCAAUUAUGUGUACAAACCUAUUGAAAUAAAGUAGCUGUAGUUGCAUAUUACGACAGAUAUUAACGAAAACAAAAGAAGGCUCGCCUAUUCAAGAUCCUAAAUCCCAUGAUUCUUUUGUUUUUAGUUUCAGAAAUUUUCAGAGCACAAACUGGAAAGUACCAAGAUACUUACAUAUUGGGCAUAAUGAAAUGCAUCUUCAUCUUUCAAGCAAGAUUUCAGUGAGCGCAAACCAUCCUGGGAGUUACAUAAGUCAAUCAGUAAUAUAAAAACGUAGAUGCAUCACAUCCAAACACAAGUAUUCAAACACCAACAACUUCUUCAUGCGGUGAGGCAUGUUAAAAAAUAGGGAAGAACAGUUAUUGAAUAGGAAGUUAAAGGACUAAAUUUAUGACCUUGUGUUUGUAGUUCUUGGCUCGUAUGCGUUCAUCUAUUACAAAACCAAUCUGUAACAGGUACAACAGAAAAUAUAAGCAGUAGUCAGAACAUUAAGCAUCGGCAUUCAAAUUGCCGCCAAUCCAAAGUUAAAAGUCUAAAGGCAAAACAGUAUGAUUCUUAUCUCUCAAACAAAAAUGAAACUAUACCCCGGUCUCAGACAUAAAUGAAAUAAGUUCUACUGCCUCAACUGAGUACUGUGAUUAUAUAUAAAUCCAAUUCACCUUGUCAAGUAAUCUCUUAGGAUCUUGAAAUGCUUGCUUCUUAGCCCAGUCAUUAAAUACAUGCGAGAUAAUCGAUCUCUCAUCCACACUGAAUCUAUUGCACAGUGACAGGAGAAUAAAGUCAAACAUGAACAUAACCAACCAAAAAUGCUAGUUAUAAUAGUACACCCAUAAUUGCAAGCAAAACCUUUUUAAGAAGCCAUUUCCAUGGUUUUCCUCCCCAAAUUCCAUCAAUUCUGCAGAGGCAACGUCAAAUUUACUAUGAUGGAGAUCAUUUUGCACCAUAACAACUUCAGAAGGUAGGAGAUUUGGUUUGAGAUCAUCUGUUGACGGAGUAGUUUCUUUUGAAGUGUCAUGAUGCUUUGAUUGCAAGCCUUCUGUACUUACGUCAGCCUACAAAACAAAAAUUGCAUUCAUCCACACUAGACUUAAUAAGAUUAGAAACACUUCAGAUUCUUCACUAUUUGUAAGUUUGACUAAACAGCAGAACAACUGAGGAUAAUGAACAGUAAUACACACCUGGACUUCUCGUAGAUGAUUUGGAAUUUCUUUCAGAAAUCGCGAAGGUUGAAGCAUCUGAAGGAGCCACCUUCUCAGUCAGAGCAACAACAACAAAUAAGGAGGACAGGAAUUCAAGCUAAAACGAACCUGCCAACUGGAAUCCAUCGUAACAUAAAGAAUGAAAAGCUUUUUUCGAGCACGAGUCAUUGCAACAUAUAAUAGGCGUCUUUCCUCCUAUGAUUAGAGUGGGAUUAUUGAGUUAUUGACCAAAAGAAAAAAGAGUGGAAUUAUUGUGACAAACACUUCAAAGCUCUGCAUAUAACUGAAAAAUGUUGAACAAUUUACCACACACCUCAAUGGAGGUCCCAUUUUCUUUUGCAACGCCAUUGAAUUCAUGCAACAACGGAAUCUCAGAUUCAUUUACCUGUGUUAUUGGCAUGAGCAUUAAAGCAAGCUAAGAUGAUUUGAAGAGGUUGAUAUUGUCAUGAAUAUAGUAGAAUAGAAUACCAAUUUCAAGCCAUCAAUUAGGUAUAGCAUUGGCAUGUUUAAUCCGUAAAUCUAAUGACAGAACACCUCAACUCUACACAUAAAUAAAUAAACAACCUGAAAAAUAUUACAGCCACUUGUUAAGGCAAAUACCUUAAUUAUGAAAACUAUAUCCCACUCUAAACCUUUUGACUGCAAGAGAAUGAAAAAGAAAGACAGUAAGCCAAGAAUGUUUUGUAGAACUCCAAAGGAAGUCCAAUAGGGAAAUCAUCGCAAGUAUAAGAGUUAGCGAGGUUCGCAUAAGAGGAUAUCAAAAAGAUCUAGAACCUGAUGAAUAGUAGUCAAAGUGACAGAACUUUGGUUGUCAUGUCUUCGGGAGUGAAAAUUUUCACUCUCCCGCUCAGAUAUGUAGUCGAUGAAAGCUUUGAGUAAAUUAACGCAGCCUUUUUCUUCUGCUACGACUUCUCUCUCCCCUUUUCCCGCAACAAAAUGAGUUGAUAAGAAAUCAGAUACGUCGUCUAGUAGGUACUGAAGAACCUGCAAUGAGAAUAAUCGCAUCAAAACAACAGGGUUGGACCAAGAUUUAAGUGACAACAAUGAUUAACUAACUAAAAUAGAGAAAUUAUUCAUUUAAGACCUUGUUGACUGAAAAAAGGGUUUUCCAAGCAGCGGGUCAUUUAAGCUUAUUGUAUAAAUGACAAUCAUCACAAACGGCAAACUUACAGAUCUCACGUCAUUGUCUUCAUUCAGCAGUUUUCCUCCAUCUACAUCAACGACUGCACGUUGCUCAAGAAGGUACUUCUAAAAACUGAAAGUCAAACGAUAAAUUAUUAAGAAGCAUUGAAUAUAAGCAUGAAACGAAGAAAAUGUUAUGGAAUGGUGAUCCUCAUCCUCAAAGAUGAUUAAAAGCAAUUUGAUUCAAAAAUGACAUAUCAACUCUGGAGAAAUGGAAGACAAACCUGUGGUACCAUAUUCGCAACUGAGGUUAUGACAGCUGAAAUCGAUUGUUCCUGUGUGCAUUGAUAAGUGAGACUACCAUAGAGAUUCACAACUAAAUAAAGACAGGUAUUCCACAGAACAACCUUUACCUCUUUGGAAACACAGAUCUAACAAAAACUAUAACAUUUUGGAUUAAUAUUGACGAAUCAAGAAUAAUGCAAGGGAGCAAGAGAUACUCUUCCUUCUAAUAACAAGGAGGCGUGAAAAGUUUACAGAGUUCCAACAAUUAGAGAACUAAAAUCAAACUAAAAAAAUCACCAAAGUAGACAGAAUCCCACUUCGCCAAAAAUUUGAAAAUAUAUCCUUUUUAUCCAUUGAGAUUCAUGAACUACUACUACUACAUCAUGCCAAUAAGCAAUGCGUAAGAGGUGCUACAAUUUACCGAAUAUAUUUACCCUGAGAACAAGUUUUGAAAUCAUCUCUAGUGUUAACAGCACCUUGCGUCCUUGGGUAAGCUGAGUCCUAUUAUCAAGUAAAGAGACCAAUCAGUACAUAUCCAAAAGAUCUUAAAUGCUUGUAAUACCAAAUAAGAAAGAAACAUGAGUAUAUCUUGAAUUAACAAUGCAAAAAUGUAAUGUUAAAGCAUCUUGUCAUACAGACCUCUUCAAGGUACCAGAAAUUUUGGCACUAAAGAUGUCACAAGCAGCUGAUAUGAAGCUGCAUUUUCUGUGAGUUGAAAUUUUGUCAAUAUAAUCAAUCACCUGAAGAGAGAGAGAGAGAAAGACAGUGAUAUCCAGAGAUGUGAGCCUAAAUGCUGAGUGUGUAAAAAAAGAAGAUUAAAUGGAUAGCAAGAAUAUACAACUUUAAUGCUGAAAAGAACAUUGAAUAUGAUGCUCAUUCAUCAUUGCCAUUGAACGUGUACCUUCUUCUUUUCCUCUUUCUCAAAAGCAAGUAGAGCCUUGAAGACUCGCCUAUAUGAUCCAUCAUCACAACCAGGCAAAGUUGUUUUAAUCAUAGCAACAAUGGCUCUAACUACCUGCCAUAAGAAACAUGCUACAUCAACAAGAUCACAGAGUGUACCAGAAACCGUAAUGUAGCAAAAUCUUAGAUAAAAUAGCUGGCCAAAAGGGAAUGGAAAAGCAAGCACAAAAAACAAUGAAAAGGACCAGUGAUGCCAAAAUUCUGGUGGAAAAGGUGAAAAGCUUACGUCUAUUACAGUUCUUGUAUGCAUUCUUUAUAACUUAAGUUCUACGCAGCAAAAACCACCUUAUGCACAACAAUAUUGGAAAAAUUAGAUACAUACAACUGAGAAGAUAGGUUUUCAUAGCUGGACAAGUGCUAACUACCUUCUUCCUAUAAACUGCCACUCCAUGAACAUUAAAUGGUAUUUUCCUUUCACGCAAGGCUGUCUGGAAGACUUUUCCUGAUACCUGUAGUAUAAAAUACAAAAGAAAAUGUGAGCAAAAUGUCUUAUAUGAUUCACCUCAUUCACAUUAGCACUAAGGCAAGUACGCUUGACCUGCCUCCGGUAAAGGAUUGCUAUAUUUCCAUAGGAGCACCCUGCUUCUGACCGUUUAGAUGCAGUCUCCAGGAUCUUGUCGACAACAAAGGCGCAUUGUGCAUCCUCAUUGUGACUUUCCUUGAUAAUUACCUACAUUUUGCCAGUAAAACCGGUGUCACUAACUAAAAGGACUGAAAAAUGACAUCAAAUUGUACUUGUUGGAGCAAGGAAAGAUUAAGUACCUUAGACCCAGAAGAAUUGUCCGUGUCAACAUUCUUUAGUUGGCAUCGCUUCUUAUUGUUUUUUAUAACAGAAGAUGCAGCUUCCACAAUAUAGCGUGUGGACCGAAAGUUUUUAUUAAGCCUAAUCUGAACCAUAAAGUUAUGUCAAAUCCCACAGAACCCCAUAAAAUAAAACUUACUUUCCUGUAAUUGUACAAUAUAUUUGUUCUAUACUAUAUAUAAUGAAAAAAGACACUGUGAAUGACAUAAGAUAACAUAGCAGUCAAGUGCGAAGCGAACCUCUUUGUUAUUUGAAAAAUCUUUACGAAAAGAAUCAAAUCCAGAAAUGUCCGCCCCAUUGAAACUGAAAAUGGACUGCAGCAGGAUAUAUGUUAUUUGAUUUAGAAAAGAUAAGGGCUGGAUUAAAAUGAGCUGAGAGAGAGAGAGAGGGAGAGAGGGAGCAAUAACAUUGGAUUUCCAUAAUAAAUCAACAACAUGCCUGAUCAUCAUCACCAACAAUGGUUAUGUGGUUAUGAGAGGCGAGAAUCCGCAAAAGACUAUAUUGCAUAGCACUUGUGUCUUGAAACUCGUCUAUUACAAUAGCUUUCCAUGACUCCUGGCACUCCUUCAACACUAAUUAAAAGAACACCAUGUAUCAACAUUUAGCAUUACUUGUAAAACUAGAUAAAUCAAUGAAAUAUACUUAGAUGAUAGAGACCUUCAGGAAAAUCACUUAGCAGCUUCACAGAGCAGCUAAUUAAGUCGUGGUAGUCCAAAGCGUUGCACGAUUUCAAGAUAUCAUUGUAAUUCCUAAGAAUUUCACCCUGAUUCAGAUUGAGAGCUAAAACUCAUAAGCAAUAGUUUCAAAGAACUGAAAUCAUAUCUGAAAUUCUAGUUCUGAGCGUACUCCUGUCACAUCACCCAUUCUUCGGCAUUCAGCGGGAGUCUUUCCAGAAGCUUUUGCCUGAAACAUAAAUAAAUUUAUUGCCUAAUGCCACAUAUUGUAAGACACACCAUUGUAUUGGUCAUUCUAGCUUGAUUGUAGCUAAUAUUUUUUAAAUCGAAUGAUUAGAGUUCUUAAUCCACAAUAAUCUGAACAUUAAAUUUGGUAUUCAAGACUGACCUGUGUCACAAACUUCAGCCAUUUCUUUGAUGCAUCCUUAAAAUGAUGUGGAGAUGUUACGCCGUUAGACUCUUCCCCAUCUAUAGCAACAUUAAGAUUCGUUUUACUCUUUUCAUCUUCUGAUAAACGCACAGCUUCAAUGAUUGCUCUUCUCUGUUGCCCAUGUCCAUAUAUCAAAAAUUCUGGUCUGCGCUCGAGUCUAAAACACAAGGCAACAUAACAGACUCAGCUAUACCACCAUAUGUAUGGUGUUCAAAAUCAAGGGAGGUGAAUCAAUAGCUUACUUCUCAGCAUGUGAUCGGCAAAGUUGCAAUGAAAAUGAAUGAAAUGUACUGAUUGUUAGUAGUUUGCCGUUGCUUUCCCAGUCACAGAUCCAAUUCGAUCUCUCAUCUCGGAAGCUGCUGCUGUAGUGAAAGUCAUUGCUAGAACGUUCGACGUGCUAAUGCCCUAAGAACACCCAAAAAAAAAAAACGAAUAAGAUUUCGAUCAUAAACAAGAAAUGUAGAGAAACAGACAAUUAUGAAAGAAAAAGUUAAGAGGGAAAGUAGCAACACCUCAUUGAGCAGCAUUAGAACGCGCCCAACUAUCGUUGAAGUCUUUCCACUUCCAGGGCCGGCAACAAUCAUCAAAGGUACUGAACUAUCGCUGCAAGCUGCCUCGAGCUGCCUUUCGUUGAGAGAAAGCAAAUACUUCAAAUACUCAUCCGGCAUGUUAGGCAAUCCAUGGUUAACAGAAUCUGUUUGGUUUUCACUACUCAAAGGCGGCGCUGAUGCGGCACUAACGACACUACCACAACUCCCAAUAUCAUCACGCUGAAUGUCCACACUCGUUUUCUGCUCGAUUAAAGCGUCAAUUUCCUGCAAAAUACUCUCAUCGAAAUCAUCAUCGUUAAGAAUUCCAGAUGCAGAGAAAGAAUCAAAUGAAGUCAGAAACUGCGGUUGUCUGAUUGGAGUUGUGAAAGAAUCCGAUUUUGACACGCUUGAUUCGGUCCGGCUAACGCUUAAGCUCCCGGAACACGAAGCACUGCCAUAUUCACCACGCGCUGAAUUGUACCGGCUUGCGGAAAUCGGAGGCGGUGUUCUUUGAACUCUAUUGAGCUGAGUUGGCGUUUGGAUUCCAUUUCCGCCACAGAUUCUGGAAUUUGAAAAACACAAUUGAAUUGAUUUAAAUUGAAGCAAGAAAACGGCCGAGUAGCAAAAAAAUAGUAAGAAGAUGAAACCUUUGAUUCCUGAACGACUUACUUGGUAUGAGGGAGGUGAUGAUCAGGUGAAACGGCGUCGUUGCGGGGGCGUUUGCGAUCAAUGAGGGCCUUGGCGGCUCUGCAAUUCCGAGAGAUGCGGUUUCUUUGUUCCGCCGUGAGCCCUCCGCCGUACGCCUGAACGUUUUCCUUGGACAUUGCUUCGAAGAUUCCAACGGAGGAUUUGGCCUGACGGCCUGACCAGGCUGAUAACAGUGUAAAACCUUAGGAGCUAAGGAAAAACUAAGAGAGAGAUCGUAGAGAGGGGAAAGUUUUUUGUUUUUUGGAAACUUAGAGAGGGAAAGUUUGUUAAACCUGCAUAAUAUUCUUUUCGUUCAACUUGUCUACAAUAAUUACCACUCUUGGUAUUUAUACAUUUGUAACACACCUCACUAACUAACUAAGACCACUACCAAUCAUACAUAAACACUUGUCAUAAUCCUAUGCACUCAUAGUAUCAUCACUCUAACAUCCCCCUCAAGCUCGUGUGGCAGAUUGCCAAGUAUGAAAUUGGAACAAUUACGAGUGAACUGGGGUGAACACAAGCCUUUGGUGAACAUGUCGGCAUAUUGAUCUGCAGAGGUAACAAACUGCAAAAUAAUUGUCCUUCGAUGAACUCUUUCACGAACAAAGUGGCAAUCAAUCUCUAUAUGUUUGGCUUUAGAGUGCAAUACAGGAUUAGUCGCAAGAGCCAUUGCUGAAAUGUUAUCACAAUUCAAAACUGGAACAGAAGGAUAACCAACAUGCAAAUCUCGAAUAAGUUGUUGUAUCCAGAUAACCUUAGCAGUGGUUGUAGCCAUUGCUCUAUAUUCAGCUUCAGUGGAAGACCUACUCACUGUAUGCUGCUUUUUAGAACUCCAAGAGAUAGGAGUAUCUCCCAAAAAAAUGACAAAACCCGUGGUUGAACGACGAUCAUUGGGAUCCCCUGCCCAAUCAGCAUCUGUAUAAGCUUUCAACUAAGAUGAACCUAAUUUAAAACACAAUCCCAAAGACAUAGUGCCUCUGAGAUAUCGCAGAAUACGUUUCACAGCAGCAAAUAAGUGGCUAAGGGUGAAUGCAUAAACUGACAUACUUGAUUGACAUAAAAAGAAAUAUCUAGUCUUGUAAAUGUUACGUAUUGCAGUGCCCCAACAAUACUUUUAUAAGUGGUAGGAUCAGAAACAGGUUCACUACCAUGAUUCAGAAGCUUCUAAUUAGGAUGACAAGGUGUGGGAAAAGGUUUAUAGUCCAGCAUAUGCAUAUUUUGAAGGAGUUCUUUGACAUACUUGGUCUGAUGAACAAAGAGUCCCUGAUCCUGAUACUCAAUCUGUAAACCAAGAAAAUAAUGCAACACACCUAGAUCUUUCAUGUCAAACUCACUAGUUAACUGACUAAUAACAUUAUGAACCUUCACAUCAUCAUUACUAGUGAGAAUGAUAUCAUCAACAUAUAAUAAGAGAACAAUAAUUGAUGAACAAUCACACUUGACAAAUAAUGAAGGAUCUGCAUAUGAGAUUGAGAGUUACAAGGAAAAGAUAUACAAGACUUAUUAAGUGUUGCAAUGACAAUGGAAUGUGCAGGAUCGCCUAAUCAACAAUGCCACAAUGUAGAAGAAAUCUUUUGACCCACAAAUGCAACUGGAUUAAAAACAGGAGAAAUAGACCUCUGUGGUUUGAUAUGGGAAGUGGAUAGACAACAUUAUUACUCAGCCCUUGGAAUAGCACUCUCCCGAUGACCUUGUCCUAUAGACAGAGAGAAACAUCAUCAAUGAUACAACGACACUAAUUAUCUUUGCACAACUAAUUCAUAGAUAAUAAGUGUUGUGAUAGUUUUGGAACAUGUAACAAAGAGUUUAACUUGAAAUUAUGUGACUUAGUGAGAAGAGAAGAGGAACCAAUAUGUUUGAUAGCUAAACCUUCACCACUAGCAGUGGUCACAGUAUCAUUUGAUGGAUAAAUUUGUUGCCAUGUGCAAGUUUGACAAAUCUGAGGUCAUAUGGUUAGUUGCUCCCAAGUCAAGAAACCAGAAAUCUUGUUGAAGAGUUGAGGAUGAUGCACCAGCUCGUGCUUGCACAGCAAGAGGAGGAUUUUGUGAGGAUAUAAUUGAGAGAUACAUAUGUGGUAUGACAGGAUACUGAAACUCGAAGCUAUUAGACUGUGGAAUCAUGCCUUGUGAAAGACCACAUGGAUUCUAGCUAGGUGCUUCACCAUAUGACCCAGUAGGCAUUGGAGUUGGCAUAGACGAGGAUAAACCCUGAGAGAAAUGCUAUGAUGUGUCUGUGAAAUUCUUAUUCCGAUCAAAGCAAGUAGCAGCAACACGGCAGCCUCUGUGACAAAUUUGACAUCCAUGUUGAAAACAAUUCAAUGCAGAAUGACCUUUGCGAUCACAUAUUUGCAUAAUGGCCUCUGUGAUCACAUAUUUGCAGAAUGGCCUUUGCAACCCUAGAAAGAACAAGGCGCGAAGAAGACCAAAUGUGUACGUUUCUCUUUGUUUUUUUUUCCCUCCUAAUCGUGCUGUUCGAAAUCACGGACCUCGGGCUUGGGCCUAAUGGGCCCAAUUAUGAGGCCUAUUAUCUCCGGUCUUCUCGUUCUACUUCUAGUUACCCAAAUUAAGAACGUGCUGGUUCGCUUUUAGCGCGAGAGAGAAAUGGAGGCCCUGAUUGCCUCGUACGGAAACUCGUCGUCGGGCUCAGACUCCGAGACGCCGGCUCCACCUCCACCACCACCUCCGGAGCUCAACAACCCUCAAGAACCGACCCCUGCGCUGCCUCCACCUCCUCUGUCACUUCUCGACAGCCCCAAUUCCUUCGGUAACCUCUGAUUCCCAUCAAUUUUCAUCUUUUAGCUUUCUGUUGUGAUGGCUUUUUCCGAGUUGCCCACCAAGUGUUUGAUAUUUUGCCUCUGAAGGAUUUCUGGACUUCUCGGCAAGCGUCCAGCCGAGCAGAGUUCGGAACUUUCCUCACGUCGAAGGGAACUACGCAGUACAUGUAUACAUCCCAGGUUAUCAAAAUUCUCGAAAUUUUCAGCUCCAUUAGCAAAUGCGAUCGCUUUGCACUUAGUUUUUGCUUGUUUAAUUGUGUGGUUCCAGUUUAUAUACCACCAGCACCAAGGAAAGAGAUGGCCUUGUUUUUGAACAAGCUAGCUUCUCUGGUGCCUUGUCUCCAUGCGGUUGACGUUGACUUCCCGCUUGACAUUCUGCGUAAGGACGAGCACAAGCUUGAACAAGUUGCUUUAGGCAGAGAGUUCCAUAUAAGUCUCGGAAGAACUGUUCCGAUUCGGGUGCACCAGAUUGAUUCCUUGGUGACAAUGCUGCGGCAGAAGCUUCAGAUUCAGAGGCGGUAUGGUUACAUUUACAUUCUCUUGUCUGCAUUGCGUGAAUUUAGUUCUGUUAUUUAACAUAAUUCUGUAAGCCUGCAAUUUUUUCGUCCAUUUUCGGUUUAACACAUUUUGUUAUUGUGCAACAGGUAUUGGAUUGAUUUUAGCAAGUGGGAGGUUUUUGUUAAUGAUGAUCAGACCCGGACCUUUGUGUCUAUCGAAAUCAUUGCUGCUGGGUUAGCUGAGGUAUGAUUGCUAGCUUUCUCUCUUGGUGCAAUUCUAAAUGUUUUCAGUUGUUAUAUGGGCUUAAGAUUUAGUAAGGACUUGCCGAAAGUCAUGGGAUUUUGAAAUAUCGAUAUCUUGCUUGCUUAUUAGCUUAGAUUUGGUCUUCGAUGCACUUGUAACAUGAAAAACACAAACGAAAACUAAUGCAUGAUAUGCUCAUGGUUUUAACAUGUGUUGUCCUGGCGUAAAUCAUGUUCCUAAUCCUGUCAUGUGAGUAUAAGCCUAUGAAACUCAGGGCAUGUUUGGCGGGCCGGACAAGAUUGGAAUUGGUAUUUCAGACUAGUUAGGUUAGGAUUGAACUGGAUAGGAUAGGUUUUUUUGUCUAAAGAUUGGUGUAGACUGUCUUAACCAGACUAGGAACGAUGGGAUUUAAAACGUGAAACAGAUCCGCGACAUCCCAACGAUGACCCGCCCACCCAACAACUCUGCUCGUGACUUGCAACACCUCUCGUACCCUCCACGCCCCUUGAGGCCCGUCAGACCACUCUGAUAUCCUGGAGGGGUGAAACGUGGUUACUAGAAGCAUACCUGUUUUCGUAUUAAUGCACAGUUGAAGCAGCUUUCAUUGUCUACAAGUCUGAAAUAUUUCAACUUCCAUUGAUUUCAGAUAACAAAGCAGAUUCAAGCUGUGAAUGAGGUGUAUAAGCUUCACAAUCUUCCUGAAUUUUACAAGGUUAGCUUUUUCGUGCUUUUCAAACUCGAAAUUACUUACUGAAUAUAUGACAAUAUAUUGGAGCAAAUGAUUGUGCCUGAAUGCUACUCAUUGCUCAAAAAACUAAAUCACUUCAUGGGGUGUUGGUGAUCACAGGAUCCGCGCCCUCACAUCUCGGUAGCUUGGGCAUUGGGUGACAUCGGCAAUUCCCUGAAGAAAGUGGUUGAAGAAGAAAGACGAAGAUCUACCAUCGGAGGAUCGUUACAGAAAUGUAUUUUUACCAGUAAAUUCAAUGGUAUUGAAUGUAGGAUUGGUAAUAAAACACACAAAAUAUGUAAAUUUUCUGAACAAUAAUGUAGCCAUUUAACUAUAUUGUGAAAUUCCGAGAAUAUAUCGCUGAGCAUUGGAUGAGAAGACAUUUCUUCGUUGGUGUCGAACUUCAUGCCGAAGGUAUAGACACCGUGUAAACGCCAUCAUCCAUGCAGUCUCCUGUGCAUUAUUUAGUAUUGUCUCAGUUUCUCCAAACUUGAAUGCUCCUAUAAACCCACUCUUGACCUUUCCGUCAUCUGCGAUUACCGGAAAGCUGGCAAGGAUGUUGCCGUUAACCUACCUAACCGGCUAGGAUGUUGCCGUCAUCUCCAAACUUUAAAUACCGGAAAGCCGGCUCCAAACUUCAAUGUGCUACUAGUUUUUGUAUGCGAGAGCUCCACCUCCAUUGUUGUAACAGCAUCUGAUGCGGACUAGUCCUUCAUUCCCGUUACUCUUUGCUAUCUCCACUUCGAACUUGGCGUAAUGGCUCCCGGCCUCCUCUCCGGUGAAAUUGAGAAACCCCGGAGCUGGCGUUUUCAUUCUGUUGUCCGUAUAUCUUGUAUUACAAGUAUUUGUUGUGCAAAAUGCAAGCUAAGUUCAAUUUAUGUUUAUGUGUGUGUGUGUGUUGCCACUUUGUCACUUUUCCAACGUUUUCUCCAAAAUUGUGAUUUUGGUGAAUCCUAAUAACAAUUCCCUCGUUAAUCAUUGGGACGAGCACCAAGGCAGUUUUGAUUCCGUGCACAACGGCGAUACCUCGAAAGAAAUUGAUUCUAACCCAGAAAGAUGUUUUAAAUCAAAGUUGAACAAGGGAAGAAAACUUUUGAAUCGCAAUCACAUGUCUGGUCAAAUUCUUGAACAGUUGAUGUAUACAGACGUUCCUUGCUUAUGACACGACUUAUGAGAGGAUGUAUGUAUUGCAUUUGCAUCAAAAAAGAGAGAGAAGGUUGUAAGUGGUAAGGGAACGACUACCGAUGCCGCUCCACUUCUAAUCAAAGGGAUCGAUCCGAGGGUCGUGUUCACUUGCCAUCGCCAUUCCAGUGCAAAGGCAUGUCGGGCACAUUACCUGCCACAUUUACAGACGCAAUGUUAGAUAUAGCUGCCAUUUGGAAGUCACUUCUCAAAAUUUUGCUACUAAAUUAAUCUUAGACUUCAUUUCCAGUGCAAUUUUUUGCUACUAAAUUAAGCUUGUGAAUAUAGUACAUCUAAGCGGCAGGCACUAAAAGGAAUUUAGUAUGCAAUAAACAUUCAACGGACUAACCUUUCCCGCUCCUGAGCAAUUUGAACAUCGUUCAGUUUUUGGCAGAGAUAGGGGUUGGUUUCCGCCAUCAGCUGUCGAUACUGGUUCAGUAAGAACAAGGGUUCCAGUGCUGGAGCAACGAGCACAAGCAAGAUAUCCUGCGUAAGUAUCAAAUACACAGGUAAGUUGACAUAUGAAACCAAUCUGUGUAAACUACACUGUAAUAGCAGAAGAAUAUGCAGUACGAGAGAAAGAGAGAGAGAGAGAUUUAGAGAGAGAAGUUAAUACUUCAUAUGUAAUAUUUUCUAUAUCAUCAAUCUUACAAUAUUAAGACUAUAUACUAUAUGAAACUGCUAACUAACUCUAACAACCUCUCUAACAACCUUUCUAAUCUUUUGACAAGUGUCUUCAUAUUCUACCAUUGGAUUACUAUCCUUAACAUCCCCCCUCAAGCUCAGGAGAGGUAGAAUCCAAACUGAGAUUGCGACAAUGAAUCUGAAAGAGAGGAGCAGAUAAUCCCUUGGUCAGUAUGUCUGCAUAUUGCUCACUGGAAGACACAAACUGAACAAGCAACUGCUUCUUUGCAACUCGUUCGCGAACAAAAUGAAUAUCAACCUCAAUGUGCUUUGUGCGUUGAUGUAGAACUGGAUUGGAUUAAGCAAUUACUGACCUUUGUGCAUCUUACUAUUCCUACUUCACCAGUUUUGUAUUGUGAUAAUAUGUCAGCAAUCGCAUUAACAACCUCUCUAACAACCUUUCUAAUCUUUUGACAAGUGUCUUCAUAUUCUACCAUUGGAUUACUAUCCUUAACAAUCUGAACAUCUCCAUCGUAUAUAUUUAAAGCUACAGUACAUAAAACGAAAAGUCAGAAAUAGAGGACAUUAUCACACCAGUUCCAAGACAAUAUUUGCAUCGUUUAUGCUCCUGCUGUUUCACAUUGUUUAUUUCAACUACCAUCAAUGCUGAGAUCACUCCGACUGCUCCUCCAGAGAAUGACGCCACUAUGGGAUCAACUUGACUGCAGUUUGAAAGUAAAGGAGAUCAAUAAACAAAACUGUUAACAACAUAGUAUCAACAUUAUUUAGCUUCGUUUCAAGAAAUAUGACAUCCUAGGUUUUUCUAAUGUGUAAAAAUUGAGGAUCCUUGACUAUAUCGGUUCCCAAAGCAUUUGAUUCCUACGUUACAGACGGAAAACAGUAACAAUCGAAUUUAAAGAUUCAUAACACGAUAGAUGGUAGGUCUCGGGUUCGAGACUUGGGAGCAGCCUCUCCAUAAAUGGGGGUAAGGCUAGCCGACAUUCACCUCUCCCAGACCCUGCGUAAAGCGGGAGCCUUGUGCACUGGGUACGACCUUUUAUAACACGAUAGAUGGUACAAAUUUUCAAAACGAUAAUUACUAGAGAACAGGAGGGUUAAUAGCCUGAGAUAUGAGCAAUACCUCAACUGCAACGGCAGAUGCAUAUUUACUAUAAAGUCUUUAUAUGAUGUGCCUCCUAUUCCCAGCUUCAACUCCAACUGAAAGAUGUAAAGGUAAUUGUAGGCAAAGAGUUACAAACAUAACCGAAUCCAUGUUUUAUAAGCAACAACUACACUUAUUUUGUUAUGUUUCCUCAUUUUUUACUUGCAAAUUCCGAACCAUAUUGUCGGACCAGUAAAAAGAAAAUAAUGUUUAUGAUAACUGUUAAAACUAAUCACAACAAGUUAAUGCAUAAAGAACUUACGGAGGGUGCUAUGAGGCCACCGAAAAGGAUAAACCCCGCAAUAAUUGAAUAACAAACAGCAUAAUAUUGCUUAAGGUUGUCUGAACUCUGCAAGCAAUGAAUUCACCUUGUGAUUAAUACUUUGCACAAACACUAGUUUUCGCAAUUUUUUAUGAAUCGACAAAAGGCUACAACAAAAUAUGGCUAAAACAUGUGAAAAUACAUGUCUUCACAGGGGCACCAGCUUACCAGGGGAGGCAAAAAUGGAAUGAACGAUGGAAAACUAGGAAGUUCGUUUUCUUGAUCUUCAUUUACCGCUCCAAGCUCUGCACGUUUAAUCCGCUGUUGUAUCCUCAGCCCGCGAACCUACGCAUAUCGAAGCUCAUUCUUAAAGAACACAUUUCUAAUGGCAAUUGGAGAGUAAUUUAAAACAUGCUAAACUGAGAAAGUGGUAGCAACAAGCAAUUGCUCUCACUUCCUCCAUAUGCAAGAAAAUUUUGUUGCGACGACUCCGAAUAUUAUCUUGAAUUUCCUGCAGCUCCAUUGUCGCAAAGUCCUGCACUGUUUCAGGCCCCUCUAUGAUACAAAAUCUGCACAAUUAAGCAUGUAAAAACUAAAAAUUACAGGCUAUAAAACAAUUUCCGUAUCAUUUUUGGGAGCUCUCUCUCUCUCUCAAACCAGAAGGCAGAGCUUUCUGUUUCUCUUGAGGUUUCUUUCACUGGUAAAUUCCAGAGAAGCAGAGAAGAAGGCUCUCUGAGAAAUGGCGAUGGUGCAAGUGGAGACAAAACAAAUGUAUAUCUUGAAGCACCGAAAUUGUGCAGAACACUUGUCAACUACCGAACUCUAGGAUUAGGAGAGAGAGAGAGAGAGAGAGUGAGUGACCGGCAAAAAAAAAAAUGAGGGAAGAAUCACCCACAUUUAAAAAUGAUUUUUAGGGGACCUGGUGUCGUUGGAUUCGAGUAGUUGUUCGGUAUGUCACAUUUAAAAUUUUAUUAUCUGAUGAUAAACGUCGAAACAUAAAGAUAGGUCAUCUCUAACCGAAUGAGGACUAAAAAGUCAUGUUUAGUACUAUAAUCCUGCAAUGAAUUAUAUUUUAAUAAAUAAUAUCAGGUUAUAUUUUAUACCAUAUCUAACCGAGUGGGUCAAAUGAUCAUAUGCCAAACAUAGCCUUUUGACAAAAAACUCAUCUCCAACCGAGGGGGCUAAAUGGUCAUAGACCAAACAUAAUUGCUCAAUAAUUUAUUAUUCUAAUUGAAUUAAUAUGAUUAAUUAAAUUAAAUUACCAUAUUAAAAUAAGAUUUCAUGAUAUAUUUUGAGUGCCACUUGCCACAAUACCGAAGAAAGCAUGGUAUUAUUGCACCUGCCACAAAGUCAAGCUUGACAUUCUGCUGCUGGAGGGCUGGCUGGCUAGCUGAAAAUGGCCAGCCUGCUGGCCUGAUUUGGGAGGUUUUGGCCCAAUGGGGCCCCAAGCCCUUUGGCCUAGCCUUCGGUUGGAAACGGUUUUCGUGUUAUUCUGAGUUAUUUUUAACCCUAUGAUCCUUUGGCCGGAUCGAUUGGAGAUGACCUUAGGUGUGUUGAUUGUCUUUGAGACAUCGGAGGUUCUGUGUGAUUGAAUACUUCACCCUCCUCCAAAGGCGCCACUCUUGAGAAGGUUACUUGCCUCAUGCAAACAUUGUGAAUUGCAAGUGAUGAAUUGUUCUGAUGAUGAGGUUUAUUUUUUAACUCAUUAUGUUUCAAGUUUAAACAUUUUUCCCUCUCUUAGUGUAAAAUAUUGUUUGUGAUAAAAAAACUUAAAAUGAGACACUCUCCUUCAUAUAUAAGAUGAUCAAGUGUGAGAUUAAUACUUUUAAUGAGUGACUCAAUUAACCAUUUUCAUUUCUUACGCGUUCAAAAUUAGACAAAUUCUUUGCAUACAUUUAAAAAAAAAAGAUAUUAAGGAGAGUAUAAAAUUAUUACAUUACGAAGAGAGAGUUUCGAACUCGGGACGUAUGAGUAGAACCCUAACGCCUCUCCACUAGGAUAUUAGACCAAUACUGGUCUUGAAUUUUUUUGGUGCCCGGAGCGAAUGCUCAAAACGUGUCUUUUUCCAGUACAACAUAAAUUAAAAAGAAAUAUUUAUAGAGGGCUAGAACCCAAUCGAAGCUGGGGGACUAGGCCCUUACGCCUAUAUUAUAUUACUUACCUAAUACAAACAUUUCUGAUAGAUUUCAGAGGCUCUAAAUGGUCAAACACUUCGUCCUUCCCAAAACCGUUACUGUUGAGAGGGUUCCUUACCUAAUACAAACAUUUUACGUUUACUUAGAACUAGAAAAAUAAGAAUUGCAGGUGAUGAAUUGCUCUAAUGAUGAUGUUUAUUUUUUAACUUAUUGUGUUUUAAGUUUAAAUAAUUCUGUUUCUUUGAUAUAUAUAUUAGUGUAAAAUCAUUCGUAAUAAUAAAAAAAAAGAAUAAAAAUGAUACUCUCAUUUAUAUACAAGUUGAUCAAGUGUGAGAUUAAUAAUUUUAAUGAGUGAAUUAACUAUUUUCAUUUCUUACGAGUUCAAAAUUACACAAAUUCUUUGCAUACAUUUUUUUUUUAAAUAGAAAAUUUCUAUUAUUAAGGAGAGAGUCCUAAACUAUUAGGUUAUGGAAUGUGAGUAGAAACCUAACGCCUAUCCACUAGGAUAUUAGACCACCAGAGCUGAUCCUGAGAUUUUUGGUGCCUGCGUCAAAAUAUGUCCUUUUCCAGUACAACAAUAUAAAUUAAAAAGAAAUAUUUAAAGAGGGCUGGAACCCAGUCGAAGCUGGGAGGCUAGGCCCUCACGCCCAUAUUCUAUUACUUGAAGAAACAAUAUACAACGGGGGGAAUCAUAGUACCGAAACCCCAACAAUAAAAAACAAAGUCACAUGCAACCACUCCAAGCAGUCAACUUGGCCAUUACAUAUUGAAUCCAAAAGGUUGACGGCCUAUUCUCUGCAUACAAUGCACAGAAGAUAACAAGAUUACUAAUAUAAAAAGAACAUCUGAAAAGAUGAACAUAUGCAUCAACAAAUAAGCAGGGGCGGAUCCACAGUGGGGUCGUCGGGGUCAAACGACCCCUUGGAAACCAUGGAAACAACCUUGAAGCUCCCAUAUGCGACCUCUUGGAGCUGGGGUUGUCGGGGUUGUCAGGAAGAGGAAGAAGAAGACUCGGCAGGAAGAGGAAGAAGAAGCAGCUCGCGCGACGUGUAGGUUCUGUGUAGAGUUUCUGACCUUUAAUUCCCACUUCACAAAGACGAGAGAAAGAGAGAGAGGGAAGGAAAGUCCUCGGGGUGGUGGUGAUGUAGACCUUCGUCGGGGUAGUGGUGUGGGUGUGCGUGGGUGUGGAUUCGAUCGGAGAGAGUGAGAGGGUUAAAGAGUGAAAAAGAGAGAGAGAGAGAGAGAGAGAGAGAGAGAGAGAGAGAGAGAGAGAGAGAGAGAGAGAGAGAGAGAGAGAGAGAGAGGAGAGUUCGGGGAGAUGAGAAGGAGGACAAUGGGGACUUGCCCCGUGGCAAGUUGUGAUAGGUAGGAAAUCCCAAAAAGGGAUCCGGAUAGGGUAAGUAAGUGGGGACCAAAUUGUAAACUUCAUUUAACUGUAGGGAAAUUGUGAAAUUACAAGGAAAUCUUUGGGGAGGGGUUUUACAGAAACCCUUCUCAACACUUAAAAGCAAACUGCGUGCUUUUAAUCAGGUUUGGCUCUAUAAUUGAACUUGUAACCAUGCCUUUCCCUAUGACGGAAUUGUGAUAUGCUUUGCCAGAUAUUCACAAGGAAUUCAUUUUUCUUUUUCCAAUUGCAAAAUAUUAGUGAACAAGUUGUUUCUUCUAUGAGAGAUCCAAGCAUAAUGGUUGGGUAGAUGCAGAUGAGAAAAUCAGCAGUUGCUGUAUUUGGCACAGUAAGAUAUUAACUCUUACAUCUAAAUUGAAAAACAUGAAAAUUUCCUAGUUCUCAAGGUCUCACGUGCAUGCUCAGAUACAUUUGUGCUUCAUAUUUGUGUGUUUGAUUCCGAGAAGGCUGACAAGUUGAAGCAAUCUCUUCCUCCAUGUUUGAACAUUCAGGACCUUUGAACAAGGAUUUUGGAGUAGCUGGUUGCGCUAUCCUACCAAGACCCGAUGAAAUGACGAUAUGCAUGCCGUUUCUGUUAAAAAAAAAUAUCCUUAUUGACCCCCCAAACAUUAUUUCCUGGAUCCGCCACUGCAAAUAAGUAAACCAUUCUAAGUGCAAUUUUAGAAGUGAUACGCUCCAAGUGUGAUAUUGGACAGAAGAGCGGCAGCUUCAACCAGUUCUGCUAUAUCCGGCUGGAUGAGAGCUGCUAAAGACAUGAUUGUUCCCUAAUAACAUGAAUAAAUUGAGUAAACACCAAAAGUAGCGCAGCAAGGGAAGGAGAUUUGAAGUAGAUGAAGAGGUGUAAUACCCGUAUAUGCAGCGCAUCAUUUCUGAUAGAUCAAAUCGAGCCAAUUCCUGCCAACUCCAAUGCCGAUAAUCCUACAGUAAAGCAUAAAUCUUAUUCUCUUCUGAUAAAGAUGUGUGUCCCUGACUCCAACGUGUUUGACGCACAUUCCCUACCCAUACAUUGAAACCUUCAUCUGCAAGGACGAAUCCCAGUUAUUCUUCUGGAGAAUUUAAGAACCAUGAAUCACCUGGUCAAGAAAAGCCAGUAACCAAUUACAAUUGAGUUUGAAGCACAUAAGAGCCUAAUUUAAAAUGUAUCCCAUGGAUGUUCAUCAAUUUACACAAUAGUUAGUUUCAAGAAAGGAAAUUUCAACAGAACCUGAAAACUUCAGAUCAGGGGGCACCAAAUAGUGAGCUAUACAUUCAAAAUUUGAAAUAAUCAACUUAGUGGGACCAAUAUGUUGAAAAAAUUGGAAGGAGCUAUGAAAGUAAGGCUUUUCACUAAUCAGACGUCCAGAGAAUCAAUAUUUUACUCACGGAUCAGUUACGGGGAACACUCCCCACCAAAGCAAACUCUUUCGUCUGAAUCUGGAAAACAAGCAGCAGUGGAUUUUAACAGUCUGGGUAUCUCAAAGUUACUUUAAUCACAAAUUUAACAAUUAAACAUAUAAAUGGGCAUUAUUUAGUGAAAUAUUAGUAUAGUACUCACUGUGUGCUCGGAACAAGAGUACCCAGAAAGCUCAAUGAGCUGCGCACAGAGGACUACAGCGGUGAACGACAGCGACCGAUUCUGUAAAAUUCAGUCGAGUUUUGGGUGAUUUCGGAGGUCAAGAGGCUGAUAAGGAAAGCUGCGACCGAAGGGCACUGGUCUGGAAGAAAAGGCUCAGGUCACUGCUGUCCCAAUUCGCGAAGGAAGUGCCCCCAAAACAAUUUCGGCCCUGGACAGGUGCACUGUUUGCACUGGACCAGGGCCGGCCGGCCCAGGCGAUAACGUCCCCCAAACAGUACAUAUACAGAUGCUAGAAAUAUAUUAAUGUAACCUGAAACUACUAGAACCAUUCAAUUCUAGCGUCUACAGCUUUAGCAUUAGUUGGUACAUGGGACAUUCUUCCAAAGAGGGAGAUGAGCUCGUUGAGGCUCUUAUUUAUUCCCCCUCUUGAUGUGCCCUUCUAGGCUGCUAAUUCCAGACGAUCCAAUCUCAUACAUCUUCCCUGCAAAAGCAUGUGUGCCAGACUUCAAGAUCAAAUUUUUCCAACAAAAGAAACUUAAAGAUCAAACUCGCCAGCGGAAUAAAUGAUGCACAAGGGUGUUAAAAUCUUGACAUAUGUAUAUUUUUGGCAGAUUUUAUGUGAGCAUGCUACUAAAACUGGCAUCACUAAAGAUUGGUGGAAAACUUUAACAGUUUGAGUUGUAACUUCUCCAUUGUAUUUGUUAAGGCAAGAUGGAUGACAUCUAUGCAAUUUUCAGUAGAACUUAAAAGGCUGCAUAGCAGCUCUUGUUCGUUGUAUUGAAUACCGUGGUUUUACUGAUGAAUGCAGAGUUUGUUGAUGAUUCAUACGACAAGCAAUUGAAAAUCCCAUCAUUAUGCCCCACAUAUACCAAAAAAAAAAAGUCAUUUACACAAAUUCAGAGCGUUCAUCCACUGUAAUUUGCAGAUAUAGAAACGUUAAGAUAAAAGGAAAUGCAAAGUACCUUUCACCCAAAUUGGAGGAGCACCGGUGGCAUUAGCAAGUUAGCAACGGGAAUUGACAUACCAAUAUCUUCACAGUUUCUGCACAAGCACAAAUCAAAAGAACCCGGCGGUGGAGUUAUGUACCUCUCCUUGGAAAAUGCCACCUCUUGGGAUUUCAAAAUAUGCAGCCAUGGCUAGCCGUCUGACCACGCCAAUUCCACCAAAGCCACCGCAACGCGGCGUAGUGUCCGAUUGAUUGCUUCAAAACAGAGCUUCGUAUCCAUGUGUUUAUCAGCAGAGAGUACCCAAAACCACUGAAAAUUAUUUCUUUAUUCAGAUAAUAAAAUUUCCCAAAUUUGGAAAUUUAAUUCCGAAUCAAAAGUAGGGUUUGAAUUUUGAUUACCUAGAAAUUGGGGGGUUGGGGUGGAGAGGGACCCGUGCCACGACGGAUCUCUGUGUCUGUUUUAACUCAUGCCAAAUUAUAGAGAGUGUCAGGAAGACUUAAAUACUGAAGCCCCGUAAGCCGUUCAAUCCAGGGGGGAAGCUCUUUGAUAGAUGUUUUAUCCAAGAUAAGAUAUCUUAAUCCUUCCAUAUUUUCUUCAAUGCUUGGAAACACCUCAAAUUUUGUACAACCGGAAACAGAGAGACGGACAAGGGACUUGAGCUGACAAAUGCUGCUUGGAAGGCUCUUUAGUUCCUCGCAGUCGUUUAGCUUCAAAUAAGUCAAUCCCGUGAGAUUAUUAAUCGACCAUGGUAGUUCUUUAAUUUUUGAUCCGGAUAAAUUAAGAAAUUCUAACCCUUCAAUCACUUCUGUAAUCUCUGGAAACAUCUCAAGGCUCGAGCAACCAUAAAGAUCAAAGCUUUUGAGUGAUUUCAUACGAAUGCUGCUGGGAAGACUCUUAAGUUUCUUGCAGUAUAGUAGAUUCAAAUGACUCAACCCCGUAAGAUUAUUAAUUGAUGGGGGCAGUUCUUUAAUUUUUGAGCAGCGUAAAUCAAGCUUUUCUAACCCCUCAAUACCUUUUGACAUCGAUGGAAACAUCUCAAGACUGGAGCAGCCAUGAAGGUUCAAGGUUUUGAGACAUUUCAUACGAAUGCAGCCUGGAAGACUCUUAAGUUCCUUGCAAUCUUUUAGGUUGAAAUGACACAACCCCGUGAGAUUAUUAAUUGACAUGGGCAGUUCUUUAAUUUUUGACUCGGAUAAAUUAAGCUCUUCUAACUCCUCCAUACAUUUUGAAAUCUCUGGAAACAUCACAAGAUUGGAGCAGCCAUAAAGAUUAAAGGUUUUGAGAGAUCUCAUACGAAUUUUGCUGGGUAGACUCUCAAGUUCCUUGGAAAAUUCUAAGUUUAAAUGACUCAAUCCCGUGAGAUUAUUAAUUGACUCGGGCAGUACUUUAAUUUUUGACGCGGUUAAAUUAAGCUCUUCUAACUCCUCCAUACCUUCUGAAAUCUCUGGAAACAUCUCAAGAUUGGUGCAACCUCUUAGAUUAAAGGUUUUGAGAGAUUGCAUGCCAAUGUUGUUGGGUAGAAUCUUAAGUUCAUUGCACCAAUUCAGAUCUAAUAAAACAAGCUUUGUAAGAGUCAAAAUCGACCCGUGAACCUCAACUAAGCGUGUACAACUUUGAACAAUUAGCCUCUCAAGAUUUGGCACAUUUGUGAAGUCAGGGGUUAUCUCAAGGUUUUGACAAUGACUUAAAUUGAUGAAUUUCAACUUUUCCUGCGUCUGUUAAAACAUUCAGGAAAACAUGCAUUACUUAAUAAGACAUCUUACUCAAAGCCCAAACAUUUAAAAGAAACAAAUACAAGUAAAUGAUUGUACAUACCUGGGUUCCUUCCCAAAGUCGGUUAAUGAGACUACAUCGCAUGUCAAGUUCAACAAGAUUUUUGAAUUGAAAGUUGGAUGGCAAAGACUUGAGAGGGAAUUGAAACCAGGAGAGAUACCUCAAGUUAGGUAACUUAAAACGGAGCCCACUCAGGUGGUGUUUCCAGUAAUCACGUUUAAAAACGGAGCCCUCACUACUGAUCUUGAGAAGUCUUAGUUGAGUCAUACUAGCAAAAGCUUUAGCAUUUAAGCAUACCCGGUCUGAGUACGAGAAAUCCACGAUUAUGCUUUCAACUGUUUUCGUAGCCUGUGCAAAUCAAAGUAUUAGAAAAUACAAAGAACCUUAGUUUAGAUUAUGAAAUUAAUGCUUGUUUCUUAGGGAGCUGUUUGAUAAUCAUUUCGUUUUUAGUUUAAUUUUUUUUUCAAUUUUCAAUUAUUCAAACAAUGAAAACUAAAAAUUAAAAAUUGAAAACAAAAAUGGUUAUCAAAUGGCCUAAGAAAUUGAUUUUGGUCAAAAGUUGAAGCUUUCUACUAACAAUUGCAUAAGAAAAAGACUUCUCACCGUAUUUUGAGUUAGCAUUUGAUUAACAUCUUCAUAACUCCACAACCUACUUCGUUUCCCAGGCUCUUUGAUAGAUUCUUGACGGACGAUUUCCCGACCCAUUUCCUCUAAUGAAUCAUGCUUCUCCAGUUCCCCCUCCCCUGAGACAGUUAUGAGAGCAUGAUCGAUUAGAACUCUUAUUCCUAUAUGAGGAUGGAAACCACAAUCGUCCAUAAUUCGGGUUGCACAGUCUUUCUUCAUCCCUUUAAAGAAACAUGCAAUAUCUAGAAAGAUGUCUUUCACUGUGUCAUCUAGUCCAUCGAAGCUUGAUUUAAGCACAUCAUGAAUUCCCCUUUGCGGGAUUUUCCUUAUUUUUUCUAACUCAUCUUCCCACUCACGGAUAGUUUUUUUAAGAAGAAAAGCUCCCAAAACUUUGAGUGCUAAGGGCAGACCUUGAGCAUAUUUUACGACACGCUUAGAGAGAUCAUCAUAAUCUCUGGUGGGUUGGUUUUUUCGGAAGGCGUGCUGCCUAAAGAGUUUCAGAGCUCCAGAAUCACUCAAAGUCUUGGGAUUAUAUAUCACAUCAACUAUGCUUAGUAACUGUGAAUCUCUACUUGUUAUAAUAAUCCUACUUCCACCACCAAAGGAAUGUGGCUCUCCAAGUAAAGCAUCAAUUUGUUCUGAUUUGUCCACAUCAUCAACAACAAUAAGAACUUCUCUGACCAAGGCUUUUUAACAUCACCUGAAAACCUUUGUUCGAUAUGUCAGAGCUCCCCACCUUGUUGUCCGAGAUACUAGAUAGAAGUUGUGUCUGCAUAUGUAGUUCGCCGUGCUUCAUGAAACCCUCCUUGACAUUUUUAAGAAAGCAACAAGUUUCAAAUCGACUAGCGAUUUCAUCAUAAACAGCUCUAGCGAUGGUUGUUUUGCCUAAACCACCCAUACCCCAUAUUCCAACAACGCGAACAUUAUUCGUUUCAACUCCAGGAGGAUGUAAUAAUAAAUGCAUUUCAUGCAUAUGAGAAUCCAUGUCAACCAAGCCAUUCUCUUUCCUUGAUGAUGAUGAGAUGUCAAUCAAUUUCCGAUAAACAUAUUCUACAAUUUCCUCUACGAGCACCGCAUCACUCCUGUCAAAUUAAAAAAAAAAAAUAUAAUAACAACAAAAAAUAAUAAUUAAUAGGUCUUUUUCAUCUGUUAGUUUUAAAAAAACUAGAAAUUAAAACCAAAAUCUUGUUGUGGUCUAUUUUAUCUGACAGAGGGACUAGGGCCGGCGGCAGAGAGAGAGAGGAGAGAGAGGUGUGUUUGUAGAAUUGUAGGGGAAUGUGUGUGUUGUUAUCCCUCCUACAUUGUGCCUUUAUUUAUAGUAGUAAAGGGAGAGAAGAUAUUCCUUCUUCUCCAAGUAAUACAAGUUGUAAUAGGAAAGGAUAACUAGAAUCAAAUCUUAUCUAGGAUUUACACAAUCAUACUUAAACUAGGAAUGUUUACAACACUCCCCCUUGAGUGGGUAAAUACUCAAGGUAGAUUCAGCAUCAUGCAGAAGUUGAGGAAGUCGACUCGUCGGCAUUGAUUCCAAGGAACAACGCUUAUUCUCAAUAAGGUAGGAACUUGCAUAAGUAGUAAGUCUCACUAAAAAACCCUAAGGCUAUGGCAAAAACCCAAGUAGGGACAAAAUCCAUAGUCUAAGGAAAAAUGCGUGAGGAAUGCAAAGUCAAAAGAAACGUCUACAGGACAUCAUCAGGGAUAUGACCAGCCCAAGGUGGGUGCCUCGUUAAAACCUAGUUAGGUAGCAAAAACCCAGUGGGAAAAAUGCUCCUAAUCGUAGGGAAAAAGAGUACAUUAAGAUCAAGCAAGUAUCCAGAAGAAACUCCCCCUGAGUUUGACAUAAUUCCAAAGAGAAAUAGCAAAGUUACAACUCAGAAAGUUUUUACGCAUACCAAUUCCAUGAACAAGCUUCUAAAAACGUCGCCUUCGGUAGUGAUUUGGUGAAGAGGUCGGCCAGAUUGUCUUGUGAUCGGAUUUGCGUGACUUCAAUCUUCUGAUGCUCUUGUUGUUGAUGUGUAAAGAAGAACUUCGGCGCAAUAUGCUUGGUGUUGUCUCCUUUGAUGUAACCCUUCUUGAGCUGUUCGAUGCAAGCUGCGUUGUCUUCAAAAAUCGUCGUCGGGGCAUUAACGGCGGGAUGAAGAUCACAGGAGCUUCGAAUAUGGCCCACUACUGCUCUCAACCAAAAGCAUUCCCGAGUUGCUUCAUGUAAGGCGAGAAUUUCAGCAUGGUUAGACGAAGUGGCAACUAAGGUCUGUUUAGUUGACCUCCAAGAUAUUGCGGUGCCUCCAACGGUAAAGACAUAACCCGUUUGAAGAACGCGCCUUGUGCGGAUCAGAUAAGUAUCCAGUGUCGGCAUAACCAACAAGGCGAGAAUCAACCCGAUGAGCAUAGGGUGCGGCAUCACUCGAGGAUUCGUAGGGAUAAGAUAAAGCCCAAAUCCGUAGUACCCUUAAGGUAACGGAAGAUGUCUUUCACGCCAGUCCAAUGUCUGCGUGUUGGUGCAUUGCUGUAUCUUGCCAAAAGAUUAACAGCGAAGGAGAUGUCGGGUCUAGUGCAUUGAGCUAAGUACAAUAAAGCGCCUAUCGCACUUAGAUAAGGAACUUCAGGCUCCAAAAUCUCUUCAUCAUCCUCCUUCGGACGGAAGGGAUCUCGCUUUGCAUCUAGCGUACGAACGACCAUAGGAGUACUCGAAGGCUUCGCUUUAUCCUCAUUAAAACGGCGCAACACCUUCUGGGUGUAGUUCGAUUGAAGUACUAGGAUUCCAUCCGAACAAUGCUCUAUCUCGAGGCCGAGACAGUAUCGAGUCUUACCUAGAUCUUUCAUCUCAAAUUCCGACUUCAGGUGCGAAGCAGUUCUCGCGAGCUCUUCAGGAGUUCCGAUGAGAUUCAUGUCAUCGACAUAUACUGCAACAAUCGCAAAUCCGGAAUGUGACUUCUUAAUGAACACACAAGGGCAUAGUUCGUUAUUCACAUAUCCCUGACUAGUCAAAUACUCACUUAAACGGUUAUACCACAUUCUUCCGGAUUGUUUCAAACCGUAUAGUGAACGCCUCAGCCGAAUUGAGAGCGUGUUCCGAGGUUUGGAAAUAUUUGAACCAGUCAAUGUAAGUCCUUCGGGAACUUUCAUAUAAAUUUCCGUAUCAAGAUCCCCAUAGAGAUACGCGGUUACUACGUCCAUCAGCUGCAUAUCCAGUUUUUCGGAAACUACCAAACUGAUAAGGUAUCGAAAAGUAAUCACAUCCAUAACGGGUGAGUAAGUUUCGUCAUAGUCAAUCCCGGGGCGUUGUGAGAAACCUUGUGCUACAAGACGAGCUUUGUAACGCACAAUUUCGUUCUUCUCAUUACGCUUCCGAACGAAAACCCACUUGUAGCCAACGGGCUUCACAUGUGGAGGAGUAGGAACUACAGGUCCAAACACCUUACGUUUCGCAAGUGAAUCAAGUUCGACUUGGAUUGCUUGUUUCCAGUUUGACCAAUCAGCUCUACGUCGACAUUCAUCAACGGAACGCGGUUCAAUGUCAUCGCUCAACAUGAUCUCAGUAGCUACUGCAAAUGCUAAUGCAUCGUCGACAAUCAUCUCAUUUCUACGCCACACAUCAUCUAAGCUAGCAUAAUAGACCGAAAUCUCACGAUUCUCGGGAGGAGGAUUCGUCUCUUCAAGGACGCUUCCAUAAUCUAGAAUUUCCUCAUGAGUUGGGUAAAAUGAGUAAGCGAUAGUCGGAUUCACGGUAGGCUCUUCAGGACCUUGUGCCGUGGUUUUCCUCUUCCGGGGGUGUGAAUCCUUUGAACCAAGGGGUCUGCCACGCUUUUGUGUAGGGGCAGAUGAUUGGCUAGCCGCUAAUGUACGUGGAUCACCAGAAUUGGCGUCCCGGGCUUCCAGGAGGGUAGUCCGUCGUACAUUUGGUACAUCCAUCUUUGCAGGCGUUUUCGCAGCUGGAAUAUGUGAUCUUGUCACGCGCGCUAGAUCGGUGAAAGCAUCUGGCAUGCUCUGAGCUAUGCUCUGGAGAUCUAAUAUGCGCUGCACUUCAGCUUCAGACUGAGCGGUGCGGGGAUCUAAAUGAGACAAAGUGGGAGUCAUCCACGAUAAUUCGCGUCGUUCAUUAGGAACGUUGACGUUCUUAUCUCCCCCUAACGACGGGAAGACUGUCUCAUAGAAGUGACAAUCCGCGAAACGAGCGGUAAACAGAUCGCCUGUCAAAGGUUCUAAGUAACGAAUAAUCGAAGGAGAAUCAUAUCCGACAUAGAUUCCCAUCCUUCGCUGAGGCCCCAUUUUUGUACAUAAGGGCGGCGAGAUCGGCACAUAGACCGCACAACCAAAAACGCGCAGAUGAGAUAUGUCGGGUUCGCAUCCGGUGACCAACUGAAGGGCACUAAAUGGUUGUGUCGCAACAGGCCUCAGGCGGACCAACUUUGCUGCGUGCAAUAUUGCAUGGCCCCAAGCAGCGAUCGGGAGCUUGGUACGUAUGACCAACGAUCGAGCAAUCAUUUGUAAACGCUUAAUGAAAGCCUCUGCCAGGCCGUUCUGGGUGUGAACAUGGGGUACAGGAUGUUCAACUUCAACCCCAACCGACAUGCAAUAGUCAUCAAAAGUUUUAGAUGUGAAUUCUCCAGCAUUAUCCAAUCGAAUAGAUUUGAUCGGAUAAUCAGGGUGGUGAGCCCUGAGCUUGAUAACCUGAGCCAACAGUUUGGAGAAUGCAGCGUUCCUUGUGGACAACAAGCACACGUGUGACCAACGUGUAGAAGCGUCAACCAAAACCAUAAAAUAUCUAAAUGGUCCGCAGGGAGGUUGAAUCGGUCUACAAAUGUCCCCCUGAAUCCGUUGUAGAAAAAUGGGAGGAUUCGAACGAAUCUUGUCAUAAGAAGGCUUAGUAAUAAGCUUUCCCAUAGAACAUGUUUGACAUGCAAUUUCAUGGAUCGAACCUAAGCUUCGGGUUAGUGGAUGCCCGUGUGAAGUUUUGAGGAUACGGCGCAUCGCUAUUCGUCCAGGAUGUCCCAAACGAUCAUGCCAAAGUGUAAUUUCGUGCGCGGUCCCUGUGGUAGGGCCGGCCACAUAGUGGCAUUCUAUGGGGCGUAUGGUCGUAGUAUAUAGACCACUCGGGUUACGCGCCAUCUUCUCUAGAAUACGCUUCUGGCCAUAUUCGUAGGAAGUUACGCACAGAAAUUUAACUCCGUUUUCUACGUGGGUUUCAGCGUGGUAAUUGUUAUCUCUAAUGUCCUUGAAACUUAGUAACGUUCUUCCGGAACGUGGAGAAUAGAGUGCCUCAGCAAUGGUCAAGAUUGUACCAUUGGACAACAUUAUACGUGCCUUACCGUAUCCUUCGAUCAGGUUGGAUGGGCCUGAGGGGGUUGUCAGAGGUGCAUUCUUAGGUACGAAGUUAGUGAAAUAGAUGCGUUCACGCAAAACAGUAUGCGUGGUUGCACUAUCUGCCAGACAACUAACUUUCCCACUAUUCAUACCUAGAAUUAAUUUGAAUUGGUCACAUGCAUAAAAGUUUAUAAAACAAGUAUCAAUUCAAAAUAAUUUCAUUUAUUCAAGGAAAAAACUUAAUAUCCAAAAUAAAUCGCCAACUAAUAAUCCAAAACAUAAAGGAAAAUUGUUCAAAAUCAACCAAAAACAAGGUGGGGUUCGGCCACUAGGUGGAAUUCGGCCCCAAUUGUCUUAUUUUAACUGAAAAAUAAGUCUAUGUCUAAGAUUCUAAUCUUCCAUAGGAGUGGUAUCCUCCUGAAAAUCAGAAACCUCCAUCUUUGUAAUCUCCGGUUCGUCCACUUGCAGGAAGUUUGAUUCAAACUUCGUACAACGAGAAUGAUAUGCAUCCACAACCUUCUUGGGAGUACGGCAAAUACGGGACCAAUGGUCCUUGGAACCACAACGAUAGCACAUAUCGUCAUUCAUUGUGGCAGGUGCUUUGCCCUUAUUCUUGAAGUUCGGGGCCUUGGGAGUGAGGUUUGGGCGCUUCUGGGCUUUGUUUCCUCCCUUGGAUGGGCCUUGGCUCUGUUGACCUUGGUGGGAUGGCUUCUGGCCGCCCUUACCACGCCUCUUUUGGCGUUUUGGGUGCUGAUUAGUGCUAUAAUGUGCUUCAGGCACAGCAGUAGCCCCAGUAGGUCGAGCUUGAUGAUUUUUCAUCAACAGCUGGUUCUGCUUUUCAGCAAGAAGUAAAACAGAGAUCAAAUCAGAGAACUUAGUGAACUUCUGAGCUCUAUAUUGUUGCUGCAGGACAAUAUUAGAAGCAGAGAAGGUCGAGUAGGUCUUCUCCAGGAGAUCCUCUUCAGUCAAAGUUUCAUUGCAAAACUUGAGAAGUGAUCGGAUUCGACAAACUUCAGAAUUAUAUUCAUUCACAGACUUAAAGUCUUGGAAGCGCAAGUGCUGCCAGUCGUGUCUUGCUUCAGGCAAGAAUAUGUCCUUUUGGUGAUUGAAACGAUCAGCCAAAGCGACCCAUAAUGCACGUGGAUCCUCCUCAGCAAGGUACUCAGUUUGUAGAGCGUCAUGGAUAUGUCUUCGGAUGAAGAUCAUAGCAGUGGCUUUUUCAGCCUCGCCAACAGGUUUAUCUGUUACUUCUUCAAUAGCAGGACGCAAGUUCUUUGCAGUGAGGUGGAGCUUCACAUCUUGAACCCACUUGAGGUAGUUCCUUCCAGAAACCUCCAAAGCGGUGAAGUCGAGUUUGUUCAAAUUCGACAUGUUCCUAUCACAAAAUGGAUGAACAAGAUGUGGUUAGUGUAAUGGAGAAAAAUCAAUCCAUUCACAUAGGAGUAGAACAUACAGGUUCUAAUAGACAUGUAUUGGUUUAAUUUUGCAUGAAAAACUUCGGGUUUUCAUGGGUGAUAUAUUUAAGUGAAAACUUCGGGUUUUCAAACAAGGCAUGUGUAUAAGAAACUUUGGGUUUCAAAGUAAUUAUGAACUUCAGGUUCAUAUAUUCCUGCAGGCAAACACAAAUAUAUAUGCAAACAAAUAUGCAAAGAAUAUAUGUAGAAAUAUUGUAUAAUGAUAAGUGAAUUAAUUUAUUUUUGGUCUUCGGGGCCAAAUUAAAGUGUGGGUGAAAAUAUAAAAACCCAUAUUAUUUAAAAAAAAUUAAAUAAUAAAAUCUCGGGGCCUAAAAAUAUAGGCCAAGAACCCUCGGGUGGGAUUACAGGCCCACGGGGUGAGAAAAGGGGAAUGGGCUGCUGUGUGCAGCCCUAAAAUUUUUUUUUUCUCGGGCCGUUCCAGGCGAGCCCAUAAUUUUUUUUUUCUUUUCGGGCCGUUCCAGGCGAGCCCAGAAACUUUUUUUUUUUUUUUUUAAUUUAGAUGCAUAUAUAAUUCAAUGAAUCACAUAUUUACUUUGAUGCAUAUGCAAAUAAUAGUUUCAAUGCAUGUACAUAUGUAAGAUUCAAUUCAUGGCAAAUAUCAAAUUCACAUAAUUGUAGCAAUUUUGAUUAUGAAGCAUACACAAUUUAUGUAGAAUCUAAAAUACGUAAAACGUAAAGUUGGGUCAUGCAUCAUGGUGAAUGUUCAUGCUAUCAGGGCUUGCAAAAUAUCGAGUUAAAAGCCGUUGUUUGGAAAGAACCUGAUUGCGUGAUGAUAUGGAUGAACUGGUUUGAUGCAGAAAAAAUCUCCAACGUCAGAUUCCUAAGCGCAACGGUAGGAGCGUGCUGAUAACGUGUUGUGGUCUAUUUUAUCUGACAGAGGGACUAGGGCCGGCGGCAGAGAGAGAGAGGAGAGAGAGGUGUGUUUGUAGAAUUGUAGGGGAAUGUGUGUGUUGUUAUCCCUCCUACAUUGUGCCUUUAUUUAUAGUAGUAAAGGGAGAGAAGAUAUUCCUUCUUCUCCAAGUAAUACAAGUUGUAAUAGGAAAGGAUAACUAGAAUCAAAUCUUAUCUAGGAUUUACACAAUCAUACUUAAACUAGGAAUGUUUACAACAAAUCUAAAUAUUUGUCAAAUUAUCUAAAUAUAUAAAGAGAGAGCCCCAGUUUGGUGAAGCAUUCCAAAAUGCCAAGAAUAUCCCUAUGUUUCCUUCACAAUCAAAAUCCAAAAAAUCCAAAAAAAAGGAGGACAAACUGGUAAAAAACUUAUAACCGAACAUAAAAUUGUAUUGAAAGAAAAAACUAAAUUUUUACUAAAAAUUGAGAGCAAGAAAUACAAAAAAAAAAAACAAAAAAAAGGGAAAUUAAACCGAAUACUGGUAGAACAAGUCCACGUAAUUGAUAAUUGACGAAUGCAAUGUUGGUAACUGGUCUUGAUUUAAAAUAAAAAGUUGAAAACACAAAGAGACAGAUGCAGUAAAAAACACCAAUAAAAAACAAAAUAAAAAAAAAAAUAUUGGAAACUGAGGAAAGAAACGUGGGAGAGAGACUGCUGUUUUCAAACUGCAUUAAGUUUAAAGGCUCUCAUGUUAUUGCUAAUGGAAUAAAACAAAAAAGAAAAUAAAAAGAGACCUAAUACGUUUAGAAUAGAACUGCUAUUCGACAGUUGCAGGCUUGAAGUGUGUGAAGGAAACAGUUUUGAAGAACGAUAAACUCGAACGUUCAUGAAAAUAAAAGCGAACGUGGGAGAGGAACCAGUUUUGCGGGACAUGUAAAUAAAACACAAAAUAAAAUAACCUCAAGAGAAUAAAUUGAAAUUGUUGUGCCAGAGCCUGAAGGAGAAGAUCAAAUUGGCGAAAACCAACAAGAACUGGUAGUUCUGUAGUUCUCAAUUAUUAAAUUUGUGUGUUUUGUUCUCUAUCAAAAUGCUUCUUAUUCCUUAAUCUUCUCAUGCAUUUUCACAUGAUUAUUGAAAAUUCUGCACGUUAAUUGUAAUGGUUUGAUUGUGGUUUUUGUUCUCUGCAGGUUUUUCUUCCCUUAUCUUAUCAAAUAAAUCAAUUGAUAGGUUAGGCUUUCAUUUUUUUUUCUUCACAGGACUUUUAAGGACAUCCUCAAGUCAAAGUGAUGGAAUCAAAGUCUUCAGGUUUGGAUGCUUUUUUCCUUCUCUUUUUAGAGUAAUUUUCGAGUUUCUUCUCGCAUUUUUCGGGUUCCUUUCCCCAGUCCCCCAAAAUAACAAUAACAAAUUAGGCUUCUUCAUUUUUAGACUCUCUUGGGGUUGGCAGAUAAGGGGUUGCUUGCAUUUAAACCUCACCGUCCGGCUUCUUCUUUCUUAUGAAUUUUUAUCCCUUUCCUACGGCCAGUUCGUGAAGGCCGUUUUCAAAUUGAGGUUUUGUAUAUUCUGUCUCUUAAGAUUUGAUUCUUUCUAUUUUGGAUUAUUUUUUGUCUGAUUUCUCAAACAAUUUGGCUAAUGAAGAGUUUAUGGAUAUACAAUGGGACAAUAUUAUUUUCUCUCUGUUUUAUGUGUUUAUUUAGUUUUACUGUAGUUUUCAUCUAUGCCUUGAGUUUUGGCUUCUCUAUCUUUUUAUCUUUUGUAGCGUUCCAGGUAAAUGGUGAGAAUUAUUCAAGUAUGCGACAUCAUUUUAGUUUCAUGUGAAAAAUCUUCUCUUAUAAUUUUGUUUGAGUGAUUGAAUGUGCAUAUGUGAGCUCUAAGGUUUGGUUCCAUAUUUAUUGUUGAAGAAAAACAGGAAGUGAGGAACACAAUAACCCUACCACGAUUAUGUAUGAAAUAAAUUGGAUCUAUUAAAAACUCAUAUUUUGGGUGUGUUGUUAGGAAGAAAUGCCUAAACUCCGAAUUUGUAUGGAACAUACUCAUUAUAGAAUAGAUUAAUUGUAUGUGUUAUUGCUUUUAGUACUAAAAUUGACUUAUUUGCCCUCCUACAAGUCAUAGCUUUGCUAAUAAAUUGAGAACAAUGUCUGAUUUAGUUUUUUUUUUUUGUCGAAAUGUCUUAUUAGUUUAACUCUUUUCAUUUGAUAAUUCUCUUGCCCUUGGUUUGAGAUAUAAAGUAUUUCAUUUCAGUCAUCAAGUGUCACAGCCUGUCCCGAAAUAUUUUAUUGAUGUUGUGAAAUGACGAAACUGCCUUUGAGCGUUUUUUGACAUUUAAACUUUAGGGUUUGUUUUGGUAACCAUGGUUGUGUUUAGGGUUAGGUGGAAGUGUGAGGACACACACAUCACCCUUUCCCUUUCUUUCUCUUCUCUCCCGUGCACUCUCUCUCUCUCGGAAACACUCUCCCUCUCGGAAACACUCUCCCUCUCUUCCUUCUUUGUACGGACAACAUCAAAACCCUCUCAAACCUUGUAGAUCGAGGGUGUAAAGAACACCAUUGGGUUCGUGAGGAUCAUACAAGUCAAAAGGUACCAGUUUCAGGUAAGGAAACCUUCGAUUUCCCGUGAAAACCCUAACCCUCCGAUUUUGUCACUGUUUAUGCUCAUGUAAAACCUUGUGUUUUAGGGGAUUUUAAGCUCAUAGGGAGCUUUAGGAGGUCCUAAGGAAGAUCAGAGUGGUUUGUUGGAAGAAUUUGGACGUCGAAAUAGUGAGAUCGACGAGUUGCAGGGUUUGGCCUGAUUAUCGAGGUUUUUUUCCAGCGAGUUGGAGGUCGAGGCAUGUAUGGUUUUGUUCGUCUUUGUGAGAUCUUCAAAUUGGUUCAAAUUUCAUUGAAAAUGGUGCAAAAAUGAAGAAGUUAUAGGCAUUAGAAAUUUUUCCAUAAACCGGUGACUCACCGGAGAAGAAAGGAGUUGACGGAAUAUACUAACGGCGUCAUGUAUCUUUAACAGAUUCAGUUAGUUUUAACGGAAUAUUCCUGACGGCGUUAACUGACGCCGUCAGUGUGCCAAGCACAUGGGCGCACGUGGGGGCGCAUCUGGCCGUGCCUUGGCCACGUGGGUGAUCAGAAAAUUAUUCUAAAAAUAUGGGGAUGUUUCUGAGGUUGUGUAGAUCAUUUUGGUAUAUUCAAACACCCCGAUUGAGCAUUGUAUGAGAAGUUGUUACCAAGUUUUGUGUUUGUGCUUUAAAAGUAACGUUUAUAUAGUUGUUUCGCAUAUAGGUGAGACCUAUCCCGAGGACGAGCGAAGUCAGGGGCAACUCGGGGGUUACGACCCUUCCACAUACCAGUGAGUAUAUAUAUAUAUUGAAUAUUUUCCUAGAAAAGCGAUUUAAAUGUGUGAAAUCCCGUUUCUGGAUUUCAUUGUUAUCACCUACAUAUUUGUAUUAUUGAGAUUUUAUAUUAUUUCUCGAGAAUUUAUUUUAAUUUGUUUGAAUUUAAAUUUAAAUUAAAUUAGUUAUUAACGUUUGAAGUUUGAGGCAUUUUAGAAAUAAAUAGAAAAAUCUGAAAUUUUCUUAUGAAAUCUGGUGUGCCACAUGGGUGGCCCAGAUUCAAUGGAAAGGAAAAUGGAUGGUGGAGAUGCAAAGGAAAGGAUUUAAAAGAGAGUGGGCGCUGCCCAGUUAGGAGGGGGGAGAGAAAGAGGUGACCAAUUGGGCGAAGAGGAAAGGAGAGUAAGGAGAGAAGAAGAGGAAGAGGGAACCGGCCGGGGUUUACUAUGGCCCAUGACCCGACCCGGUUAUAUCUCCCAACUCCGGCCACCAUGGACGGCUAGGAUGGUGUCAAAAUGAUCCUUAGCUCGAGGCCAAUCGAUCUCUCUUCCAUUUCUACACUUAAAACGACGAGGGGGAGUCCAAUUUUGAGGAAAUACCACGGUGGGUGCGUCGGGCUUAUGUGGAAAUCCAUUAAAUCUUGAAACGUUUUCUUCCAAUUACAACCACCCAUAGCAUCCUCAUGAGGCCUAGAACAAAGCCCAGACAAGUUUGGGGGCGGCAGAGUUGUUUUCGAGUCGGAUCGAACACACCUAAAAACAAGGGUUCCGUACGGUUCGAGUGAAAUUGGGGAUUUUCCCGGCCAAAUUGGACUUGGCCACAGGUAUAAAAAUUGCUAUACUCAUUGAAAUCUUCAUUUCUGUAAAUUUUGAUAAUUUUUAAAAAUAGUUGAAUUUUUCCGGCAAGUCGGGGCGGCCGACGGCCACCCGUGGCGGCGAGUGCGGCGGUUUCCUGGCCAGUGGGCCGAAAAUAUCAUUUUAAGUUCAAUUAGAUGUCUUGAUUUCAUAAUUGAUAUCCUUAUGAUAUGGUUUGAUUGUUUGAACCUAAUUUCAUUACGAUACGUGGUUAGGUCAAAAUAUGAUUCGACGAUCCUACCGUUGGAUCGUCACCAAACCUUAAUGCGUGAUAGAACAUAAUAUUUUUGGAUCAUAGAAACUUACGGAUCGAGAAUCUGACGUACGGAUCUUCCCUAAUUGGAUUUCUAAGUUUGUAAAAUUAAAUGUCGACCGCCACUUGAAUUUUGAAAUUGGCGGAGAUCCAACUGUCGGAUCAUGUUGAGAUUUCAGUAUGUUGUUAUUUGAGCAUAAUGUGGACUUUGGAAAGUUUCGGAUCGGAAAUCCGAGGUGCGGAUCUUCCGAAUCAAAUUACAUAAGUUUGUGGACCCUACUGUUGAUCGAGAGUUGACUUUUGCUCAACAUGUCAUGAAACGUCCUAAUUACUAAAAUUAGUACUACAGGGGAACUAGGUGAAGUCUAGUGGGCAUGCAUUGAUUAGAGAGUGACUUGAAUAUAUGUGAUAUGAUUAUUACCUUAAUUUCCUAUUAGUAUCCUUUGUGAAGAUGAAUUGGUUUUAUAAAUGUGAUUUCUAUUGAAAUGUGAUUUUUAUAUAUUUAGCCAUAGGCCUAUGAUUAUUAAACAUGAUUUGGCUUGGUACUGAUGAUGGUUGUGACAUAUGUGAGUUAAAUUAUCUUUUUAGUAAUGUGAAUGAUGUGUAUGAUUAUUUUCAUGACAAUGUGAUCCUAGAAUCCUAUUAAAAGUAUGUUGUAGCACUUAUAUGCUUGGGUGCCAUAUUAGUGGUGACCUUGAGAAGUUGAUGGUGUAGGUGACUACGUUGUAACUCAUAGGGUUGAGAUGUGAUGUGGAUAAGUUGAGGUGUUGAAAUUACUACACCAUGUAGUAGUUGUACAUUGAUGGUCCUGCUUGGUAUAUCCGCAUUGGGGGACCAUACGCAUUCUAGGAGUGAUCAUGCUUGGUAUAUCUGCAUUGGGUGAUCACUACCUACCUGAUUAUCUUGACCCUGCUUGGUUAAUCCGCAUUGGGGGGUCACAAGUGGUCCUGCUUGGUUAACCCGCAUUGGGGGACCAUACUUUAUAUGGAUCGCGCUUGGUUAAACCGCGUUGGGCGAUCCUUAUGGCCAUGUAUGCUUAGGAGUGAUCAUGCUUGGUAUAUCCGUAUUGGGUGAUCACUGCCUAGGAUAUUAAACUAUGCAUACGGUUUUGCUUGGUAUAUCCGCGUUGGGGGACCAUAUGCAUUCUAAAAGUAAGGAGGAUUAGUUGUGUUGAUGCACAAAAUCAGCGAAGACUUUGGUACAACAGAAAGUGUCAGGUUUUGUGACCUUCGCUUGGUUGCUUCGGUCACUAGUGAGGAUAAAUACGUAAAUAAAUAGAGACAGAGAAGCAAACACAGGAUGUACGUGGUUCACCCAGAUUGGCUACGUCCACGGAGUAGAGGAGUUCUUAUUAGUAGUGAAGGGCUUACACAAGUACAAAGGAUCAAGCUCUCAAUUUAGUGAGUUCUUGUGAAUGAUUUACACAAAAUGGCAUUAGGCAAUAUUGUGGGGGAAUGACCCCUAUUUAUAGAAAAACUUGUAGCUUUGUCACAUUGACAUGUGUCAUGUUAUGAUUGGUUCUUGAUGUUGACACGUGCUGCGCUCUGAUUGGCUUCUAAUCCUGACACGUGUCGAGUAGUGAUUGGCCUCCUGGUCGGAGGGGAACUCUUCUGGGUCCUUGACAGUAUAGCGUUGGCUGGUACUCGGUAGUUUCGGGAUUGGUCAAGUAUGGUACAAACAGUGCUCCCCUAAGUUCCCGAGUGAGGGAAACUCCUCGGUUGGGGACUUGCAAGAUCCAAUCCCUUGAGUAAUCACGAAACUUCUAAGUACCGAAGUGUGGUCUGAUCUUCAUCUGCCCUUCUCUGGAAGUACCUUUCCUCCAUCCGGGAAUGGUGUAUUUAGCUGAUGUUGACGCACAAGCUAAUGUAUCAAUUUCACUUGAAGCUUAGUUGUAGUUUCGGGCUUAGUCAAGUGUGAUACAAACCCUAUAGUAGGAGUCCCCCAAGUCGCCGAGCUAGGAGAUCUGCCGAAAGAGGUGACAGACAAGGUAAGCAGUCAAACUUCCAAGUAAGCAACCCAGGAUCAGAGGUUUGACUUCGGCUUCCGGUUGAUUGUUCUCAUUCUCCUUGUCUCUCAUUCAACUGCCAGGAUAAGGAGAAGCAAAUGGAUAAGAGAUGAUAUGAGAUACUUUUGCUUUUGAAGAAGUAACUUUCCACAGGCUUAUUCUUGAACUGUGCUGGAGGGUUUUCUGGUGCCCUUCAGAGUAUAAGGCCAACUCAAAAAUUUGAGGGUCAAAACAAGUCCAUCAAAUCUAGAGUACGUUCGACCUUGAUGAUAUGGGAUACUUUUGCUGUUGACGGAAUAAUGAAUGUGGUAUGGAAAGGUGUCGUGCUGUAGUGAUCUGUUUCAGCUCACCGUUUGAACCUUCUGCUUCAAUCUUUUGCAUGGCAGAAGUGGUGUGCAACCUUUGCAUUUAAAUGGUCCUUCAGAACAUUCCUUCAUAGUGACUCAUCCACGCUUGGCAGCUUCAGUGUAAAGAGCCAAUAUCUGAUCAACUGUCAUGAGGUAUUUGCCGGUGGAAUUCGUGACCUUGACAGCAGUUGAGGAUGAGUACUCGAGAGCAAUGCUAAGUAAGCAACCAGGCAAAGGCUCCAGGCAGUCAGUUCCAAAUUGGAGGUUUGAUUUCAGGUUCCGACUGACUGCUCUCUUUCUCCUUGUCCUGCAGGUGUGGACAAGGACAAAGACAAAGACAGGGAGAAAGCAUGAUAUGGGAUACUCUUGCUUUCGAUCCUGAUGAUAUGAGAUACUCUUGUUCUUGGUGUGGCUUAUUUGCUGAGGUAUUAUCGGGGGGAAAUAAAGCUGAGUAUUUCGAGAGGUUAUGUUGAGGGUGCCUUUUCGAAUGCGAGAAAGGGUUGAGCAUUUUUGCAGGUUUGCCUGUCCGUUGAGGAGGGAGGUCAAUGUAUAUAGGGAUUUCCCAAUAACAAGUAGUAAUGCUAUUCCUUUACCCUUCUUGGUCACAGCAAUGUAGUGGGAGCUGCCAGCUUCACGUGUUUUAAUUUUGUCAGAGCACUUUGAAAAAAGUGGUAUGUGGUAUCUGGAAAGCUGAUGUUACGUGUGAAGAUUACAGACAAGCUUUAUCUAAGGAAAUCUGGCUCUCGAAGUUCUGAGAGUUGUGCCUCUUCGGUUUUCGAACAAGCAAUCCCGUCGAGGAUCUGACUCUCGAGAUUCGGAAAGCGGUGCUACUCCGGUUUUUUAGAAAGUAAUUAUGUUGGGAGUCUUUUCUUGAAUGUGAGUAAAGGUUGGACGUUCUUGCCAACCUGUCUUGCCGCAAAACACGGAGGUCGACACACAUAGGGACUUUCCAGUUGUCAAGCAGUGGUGCUGUUCCUUUACCCUUAUGGGUAAUAGUAGGGUAGCUGGAACUUCGAAAUUCUCGUGCCUAAACUUUGUCAGAGAUCUUUGACAAAGUUAUAUGUGGUACCCGAUGAGUUGAUGGUGCAUAUGGAGAGCGGUGAUUGAACAGUAAGAUUCACGUGCUUUCUACUUCACCAGAAAUCUUCGACAGAUUGCCCGUAAUUUCUGCAAAGCUGAGUGUGCAUGUGACAGGUGCUGACGAGGCUGAAAAAGCAGGUGCUUCUUUGAUUUCUGAGAUCGGCCCUCGUGGUCUCUGAGCAGCCCAGCUUUUGAGAAAGCAAACGCCUCUUCGAUUUCUGAAGCUCCGUCGAGUGCAGAUUUUUAUAGAGGCUGGCAUUAAGUUCCACAGCACACUUGAAUCUCUACCAGUAGAAGCUCAUUUCUUGCACUUCUAAGAUCUUGAUUUGUCUGACCUCUUCCCUCUUCAACACAUUUGAAAAUGUCUGGACCCUCCGACCGUCGUUUUGACUUGAACCUUGGAGAAGAGACAGCCACGCCUUCUCCAGACAACAUAUGGCGCCCAUCAUUCAUAUCCCCUACCGGUCCUCUUACCGUUGGGGAUUCUGUGAUGAAGAAUGAUAUGACCGCUGCAGUGGUGGCCAGGAACCUUCUCACUCCCAAAGAUAACAUACUACUUUCCAAACGGUCUGAUGAGUUGGCUGUUAAGGACUCUUUGGCCCUUAGUGUUCAGUGUGCAGGUUCUGUGUCUAAUAUGGCCCAACGCCUAUUUGCUAGAACCCGCCAAGUUGAAUCAUAUUGGCUGCUGAAGUGAUGAGUCUCAAACAGGAGAUUAGAGGGCUCAAGCAUGAGAAUAAGCAGUUGCACCGGCUCGCCCAUGACUAUGCUACAAACAUGAAGAGGAAGCUUGACCAGAUGAAGGAAUCUGAUGGUAAGGUUUUACUUGAUCAUCAGCGGUUUGUGGGUUUGUUCCAAAGGCAUUUAUUGCCUUCGUUCCUCUGGGGCUGUACCUGGUAAUGAAGCUUCAAAUGAUGAACCUCCAAUGCCUCCUCCUUCUGGGGUUUUGUCAAGUACUGAGGCUCCGGAUAACCACCCUCCGGUGCUUUCUCUUUCUGGGGCUCUACCGACUGCUGAGACUUCCCCUAAGCAACCUUUGUGAAGGCUCCCUUUUGUUUGUUUAUUUUGACUCAUGUAUAUGUACAUAUUUGUGGCUUAUCGAAAAUAUUAAUAAAAUAAGCUUUGCUUCAUUUCAACAUAUUGUGUUAAAUACACCAAAGCCUUCUUCAUAAAGUUCUUUGAAUUUUUGCUUUUGUUGAAACCUGUAUUGUUGAAGCUUUGUGAGUGAAGCAUGUAGUUUGAGGUAGUGUUCCCUUAAUUUCUCGAGUGAGGAAAACUUCUCGGUUGGAGACUUGAAAAAUCCAAGUCACUGAGUGGUUGUGAGACUGCCGAGUAUCAAGGUGCAGUAGCAUAUGGUGGGAGUCCCCCAAGUCUUCAGGCGAAGAGAGUUGCCGAAUGAGGUGUCUCGCGUGUUACUAAUUUGUCAAAGUAACGAAUUCUUGUUUCGAUGUCACACAUUCGUAUAUGCUUUAUCUAAAAAAUAUUUCCAACUUUUGUGUGUGUUUGAUGCUGCAUGCUAUUGACUAGACAAGAUCAAGUGCAAUUAGUAGCUUUCUCUCUUUUUCAUCUUUUCUUUGGUGGAAUUGCUUUUCGUUUCCACUAAUCAGCCUGAGUGGAUGCAAGAUAACACCUUUCUCUAUAGCUCAGAUUGCAAAGUCGUCUUCAUGAAAGUUUUUCCUUAUCUUGUGAACUACAAUAUAUCCAAAUUUGAGAUCCAUCGGAGUAGUACAACUUCAGAAAUUCAAGUAUGAUGAGUAACUGUUCAUCAAUGUUCUGUUAAUCCGUCAGACUUGUUGUGAGCUUCGAAACUCCAUUUUCUCUUGUUCAGAUCAACAUACUUUCUUUCUUCAUCGAAGUUGUUCCUCAGCUUGUGAACUACAACAUAUCCAAAUUUGAGAUCCCUCGGAGCAGUAUAACUCCAGAAAUCCAGGUAUGAUGAAUGACUGGUUAUUAUUUUUCUGUCAACCCGUCAGAUUUGUUGUGAGCUUCGAAACUCCAUUUUCUCUUGUUCAGAUCGGUAUGCUUUUCUUCAUUGAAGUUGUUCCUCAGCUCGUGAACUACAACAUAUCCAAAUUUGAGAUCCCUCGGAGCAGUAUAACUCCAGAAAUCCAGGUAUGAUGAAUGACUGGUUAUUAUUUUUCUGUCAACCCGUCAGAUUUGUUGUGAGCUUCGAAACUCCAUUUUCUAUUGUUCAGAUCGGCAUGCUUUCUUCAUUGAAGUUGUUCCUCAUCGUCUCUUUCAUAACAUAUCAAAAAUUCAGAAUGAACUAAUGGUUAAAUAUUUCCAGAUCUUUGAAACAUCACAGCAGCUUCGAAAUCUGCAAGAAUCCGACUGUCAUGUUUGGAACUUCAACACUUUAAUUUCCGUCGCUCAAACAGAAAUGGUUCCUUCUUGAAAGUUGUUCAUAUGCUCAAGAACUAUAGGGUGUCCAAAAUUCAGCUCCAUUGGAGAAGAGCAGAGGUUGCAGAAAUUUGAUAGAUGAAAGGAGGCGGAAGAGGGAGAGAGAGAAAAAGUCUCUUGGGUUGGAUUUCUAUUUUGGGGCAGAUUCCAAUUUUUGUAGCACCUUCAUUAUUGAUGAAUUGCUUGUACUUUUGUCCAUUAUGAAACUUGGGACUUUGGCUUGUUGUUGGAUCUAUUAUAAUAUGUUUGGGAACAUAUAUAAGUGAAUAAAUAAGAAGGAAAAUUUUGGGCCCUUGUGGGUGUAAAACAAAAAAUGUUUAUGUUUACCCAAGUGGUUUUGUGAACAAAAUUUGUUUAUUUGGAGCAAGGUUUUGUGUUGAAGCUUUGUAGGUGAAGCUUUGUAGAUGAAGCUUUCGAGGUGAAGCUUUGAUGGUGAAGCUUUGUAGAUGAAGCUUUCUGGGUGAAGCUUUGAUGGUGAAGCUUUGUAGAUGAAGCUUUCGAGGUGAAGCUUUGAUGGUGAAGCUUUGUAGAUGAAGCUUUCUGGGUGAAGCUUUGAUGGUGAAGCUUUGUAGAUGAAAGUAUGUAGAGGGAGCUUUCUAGGUGAAGAUUUUUUAGGUGAAGCUUUGUAGGUGAAGCUUUUUUAAGUGAAGCUUUUCGGGUGAAGUUUUUGUUGGGUGAAGCUUUGUGGGUGAAGCUUUUUAGGUGAAGCUUUGUGGGUGAAGCUUUGGAGGUGAAGCUUUUCGGGUGAAGCUUUUUGGAUGAAGCUUUUUUUUUUUUUUUUUUUUUUUUUUUUUUUUUUUUUGGCGCUUGACACGGUCUUCAUUUGCUUGUUUUGUAGUGACUGUGGAAGACGGAUUGCUUUCUGAAUUGAGAAGGGUUCCGGCAUCGCUUGCUAUGAAUGUAAAAGAGUGAGGGCUGAGUUGGCUAAAUUACCUCUUUAUUGAAUUCAUUGCCAAAUGGCCUUCAUUACAUAGGAUGCCGAACGGCUAUAGCUCAACACUUGUACAUCGUGAGUCUAUUUGUAGUAGUACUUCAAGUGAUCAGCGUUCCAUGGAUGGCCAAGGGUCUUGCCAUCGGAGCUUCUAAGUGUGUAAGAGCCAGGGCGACUGAUGCCAAUGACUUCAUACGGUCCAUCCCAGUUUGGACUAAGUGUGCCUUCACUCGGGACUCUGUCGCAGAGUAAUCUUUUCUUUUAAGACCCAGUCUCCUAUUUUGAAAGAACGAGGCUUGACCCUAGAGUCAUAAUAGUUGGAGAUGCGCUGCUUGUAGGCGACAUUCCUCAAGUGAGCUUGGUUUCUGUGUUCCUCGACUAAAUCCAAGUUGAGGGUGAGUUGUUUGUCAUUUUCACUUUGAAUGUAGUUCUGGACUCGGAAUGUUGCUUGCUCGAGCUCAACAGGGACAACCGCCUCUGUGCCAAAGGCAAGUGAGAAUGGAGUUUCUCCUGUUGAAGUCCGAUAUGAAGUGCGAUAUGACCAAAGAACUUGGGGUACAAAUUCUGGCCAACAGCCUUUAGCUUUGUCCAAGCUGGUUUUCAAAGUGCGCUUGAUUAUUUUGUUGAUGGCCUCAACUUGUCCAUUAGACUGGGGAUGAGCUGGAGAGGCAAAGCAUAAGUUGAUGUUGAACUUAGAGCAGAACAACCUGAACUUCUUGUUGUCAAACUGUCGCCCAUUGUCAGUGACUAUCGCAUUGGGAAUGCCGAAUCUACAAAGGAUGUUCUUCCACACGAAGUCUUCUAUCUUUGCCUCAGUAAUGGUUGCCAAGGGUUCUACUUCGGCCCACUUUGUGAAGUAGUCCACUGCAACGACUGCGUAACAGACUUUGCCCUUCCCUGCCGGCAUUGGGCCGAUCAAAUCAAGUCCCCACUGGGCGAAGGGCCAAGGGCUGAUCAUAGGAGUAAGAGGCUCUGGAGGGGAAUGAGGAAUAGUUGCAUAUCGUUGACAUUUGUCACAUGAGCGGGAUACUUUGAUGGCAUCCUGGUGGAGUGUUGGCCAGUAAUAUCCUUGGCGAAAAGUCUUGUGUGCUAGGGACCGAGAUCCAGCAUGAUCUCCACAGACUCCCUCAUGUAUUUCCCGAAGGACGAUUUCCGCCUCGGCAGGCGUAAGACACCUUAAGUAUGGCAGGCUAAAACCUCGCUUAUAGAGUUGAUCAUUGAUGAUCAGGUAGCGGGUAGACUUGUAUCGAAUUUGCUUAGCCUGGACUUUAUCAUUUGGGAGGGUGCCAUGAGCAAGGAAAUUAUAGAUCGGGGUGAUCCAACUAUCCCCCUGUUGUAAGUUGCAUACUUCUGCGGCCAUGGUGCUUGGUGUUGCCAACAGUUCGACAUGAAUUUUUCUUCCAAUCUUGUCUUCCACAGCUGAGGCGAGGCGAGCCAGGGCGUCUGCAUGACUGUUUGCCGCUCGAGGAACUUGGGUGAUCUGGUAGUGGAAGUGCUUGAGUAAAAGUUGUGUUUGCGCAAGAUAUGCUGCCAUGGAGCUGUCCUUAGCAUCAAAGUUGUUGGUAACCUGGUUGACCACUAAUUGGGAGUCACUGAAAAUAUCAAUUUGUUUAACCCCGAGGUGUUUGGCCAAACGUAAUCCUGCUAGAAGGGCUUCAUACUCGGCCUCAUUAUUUGAUGCCUUGAAUUUGAAACGAAGAGCAUACUCCAUUGCUACUUUGUCGGGUGUAGUCAAGACUAGUCCCGCUCCACAGCCCUGUUGGUUGGAUGAGCCAUCAACAUACAGACUCCAUGCUGGGGUUGUUGGUUCUAUCUUCUGAGCUUCCGGGGGUAAUGAAGCCACUGUUUCAGGUGUAGAAGCAAUGUCAACCGGAUAUGUGAAGUCGGCAAUGAAGUCUGCCACUGCUUGGCCCUUCUCAGCUGGCUUUGGUUGGUAGGAGAUGUCAAACUCACCCAACGCUAUUGCCCAUUUGAUCAUUCGCCCUGAAGUGUCAGGACUUUGGAGUAUCUGUCGAAGAGGAUAAUUGGUAAGCACGAUGAUGGAGUGCGCUUGGAAGUAAGGGCGGAGUUUUCGAGCAGACAUGACCAAUGCCAGAGCCAAUUUCUCAAUGUUAGAGUACCGUGUCUCCGCAUCUUGUAAGGCUUUGCUAGCGUAGUAGACAGGUCGCUCAAUAUUCCCAUCCUUUCGAAUGAGAACGGAACUUACGGCUGAAGCUGAUACCGAUAGGUAGAUAAUGAGAAUGUCUCCUACCUCGGGCUUGGUGAGUAGAGGGGCUUUACUCAUGUACUCCUUGAGGUUUUUGAAUGCCUCGGCACAUUCAUCAGUCCAUGUAAUGUACUUCCUACUUCCCUUAAGUGCUUUAAAAAAGGGAGCACAUUUGUCUGUGGCCUUAGAAAUGAACCUGGUUAAGGCUGCCACCUUGCCAGUAAGGCUCUGGAUGUCCUUUGAAGUUACCGGUUCCUUCAUGUCGAGGAUUGCUUUGAUCUUCUCGGGAUUAGCUUCAAUGCCUCGUUGGCUAAUCAUGAAACCUAAGAAUUUGCCAGAGCCUACGCCGAAGGCACAUUUGUUGGGGUUUAACCUCAUUCGAUACCUCUUCAAAAUAGUGAAAGUUUCAGAUAGGUUGGUGAUGUGUUGGUCAGCAUGUUUGCUCUUGACUAACAUAUCAUCAACGUAAACUUCCAUGCUCUUCCCAAUCUGCUCGGCGAACAUUGAGUUGACUAGUCUCUGAUAAGUCGCUCCUGCAUUCUUUAGGCCGAAAGGCAUGACUUUAUAGCAGUAUAGUCCUCUGUCGGUAGUGAAGGCUGUGUGUUCUUGAUCCGAAGGGUUCAUGAGGAUUUGGUUGUAUCCUGAGUAAGCAUCCAUGAAGCUCAGGAGUUCACACCCGGCCGUAGAGUCUAUAAGUCUGUCAAUAAGAGGAAGAGGGAAGCUAUCUUUCGGACACCCUUUGUUUAGGUCGGUGUAGUCAACACACAUUCUCCACAAGACCUUUUGAAGCGAAAGACUUUCUUUGGUCGGAUUUUUCCUAACAAGGACCACAUUUGCUACCCAUGUCGGGUAAUUGACUUCGCGGACAAAGCCUAUGCCUUUGAGUUUUUCAACUUCUGCUUUCAUUGCCUCGUAUCGUUCAGCGUCAUAAGAUCUUCGCUUCUGUCUCACCGGCUUGAUCUUGGGGUCAAUACUCAAACGAUGACAGAUGACAUCGGGAGAGAUGCCUGGCAUGUCCUCGUAUGACCAGGCGAAGACUUCAGUGUUCUCUUUCAAAAAAGAUAUCAAUGCUAACCGAAGGGGUGGUGACAAUGUGGUGCCAAUCUUCACCAUGUGAUCUGGAUAAUCUCUUGAGAUAGGUACCUUCUCCAACUCUUCAGCAGGUUGGGCUUGCUGGGUGAAAGAGUCAUCUCGAGGAUCAUCGGGUUGAUUGUUGCUAUCAGGAAGAUCCAAGUUCGCUUCAUCUAGGCUGGUCUUUGUGACUUGGUCAUGUACAGACAGGGUUUCCUUGGGUCCGGGCAAGUGUUGUUGCUUAACUGAAGUGUUGUAACAUGAUCGUGCACUAAGCUGAUCUCCUCUGAUGUAGCCGUUGCCAUGGGGGGUUGGAAAUUUCAUCAACAGCAUAUGCGUGGAUACCAUAGCCUUGAGAUCAUUGAUGCCUGUGCGCCCAAAGAUGACAUUGUAUGCCGUUGGGCAGUCAACCACUAGGAAGUUAGUGGUAAUGGUAGCCGUGUAAGGGCCUGUACCAAUAGUAAAGGGUAAAUGUAUGCUCCCUAAGGGUUGCACGAUAUCACCGGAGAAGCUUAUCAGAGGAGAAAUCGAGCGAUCGAGCAAGUGUUCAGCUACACUGAGUGCCCUGAAAGCUUCGGCAAACAUGAUAUUGACCGAAGCCCCUGUGUCUACGAGGAUUCGUCGAACAUCAAAGUUGGCUAUGUGAGCCUCCACGAUCAAUGGGUCGUUAUGAGGGUAGAUGAUGCCUCUUUCUUCCUCAGGGUAGAAACAUAUCGGAUCCCAGUUAGGCUUUUGAUACUUCCCUCCCCUGAUGUCUUCCACGUGAAACACUUGGUGACCAGGCCUCAGAAUUCGUUCACUGUUUUUCAUGGCCCUAUUGGAAGAUUCAGAUAUGGGUGUGCCGCCGCUUAUGGAAUAUAUGACAUUCACCUGGCGUUGGUUACGGUUAUCCCUUUGAGGGUGAAGGAGGAAUUGAUCAAUUUUUCCUUCUCGUGCCAAAGCUUCAAUACGAUCACGGAGGAUGAUACAUUUCUCGCUAUCAUGGCCGUUAUGCUCAUGGUAGCAACAAAACAUGCCCGCGUUAUUCGGGGGCGUGUAAUCUGGGUGCCUCGGCUUUGGCUUUGGUAUCAGGUGAGCUAUGCUGGGGUAAAUGGCCGCGCAUGUGGCAUUCAAGGGCGUGUAUGUCUCAUACCUUGGGGUAGGGGGUAUCUUGACGCGGGUUUGACCCACUGCAUUGACUGCCUGGGGGCGAGCGUUAUUGUGGCGAUACCCUUGGUUAUCGGGAUAGUGUCCCUUACUCUUUUUUACUGAAAUGAGAGUGGUGAGGAUGGAAAUCCUUCCUCUUGCCUUGAAAUUGAUAUGUCUGUUGAUUCGGCGAAGCAUUAUGCAAGGCAUGGGGAGGUGCCACUGCUGUUUGGAAAGUCGAGGUCUUCUCAUUUAGGUGAGUCUGGCUUCCACCUCCCACUUGUUGAUAAAGGAUGGUUGUAGGGGGUUUCUCCUGAUAUGUCUUUGCCUCGGCGGAGGCAUGGUUAUAAGCCUGCGCCAUCACCUCAGAGUAAGUCUUCCAAGUAUUGGCAUUGAUCAUGUAUUUAAAGAAACAAUCACGUAGGCCUGCCGUGAAGGCUUUGAGGGCAGUCUUGUCGUCUGCCUCGGCACACCGGGAGUAUUCAUGGCUGAAGCGGCCAGCAUACAUACGUAAUGACUCGUCUGGCUUCUGGCGGAUAGUGUACAGGUCAUCUGCAGAGUGCAAGCGAUCGGUUUGGAAAAUGUGUUGGGAAACAAAUAGUUUCCUCAAUUCCUCAAAUGAGUCUACCGUCUCAGGUGUAAGACGACAAUACCAAUUUAGAGCUCCGCCAGAGAGGGUGGAGGGGAAGAGAAGACAUCGCUCUUCGUCGGUGUGCAUCCGGUAUGCCAUGGUGGACUCAAAGAGGUUAAGGUGCUCAAUCGGGUCCUCUUUUCCAGUAUAAAGUUGCAAGCCAAGCUUUUUGCUUUGUCUUUGCUUGAAGGGGGGUGUUGAGGAUCCUCCUUGUAAGAGGGCCAGGCCUGGGUUGGUUCCAGUCAGGUAUUUCAGCCUGACGUUCAGCCUUCAACUUGUUUACUUCCUCAAGAAGUUGUAGGACAAGGGGGUCCUGAGCGGAGUUAUGUGCCACUGGAGCUUUCUUUCGUAAAUCUCCAUCUUCUCUUGGAAUUAGGAAGGUUUGAUCAAGGGCAUGUGAUUUUUCCCUGGACUCGCUGUACUGGCUUCCAGGGUAUGUCUGUCGGAACACCUCUGAGUCCCCUGUACCCUCAUGUCUCUCUAGGACUUGUUGCCCCUUCCCCAAAUUGGUGGCCGGCUUGGGCCGUGGCAGGGGACCGAGUCUCUCAGAAAUCCUUGGGUCAUUAAUCUUUGAGCUUAUAUGGAUGGAAUUCUCUCGACGUUGCUUCAGGAAAUCCCGACAAUAGCGAAAGACAGCUUUCGAUCCUUCUGCCCCUUCAGCAAAGAGGUGUCUCCCUCCACUUCUCAUGGUUCGGGUUGAAGCAACUGGGUUAAGAGAAGCCUCAUGUUGAUUAUCAAGUCGAGGGGUAAUCUGUUCCCUAUCAGGGAUAUCUAUGUCGAAUGCAUGUGACCCUCCAUGUUGGAGGGCACCCAGUUGAUGGUUGACUUCCACGGGGGCAACAAGCUCGCGUGUCUGAGCUUGCCUAGCUUCGUGGAGUGUCUCGAAGAGCUUCUCAUAUUGCUCCUGGAGGACCUCAUUCCUCAUUGCUAUCUUGUUGUUCUGAGCUUCCAACUCAUCGACUUUAGCUUGAAGAAGAACUCGUUUUCCUUCCUUCUUUCGUUGUUUCGCACUAUGUGCAAGGGGGGUGUCAUUCUGUGUGCUGUGGCUUCCUUCGCUUCCCAUGUUGGAGAGGGAUGCCUGGUCAAAAGAAAGUGUACGAAUGAUAGAAACCAGCUUGACACAGCUGAAGAGAGUAGGAAUAAGUGUCGUUUCCCACAGACGGCGCCAAAUGUUGAUUAUCAAAAUCAGCGAAGACUUUGGUACAACAGAAAGUGUCAGGUUUUGUGACCUUCGCUUGGUUGCUUCGGUCACUAGUGAGGAUAAAUACGUAAAUAAAUAGAGACAGAGAAGCAAACACAGGAUGUACGUGGUUCACCCAGAUUGGCUACGUCCACGGAGUAGAGGAGUUCUUAUUAGUAGUGAAGGGCUUACACAAGUACAAAGGAUCAAGCUCUCAAUUUAGUGAGUUCUUGUGAAUGAUUUAACACAAAAUGGCAUUAGGCAAUAUUGUGGGGGAAUGACCCCUAUUUAUAGAAAAACUUGUAGCUUUGUCACAUUGACAUGUGUCAUGUUAUGAUUGGUUCUUGAUGUUGACACGUGAUGCGCUCUGAUUGGCUUCUAAUCCUGACACGUGUCGAGUAGUGAUUGGCCUCCUGGUCGGAGGGGAACUCUUCUGGGUCCUUGACAGUAUAGCGUUGGCCGGUGCUCGGUAGUUUCGGGAUUGGUCAAGUAUGGUACAAACAAGUUGUACUUAGUACAUUUGAUGGGCAAUCAUAUUUUAGUUGGUUCCGUUGAGUGGUCCGGAAUCCUUUUUGGUGUCUUGGUUCCGUUGAGAGGUCCGGAACCCGAUGCUGAUGGAUUUCGUUGAGGGGUCCGAAAUUGCAUCAUUUGAUUCAUUUAAGACAGCUUCAGCAAUGUAGACUUAUGUCGAAUUGUGUCGCUCUAACCCGGCAUUCCGAUGAAUUGUAUGUGUUAUUGAUGAUAUGGUGAUUGGCAUUAUUGAUUGAUGUGAUAAUUGGAUGGUAAUGGAAUGCAUAUGUGAGGAUGAAUGACGUUAUGAGUAGAGAUUAUUAUUGUGCUUUGUUAAAUGUUCCUUAAGGUGCUACAUAAUUGAAUUGUGGUAUUAUGUUGAGACCUAGUGGUCUAUGUGACGAAUGUUCGAUAGUAGUGAAAUGUGAACUACGAAUGACUUGAUCCCUGUUGAGGGUACGUAGGUAGUCUAACGAGGAGGUUAGAUGCAGUCAUAAAAUACACAAAAAUUACAACGAAAUUCGAAUAUUGAAUUAUGCUUUGUAAAUAUUUCGGGCGGGAUAUGUGAGAUAUACGGGUUUUUAAUGACGUCACGUGCUGAUCUUGGACGUAUGUCGGGAUCAGGGCGUGACAAAAUGAGUUUUAUGAAAUGAAAUGGCAUGCCAAUUAUAUUUAUAUUAAGAAUGUGCAUAUGUGAUUAUAUAUGUUGUGAUUCGAUGCUAUGGGCGCUCAGGUAAGUUUCAAGUAAGUUUAUGUGUUGAGUUUAAGGUGUGGAAAAAUGAUGAUUGUUGAGAUGUGUUGAGAGCUCAUUAACCUGCACCCGGGUGUUAGUGCUCCUGCCCAUGGUUAGGGGCACAGUCUUUCACGUGAUGUUUACCUCCCGUAGCACACGCUCAUCUUGGAUCCAAGUUAGGUGCACAAUCCUGUUGUAUAGACCACUUUCAGUGGGUUCGACUCGUUGGUGACCUGCAAUCAUUCGCACAGUCUUCACGUGAUUGUAGCAUUAGAGCAUAUUUGUUUUACACCCAGUCAUGUCGUAUAGACCACUAUAGGUGGGUUCGACUCGUGUGCAGACAUGAUUUAUGAGAUAGAAUUCAGUUGAUUUGAUAUUCUCACAUGUUAUCACUCCUUGGGGUACUUACCUUGUUAUUUGAGAUGAUUGGCAUGGUAUAUUCACGUUUUGACUUUGGAUUUUGAUAUUGCUGGAUAUGUUGAGAUUACGAGUAUAUGUAUAUGCUAUUUGCUGGGAAAUUAUACAGGUUUUACAGAGAGGGGUUAUACUUUUGAGAAAUGAAAUGAUUUUGAAAAGUUUUGUUUUUUGCCCACUCACGCGUUUUGUUUUGCGCCCCUCUAGGUUUUAGGUAGCGUUGUUGGUGGCUUACGAGUUUUCAGCGGAGGUUCUGACAGACCAUCACUUAUGUAGAAUCACCUUUGGGUGUUGUUAUUUAGUACUUUUAUGCUUGACUGCACUUAGGCUAGUUAAGCUCUGAUUGUGUAUUCACACUUAAUUUCCACUCUUGCAUCUUAGUCUUGUCUAGUACUAUCAGGAUUUGGUUUCUAUUCAAUUGUAUUUCUCUAUAUUAAUCUUGCUUCCGCACUGUGCAUAUGGCUACGUCACCCUCACGUGACGGUUAGCAUGUCUCGAUCUUGGUCGGGGUGUGUCAUCAAGUCACCUUUUAACUUCUAUUAUGUUGAUUUUUGUCUGUAGGUACACAAAAAUAUGCAGAUUUGGCUUUCAAAUUGAGAGGCCUAAGGACAAUCUCUGUUCAUAGAAAAAAAAGUUGGACAUAGAAGGCAUGGGUAUGGGAACAUGAUUGGUUGUUAUAUUGCUUUGGGACGUUUUGAUAUUUUAGAGAUUAAUGAGUUUGUGGAGAUUUUGUUUUUCACAUCUUGCUUUGUAUUUGAACUUAAGCACUAUAACUGAACUUACUUUAAAAUUAUAGGACUUCAAAACGCGACCGCGGUUAGGAUUAGAAAGGGCCAAGUAUAUAUGUUGAGAAACUAGGCAUUGCAAGCAUAUAAAUUCCAAUUUUAUUAUUGCUAAACCAUAUAUCAAAUGUAGUUAGGAAUUAAAUUAAGUACAAACUACAUGGGGAUGGAGAAAGUUAUGUAUAGGUGAGAGCCUAAAAAUACUUGAGAAUCAAAUACUGCACAAAUUUGUGAUAAGUUAGAUGAGUAAAGAUCGCCUUUUGUCAAGCAGUUUUUGACUUUUCUGCAUUCUUUUAUAUAGUUUUUUCUUUUUUUCUUCCUAUUUUGUCAGAUUAGAUAGAUAGGGGCGCUAAUAAAAAAAAAGAAAGAAAGUAUUUUUGCAUUUUGCUGCACGUGAUGAUGUUGAUGAUAUACAAUAUUCAAUGACUAAACCCUAUUCCCUAUACUAUAGCAAAAAAUGAAGCAUAAUUAUACAAUAGCUACACACAAAACAUUGAAAGUAUACAUGCGUGCAGUAAGAAUGAAUGGUAAAAAUGCCAUGUUCCUUUUAACAUUGCGAAUUACCGAGCUUUAUGGAGGGAGUAUAAAUACGAAUGCUCUUGGUGGUCUUCAUCUAAUUUCUUAUUAGUAUCAUCUCGAUGUUUUGGAACUUUUGACAGCCCUCUCACCGAACAUAUAAUUUUUAGGGGCGCGCAGCGCUCGUAAUUAAAAAAACGCGCAUGCGGAGAGGCUGGUAUAUACUAAAGUCCUACGCCCAAAAAUGCUGUUCAUAAGAGCAGUGUAAAGACGCAAAUACCCCUCCUCAACUGAUCUUUUCCUUCCUAUAUUUCAUGAGGCUACAGUAAAAAGACGAAAAACCAUGUUGCACACGUGGCGUGCUAGCGAGAUUUCUCUCUUCCACCGCUUCCUUCCUCUGCAGUCUACACCUCUUGCGUUUUUGCCUUUCCUCUCCAGCUGUCGGCCAUCACAGAGUCUUAUGGCAUCUUCCCGUUCUUUUCGCUGUUUUUCCUUCGGUUGCUUUUCACUUCUUUUCCUCUAAUUUGACUUCGUUUGUUUUGUGUUAUGUGGUUUUUAUUGAUUUUCAAUGUGUAUUGAUUGAUACUAACAAUUACAAGAUGAAACUUAUAUAUAGGGAAAGAAAGAUGACAUAAGCCUAACUUGCCUAACUUGCCUAACUUACACAAAGAAAGUUGACUAGCCUAACUUCACUAGUCAUCCAAUACAAUUGUUCCAACAUGUUUAUUUCAUGCAUUUUAACACUCCCCCUCAAGUUGGAGUGUGGAUGUCAAUGAUACCCAACUUGCUAAGUAAGACCUCAAAUUGCGCCGAGCUUAGUGGUUUGGUGAACAAAUCUGCAGGUUGAUUCGAGGUUCGUAUGUAAGCUGUUUGCACCAUUCCCAUCUGAAUCUUCUCACGUACUAAGUGACAGUCGAUCUCUAUAUGCUUCGUUCGUUCAUGAAACACUGGGUUCGAAGCAAUGUGCAUGGCAUCUUGAUUAUCACAAAACAAUGUGACUGGUUGUGCAUGAUUCACUCGUAAGUCCUUCAAAAGGUUUCUUAGCCAUAUAACUUCACAACAGGUGAUAGCCAUAGAACGAUAUUCUGCCUCUGCACUAGAACGAGAUACUGUGCUUUGCUUCUUUGUUUUCCAAGAUAUCGGUGCUUGCCCAAGGAAGAUACAAUAACCGGUUAUUGACCUUCUAGUGUCUUUACACCGAGCCCAAUCAGCAUCACAAAAAGCUUGUAAUUGUAGUGAACCUGUAGAAGGCAAAAGAAUUCCCUGGCCAGGAGAUUGUUUGAUGUAUCUGAGAACCUUAUACACUGCAUCAAGGUGUGGUUGUCGCGGCUUGUCCAUGAAUUGGCUUAACAUAUUAACCACGUAAGUCAGGUCAGGCCUCAUGAUGGUUAAGUAAAUUAGCCUCCCUACGAGUCUCCUAUAUGAAGAAGGAUCAUGUAGGAGCGUCCCUUCAGUUUAUGUAAGGGACAAGUUUGGUUCCAUGGGCAAUCGUGAGGGCUUCGCACCAAGGAACCCAACAUCUUCUAGUAUCUCCAACGCAUAUUUGCGUUGGCACAAGGCAAUCCCUUGUUUAGAUCUUGCAACUUCUAUCCCCAAAAAAUAUUUGAUUUUUCCCAAAUCCUUUAGCUUAAAAUGUUGGGAAAUGAAGAGUUUAGUCUCUUCAAUUUCUCUCAAAUUGUUACCUGCAAGUAUUACGUCAUCAACAUACACAAGUAAUGCCAUGAAACUGCCUUGAUUGAUGAAAACCAGCAGUCUUGAGAGCACUAGACAGCUUAAUAAACCACUGUCUUGAGGCCUGUUUUAAACCAUAAAUGGAUUUGUGUAAUUUGCAUAGUUGUGUCUCCCCCUUUCGUCCGAACCCAGGAGGUAUAUAAACCUCAUCGUAUAAGUCACCAUGCAAAAAUGCGUUGUUUACAUCAAGUUGGUGAAGAUGCCAACCACAGAUGAAGGCAAUACUGAGGAGGACAUGGACGGUGGUGAGCUUGGCAACUGGAGCAAAUGUUUCCCGAUAAUCAAGCCCUUCAAUUUGACUAUAGCCUUUAGCAACGAGACGGGCUUUGUAGCGUUCAACACUGCCGUCAAGUUUAAGCUUCACCUUAUAGAUCCAUUUGCAGCCUAUGGGAUGUUUGUGAGGUGGUAAGGGCACAAGAGUCCAAGUGCGAUUGUCAUGGAGGGCAUCAAUCUCUUUUUGCAUGGCGUCACGCCAUUUUGGAUCCUGAACAGCCUGCGAAAAACUGGUGGGUUCUUUGAUAAUGGUGAGGGUGGUGAGAAAGGUUUUGUGAGGGGGGAUACAUGGUCAUAGGAUAAAUAACGAGAUAGGGAGUGAGAUGUACCUGAGGACUGAACCAUGCUUGUGGAAGAUGUGGGUGCAACACGGGAUGGGAGGGCCACCUCAACAUGAAAGUCUUGCAAAAAUAUGGAAGUUUUGGUUGGUCGAGUGCUAGGACGGAGUGCAGGGGUUGGAUCUGGUGAUGGAGUGGUUGGAGGUGGGGAAGAGUGUAGGGUAGGUGAAGGUGUUGAUAAGGUAUCUGGUGGUGGAGUUGUAGAGGGUAAAGGAGAUGAGGGUGGUGUGAUGUCGGCAAGUGUGGGAGAUGUGGUGUUUAUGUCUGCUGGUGCAAGGCUUGAAUGCGACUCAAUGGGAGAGGUCGAGUCAAACGGGAUAGGUGUAGUGUUUGAUGGAGACGGGGCAACGGAAGUGUUACAAUGUUGGAAUGGAAAAUGAUCUUCAAAAAAUACGACAUCCCUAGAAACAAAAGUCUUAUUGUGUUUUAUAUCAAACAAUUUAUAACCCUUUUGACCAUAAGGAUACCCAAGAAAAAUGCAUUGGAUUGCACGAGGGUCAAAUUUAGAGGGCCUUUGGGCAUGUGUAGAAGCAAAACACAAGCUACCGAAAACCUUCAAAUGAGAAUAGUUAGGUGCUUUGUGAAACAGUUUUUCGUAUGGUGUUUUACCUUGGAGAAGUGGAGUGGGUGUUCUAUUGAUGAGGUAGGCUGAGGUUAGGAUUGCAUCUCCCCAAAAACAUUUUGGCAGACAAGCUUGAAAGAGCAAAGCCCGAGCAACAUUGAGCAAGUGCCGGUGUUUACGUUCGGCAACACCAUUUUGUUGUGGUGUGUUGACUCAACUAGAUUGAUGUAUGAUGCCUUUGAGAGCAUAAAAUUGCUCAAGUUUAAACUCAGGGCCAUUGUCACUUCGUAUGAUUUGAACUCUGGUAUUGAAUUGAGUCUCAAUCAUUUGAAUGAAUUUGACUAAAAUGUCUUUUGUGUCAGAUUUAUGUUUCAUCAAAUGAACCCAAGUGCUUCUAGUGUAGUCAUCUACGAUGGUAAGGAAAUACUUGGCACCUGAAAUAGAAGCAACUUGAUAACCACCCUAAAUAUCAAUAUGCAAUAAUUCAAAACAUGAUUUGGUAGAAAUAGAGCUCAAAGGAAAGGGUGAUCGUGUUUGUUUGGCCAAUGGGCAAAUUGAACAUUUUUCCAAAUCACAAGCUUUAUUGUUAAAGAAAGGUAAUAACGAAGUGGCUUUAUGAGAUGGGUGUCCUAGGCGUUGGUGCCAAAGCUUUGGUGCGAUGGUUUGAAUAUUGUUGCAUGUUCUUUUCCUUGAUGAGUCGAGGUAGUAGAGUCCAUCCCUUUCAGUUCCCAUCCCAAUCAUCUUCCCCGAGCGAAGGUUCUGAAUGACACAAAAUUGGGUGAAGAAAAUUGUGACAUAUAAGGAAUCAUAGGCUAGUUUACUGAUGGAUAUUAAAUUUAAUUUAAAGAAUGGCACACAUAGGACAUUGUCAAGGAUAAGAUUAUGAGAGAAAACAACUUGUCCAAUGUGAGUGACUUUGGCAACGGAACCAUUUGGCAGUUCAACUGUAUGAUUUUCAACAGCUCGUGAGUGUGUAAAGAGACUAGGGUUGAAAGUUCUUCAUGACUAGAAGGAUUACCGACUUGAUUGGCAAAUGAUGAUUUGUUCUUGUUCAACAUUUGAAGGAUUUGCUUGCAAUCCUCCUGAGAGAACGGGAAAUUGGGCAACAUCUCUUGCUUGUUACUUUGUGAAACUUGAUUCCCUUUUGAAGAAAAAGGACGACUGCUUUCCGUUUCUGUGGCUGCUUUUCGUUUUCGACAGAAAUCGAAGGUGUGACCUUUCCAUCCACAAAAAGUGCACUUGAGAUGUGCACGACAGUUUUUGGUGAUGUGAUUUGUUCUAUUGCACUUUCCACAUCGCAUCUCUUUGUCUUCCGGUGUAGGUUCUUGCGACAAAUUCUUCACUCCAAAGACAACAGCCUCUGGUUGUGUACUCUUCCCAUUGGAAACCUCUGCCUGGCGUUCAUGUCGAAGGACCAACGCAUAUGCCUUGUUCACCGUAGGCUGUGGUUCAAGAAGAAGGGUAUUGCUUCGAACCGUAGCAUACGAUUCGUUCAAUCCCAUAAGGAACUUCAUGGUUUUCUGAGUUUCAACAUAUGAGUUCAUCUCAUUCUUUGUUCCACAACUGCAUGCUGGAAUGGAACACAAAGUAUCACGUUCAUCCCAUAAACUUUUAAGUUUAGUGCAGUAAGAACUUACACUCAUAUUGCUUUAGACGCAAUCAUGGAUCUCGUUCUUAACAUGGAACAGCUGAACUAUAUUCACAUGUGAGAACCUCUCCUGCAGAUCGGUCCACAUUUGUCGAGCAUCCUUGUAGUUGAUGACACUCCUUGAAAUCUCCUUUGACAUGGAGCCUAGUAGCCAUGUCUUGACCAAGUUGUUGCAGCGAUUCCAUUGUUGCAACUCCUCAGAAUUGUCCUCACUUGGUUUGUUGAUUGUCCCAUCAACAAAACCAAGUUUGUUCUUGACCGUUAAGGCCAUACUCAUGGAUUGAACCCAUGUGCUGUAGUUGUCUUCCACCAAUGGUUGUGGUACGAGGAUUGCACCAGGUUGGUCCGAGUGGUGGAGAUAGAGUGGGUGGUUGGGAUUUUCCCAUUUUGAAUGAGAAGCCAUGCCUGGAAUGGUUGACCUCAUGACUGCCUUAGAGCUUGUGUUUUGUGGUUUUCCCAGAUCACAGCUCUGAUACCAUAUUGAUUUUCAAUGUGUAUUGAUUGAUACUAACAAUUACAAGAUGAAACUUAUAUAUAGGGAAAGAAAGAGGACAUAAGCCUAACUUGCCUAACUUGCCUAACUUACACAAAGAAAGUUGACUAGCCUAACUUCACUAGUCAUCCAAUACAAUUGUUCCAAUACAAUUGUUCCAACAUGUUUAUUUCAUGCAUUUUAACAGUUUUGGUUUCGUUUGCUCUCUUUCCCUUCUUCUCUGUUGGUUUCUGUUGCUUCUCCAUCAGUUCACCCAAACCACCGCUUGCUUCUCCACCAGUUCACCCAAAUCCGACGAAGGGCGCCACAACAAACGUGCCAAUCUUCCUGCACCACCGGUCUCCGCAACGUUUUCCAAAACCCGCUUGACCGAAGGUAAGCGAAUUUGGUGUUCUGGAUUAUAUCGGAAUUGAAAUAGGUUUGGUUUCAUUAACUUUUUGGGUUAAUAAAUUUGUAUGCUCUGAUUCUUUUGAAUUUGAGUUUGGAUUGGAAUUUAAUUUUGAUUUACAAAUCUCUGAUAAAACCUCAACAAGAAACUUAAACCCUCAGCAAGAAACUUAAACCCAAUGCAUCAUCCUAUUAAUUCCAACAUCUCCUCAAUAAGUAUUCUAAGAUAUAAAUAUUACAAUUCUGGUGAUCAUAGAAAAAUGCAUAUUUGAGUGAUCAUGGAACACUGUUAGUAGCUACACAUAUCAUAAUAAUUUAGGAUAUGGACGUUAAAUUAUCUUAAACUGCAGAAUGUGGCUUUUACAUUGUUAUAUGGAAUUUCCCCUAGGAAGAAAUAGCAUUGAACUUAUAGGAUGGAUACAUAAAUAGCCUAUGUACGCAUUACAAAAUGAUUUAGUUGUUUGGGAUUAAACAAAGUUUGGUUUUUCAUGGUGAGUUCUCAACUGGGUUUUACUUAUUUUUUUGCCUCCGAUAUAAGUUUUAGAUGCUUUUCUUUGUUUUUCGCUAAUUUUUAAAUUUAUUUUUUUUACUAUUUAGUGUGAGAAAAUGGCUUCAAAAUUGGAUUUCCAAUGUCUGGGCAGAGGAAAACAGGAAGAGAACACCAAUGGUGGUUACGAAGGAGAAUCCCUUCUUUGCGGUGGAAAUUGACGGUCCAUGUGCAACAUUCAACCCAGUUUAUAAGAGCAGGGGUCAAUAUGAAGAACCAAUGACAUGGGGUUUUGUUUAAUUUUAUUAAGUUUUGUACUGAGGUAAAAUUCUCCCCAUUUAACAUAGUUUUAAAUGUUGAUUAGUAUAUGUGUAAAUAGGAUUGUGAGUAUGGUUGUAUAUGUAGUAGUAGAAUUGAAAACAUUGUUGUAAUUAUGUGUAAGUAGAGUUGUAAACCCGACGCAUCGCGCGGGCCUUUUUGCUUGUUACCCCUAAACGUUACAAAAAUCCCAAAAAUUAAAAGGAAACUAAAAAAAAUUAGAAUUUACCCAUAGUUUCGCGAAUCCCAGCCGGAUGAACUGGUGGCAGUUGUAAGAGCGGAUCUCCAGCUCCGAACCUCUUCUAUUUCAGCGUUAGAAUCAUGGUCGUGCUGAUCAAAAGCUUUCGCGAAACUUCCCUUUAGUUUACGACAUCAGACGGAUCAACUUCAUAGAAAAUGGGGAGUACAAUCUGUUUAUUGGUAUCCUCGCAUUCCAGGAUUUGCACGAGUUCUUUCAAGCACCAAGUGGAAGAAGCAUAGUUUUGAGAGAAAACUACAAUCGAAAUCCUUGACUCUCGAAUGGCUGACAGGAGCUUGGAAAGGCGGUCGCCUUUUCUGAGGUCUUCGGCAUCAAUGAAGGCGUUGAUUGGUUUCUGACGCAGGGCUUUGUAGAGAUGGCUGACGAAGCCCCUGCGAGUGUCUUCCCCUCUGAAAUUGAUGAACACAUCGUAUUUCCAACCAAGGCCAGAAGAAGAAGAAGAAGCAGCCAUUAAUCGAUCGAGCAGCUAAGUCCUAGAGUAAUGUAAGAACAGAAAUACUCGAUUGAUCAAUAAAUUGAAUCACAGAAAAAACUGGUCUGAUCGAUACGAAGUCAACGAGGACAGAAAAUUAUGCUUUAUGUGUUUUCACAUCUUCUUCCGGGAAAUUUAACGAAAAUAAUUUUCUUGCCGGCAAAAUUGACUUCAAAAUAUAAAAAUAUUCUUCCAGGUAUGGACAUAUGAAGUUUCAGUGUGAAACGAAUCUGCAUACUUUGGUUUGGUUUUGACCCAAGAAAAUGCUAAGAAAGGAUGGUUUAGCAGCUUUGCAUGAGGGGACUGGGUCAAAGUACUCUGUUGAAUCUGCCCUUGCCUACCCAACAACUUCUUUGUAAGUCGGAAAUAAAUCCCGAUCUUCCUAUUCACACGAAAAAUGAGUGGGGUGACAGGAAAUAUUUCUUGUUAAAUGUAAGCAUCUCACACAUGUGGUAUAUUCAAAGGUAUUGAGGCGACAAACGAGCGAUUAAUAGUUUGGCUUUUAAUUUGAUGUCACGGUAGUAACGGUACUUACUAUGAAAUCUUUGAUAUAUUUGCUUUUAGCUACAAAACAACUAAAACUCCACAAAUUGCUUAUGAAAAUAAAAAAUAUUGACAAGAUUUGAACUUGUAUUAUCUACAUCUUCACUACACAUUGUUGCUCCGCUCGUGUUCUGAAGUUGACAAUAGCUAGAAGGUCACAGCAAGAAGCAGAGGAGGCUAACUGUUACAGAAAAUUUGUUUAUUCAAAGCAUUAAUAAAAACACAUUGAAAUUAAUUCACGCAAAAAAUAAAUAAUACAGUGAAGGAUUUACAGUGGUGGCAGCCACACUUCAAAAAUAGGGCGUCUCACCCUGUGGAGAAAGCAUUUUUUGCUAUGAAUAAAAAUUCCACUGCGUAACAAAACAGGAGAUUAAUGAUUGAGUGAUAGCUGAGUUGUUUGCAAUGAGAGAGAUGUUUUUACUUUUAUUGAUAAGGAGUCUACAUAUGCGAUGUUCUCAUAGUAUAAAACUUCGCCGACAACAAUUAUAACUUGUUUGUGUUGAUAAAUUUUGAAUGACAUUAAUAUUGUCUAAUAUCUAAAAGAAUUUGGAUGGCUACAUUUUUUUUUUUUGGAAAACCUUUUAACCUUAUAAAUUGCGGGCUUCUUCCGACAAUUCCUAACUUCGUCACUGCUUCAGUCAACUCGAAGUCCUAGUGGUUCUUGUCCAUGAUAUCAAUAUCCCUACAAUAAACGGUGACUUCAAUAUGAGCUACACUCAGUCUAACAAAAAGUUUGUAUAGAGAAGAUAUGCAUGAAAAAAUGGCAAUGGUUGUGUUUGUGUUGCUGAACGAAUGAUACUGAAAUACCUAAACCCAAGUCAAGCUCCUUUAGUCCACGAAAACAAAAGUUUAGAAUACAAUAAUGUUUGCAUAUAGACUAGAGAAACGACAUACCGCAGGCCAGGAAGGUGCAGUGAAAGAGAGAGGAAGAGAGGAAAAGAGGAAAGAAACAAACAUGAAAUGACAAAGACUAUCAAAUAGAUUAUAACAAUGACUUCUUAGCGAUGGUUACAACUAUUUAACUAUCGAUAAUGCAUUAUUUUAGUUUGAAACGUGGAAGCAUUUGAGAAGUAGCAUGUCAACAACCAUUACACAAUAAUAUUGUCUAAUAUCUAAAAGAAUUUGGAAGUCUACAUUUUUUGGAACCUUUUACCCUUAUAAAUUUUGCGCCUCUCCUGACAAUUUCUAGUUUCGUCGUUGCUUCAGUCAACUCCAAGUUCUAGUGGUUCUUGUCUAUGAUAUCAAUAGCCCCACCGUAAAUGGUGACUUCAGUAUAAGCUACACUUAGUAUAAGUGUAUGGGGGACAUAUAUGUAUGAAAAAAUGGCAGUGGUUGUAUCUGUGUUGACUAACGGAUGGUACUGGAAUACCUAAACCCAAGUCAAGCUCCUUCAGUCCACAAAAAUCAAAAGUUUAUAAUAUAAUAAUGUUUGCAUAUAGACUUGAGAAAAGACAUACCGCCAGCCGGGAAGGUGCAAUGAACAAGAGAGGAAAAGAGGAAAUAAACGAACAAGAAAGGACAAAGACUAUCCAAUAGAUUAUAACAAUGACUUCUUAGUAGUGAAGUGAUUAAGCUAUUCCACUAUUAAUAAUGCAUUAUUCUUAGAUUGAAAUGGUUCAGAAAUUUAAAAGCCAGAAUUGACUUAUAUAAAAUCAAUUUUUAAUUGGGUAGAUGUAAUUUGUAAAACAAAAAUGUUUAUAAAAAAAAAUUUCUCUUGAAAAUGUAUUCUGGUGCCAGGAUUUAAACCUGGAUGAAAACUCUUAACCGUAAGACUUUUUGUAGUGAGCAACACUGGACUAGUUGAUAGACUAUGAUGAAAUAAACCAUUUAAAUGUACUCCUUACGUUAUGCAGUGCGCAUACUGGAUAAACAAUUAGUGCACAUAAUGUGGUUAUCUGAUUUGUGGGGAAUGGUGAUGCUCACCGCUGACUUUUGGUUUACUGACAGGCUCUCAAAGUUAAAUAUAUCAGAUUUUGUUUGACAUUCGUAACAUAUUUUAAUAUUUUCACCACAACAACAACAACAACAACAAAGUCUUUUCCCACUAAGUGGGGUCGGCUAUAUGAAUCCUAGAACGCCAUUGCGCUCGGUUUUGUGUCAUGUCCUCUGUUAGAUCCAAGUACUCUAAGUCUUUUCUUAGAGUCUCUUCUAAAGUUUUCCUAGGUCUUCCUCUACUCCUUCGGCCUUGAACCUCUGUCUCGUAGUCACAUCUUCGAACCGGAGCGUCAAUAGGCCUUCUUUGCACAUGUCCAAAUCACCGGAACCGAUUUUCUCUCAUCUUUCCUUCAAUUUCGGCUACUCCUACUUUACCUCGGAUAUCCUCAUUCCCAAUCUUAUCCUUUCUCGUGUGCCCACACAUCCCACGAAGCAUCCUCAUCUCCACUACACCCAUUUUGUGUACGUGUUGAUGUUUCACCGCCCAACAUUCUGUGCCAUACAACAUCGCUGGCCUUAUUGUCGUCCUAUAAAAUUUUCCCUUGAGCUUCAGUGGCUUACGACGGUCACACAACACGCCGGAUGCACUCUUACACUUCAUCCAUCCAGCUUGUAUUCUAUGGUUGAGAUCUCCAUCUAAUUCUCCGUUCUCUUGCAAGAUAGAUCCUAGGUAGCGAAAACGGUCGCUUUUUGUGAUCUUCGCUAGAUUACUCCGGUCAUUAGCGUGGAUAAGUAUAUAAAUGGAUAGAGAUAGGAAAGCAAACACAAGAUGUACGUGGUUCACCCAGAUUGGCUACAUCCACGGAAUAGAGGAGUUCUCAUUAAUUGUGAAGGGUUUACACAAGUACAUAGGUUCAAGCUCUCCUUUAGUGAGUACAAGUGAAUGAUUUAGUACAAAUGACAUUAUGAAAUAUUGUGGGAGAAUGAUCUCGUAAUCAUGAAACUUCUAAGUAUCGGAGUGUGGUAUCGUCUUGACUUGCCUUAUCUGUCUCAUAGGUAGAUGUGGCAUCUUCUCUGGAAGUACUCUUCCUCCAUCCAUGGGUGGUAUCUUUAACUGGUGGAGAUGCAUAAGGUAAUGUAUCAAUUUCACUUGAAGCUUACUUGUAGUUUCAGGCUUGGUCAAGCGCGAUACAAACCAUGUAGUAGGAGUCCCCCAAGUCGCCGAGCUAGGGGAUUUGCUGAAAGAGGUGACAGACAAGGUAAGCAAUCAGAGCUCCGGCUGAUUGUUCACAUUCUCCCUAUCUUGCAGGCAGCAUGAAGGAUAAAGAGAAGAAAAAAUGAGAAGAGAUGAUAUGGGAUACUUUUGCUUUUGAAGAAGUAACUUUCCACAGGCUUAUUCUUGAACUGAAGCUGGAGGGUUUUCUGGUUUCCUCCAGAGUAUAAGGCCGACUGAAGAAUUUGAGGGUCAAAACAAGUCCAUCAAAUCUAGAGUACGUUCGACCCUGCUGAUAUGGGAUACUUUUGCUUUUGACAGAGUAAUGGAUGUAUCGGCACGUGUGCUGUUACGCUUGUCUCUCCACAUGCUUCCUUGUAUCCUUCUCACUUGCCCUAUCUGUUCCUCAAGGCAAGAUGCGGUAUCUUCCCUGGAAGCAUAAGAUGUUGAAGAUGAGUACUCGAGAGCAAUGCCAGGUAAGUAAUCAGGUAAGGGGUUCCAGGCAGUCAGUUCCUAGCUGGAAGCUUGAUUCCAAGUGCUGACUGAUUGCUCUCUUUCUCCUUGUCUUGCAGGUAAAGAACAAGGCCAAAGGAAAAGACAGGGAAAAAGCAUGAUAUGGGAUAUACUCUUGCUUUUUAACCCUGAUGAUAUGAGAUAUUCUUGCUCUAGUAUAGCUUGUUUGUAGAGGUAUUAUCGGGGGGAAAGAAAGCUGAAUAUUUCGAAAGGCUUCGUUGGGAGUGCCCUCUCAGAUAUGAGAAAGGGUUGAGCAUUUUUGCAGGUCUGCCUGUCCGUUGGGGAUGGAGGUCGACAUAUAUAGGAGUCUCCCUAAUAACAAGUAGUAAUGUUAUUCCUUUACCCUGCUUGGUCAUAGCACGAUAGUUGGAGCUGCCAGCUUCACAUGUUUUAACUCUGUCAGAGCACUUUGAAAAAGUGGUCUGUGGUAUCUGGAAAGCUGAUGUUGCGUGUGAAGAUUACAGACAAGCUUUACCCAAGGAGAUUUGGUUCUUGAAGUUGGGAAAAUGGUGCCUUUUCGGUUUUCGAACAAGCAAUCCUAUCGGGGAUCUGGCUCUCGAGAUUUGGAGAACGAUGCCUCUUCGAUUUUUGAGAAAGCAAUCAUGCUGGGGGUCUAGCUCUCGAGAUUCGGAGAGCGGUGUCUCUUCGAUUUUUGAGAAAGUAAUCAUGUUGGGAGUCUGGCUCUCGAGAUUCGGAGGACGGUGCCUCUUCGAUUUUGGAGCAAGCAAUCUUGUUGAGAAUGUUUUCUCGAAUGUGAGUAAAGGUUGGGCAUGUUUGCUAGUCUACCUUGCCACGAAGCACAGAGGUUGACACACAGGGACUUUCCAAUUAUCCAGCAAUGGUACUGUUCCUUUACCCUCUUUUCGAUUUUUGAGAAAGUAGGCAUGUUGGGAGUCUGGCUCUCGAGAUUCGGAGGACGGUGCCUCUUCGAUUUUGGAGCAAGCAAUCUUGUAAUCUUGUUGGGAGUGUUUUCUCGAAUGUGAGUAAAGGUUGGGCAUGUUUGCUAGUCUACCUUGCCACGAAGCACAGAGGUUGACACACAGGGACUUUCCAAUUAUCCAGCAGUGGUACUGUUCCUUUACCCUCGUGGGUAAUAAUAUGGUAGCUAGACCUUCAAAAUUUAUGUGUCUAAACUUUGUUAGUGUUGUUUCUUUGCUAUUCUUUUACCCUUCUUGGUCAGAGCGAUGUAGUGGGAGCUGCAAGCUUCACGUGCUCAACUUUGGCAGAGAACUUUGGUAAAGUUAUCUGUGGUACCCAUGAGCUACUGUUGCGUGUGGGAAGUGGGUGAUUGAACAGUAAGAUUCAUGUGCCUUCUACUUCACCAGAAGUCUUCGACAUAAUGCCCAUAAUUUCCGCAAAGCUGAGUGUGCGUGUGACAGGUGCUGACAAGGCUGGAAAAGUAGGUGCCUCUUUGAUUUCUGAGAUCGACCCUCAUGGUCUCUGAGCAGCCCAGCUUUUGAGAAAGCAAGCGCCUCUUCGAUUUCUGAGAUCGGCCUUCGUGGUCUUUGAGCAACCCAGCUUUUGAGAAAGCAAACGCCUCUUCGGUUUCUGAGAUCAACCCUCGUGGUCUCUGAGAGUAAAGGUUGGGCAUGUUUGCUAGUCUACCUUGCCAUGAAGCACAUAGGUUGACACAUUCGGAGAGCGGUGUCUCUUCGAUUUUUGAGAAAGUAGUCAUGUUGGGAGUCUGGCUCUCGAGAUUCGGAGGACGGUGCCUCUUCGAUUUUGGAGCAAGCAAUCUUAUUGGGAGUGUUUUCUCAAAUGUGAGUAAAGGUUGGGCAUGUUUGCUAGUCUACCUUGCCACGAAGCACAGAGGUUGACACACAGGGACUUUCCAAUUAUCCAGCAGUGGUACUGUUCCUUUACCCUUAUGGGUAAUAAUAUGGUAGCUAGACCUUCAAAAUUUAUGUGUCUAAACUUUGUUAGUACUAUUUCUUUGCUAUUCUUUUACCCUUCUUGGUCAGAGCGAUGUAGUGGGAGCUGCAAGCUUCACGUGCUCAACUUUGGCAGAGAACUUUGGCAAAGUUAUCUGUGGUACCCAUGAGCUACUGUUGCGUGUGGGAAAUGGGUGAUUGAACAGUAAGAUUCAUGUGCUUUCUACUUCACCAGAAGUCUUCGACAGAAUGCCCAUAAUUUUCGCAAAGCUGAGUGUGCAUGUGACAGGUGCUGACAAGGUUGGAAAGGUAGGUGCCUCUUCGAUUUCUGAGAUCGGCCCUCGUGGUCUCUGAGCAGCCCAGCUUUUGAGAAAGCAAGCGCCUCUUCGAUUUCUGAGAUCAGCCUUCGUGGUCUUUGAGCAGCCCAGCUUUUGAAAAAGCAAACGCCUCUUCGAUUUCUGAGAUCAACCCUCGUGGUCUCUGAGCAGCCCAGCUUUUGAGAAAGCAAACGCCUCUUCGAUUUUUGAAGCUCCGUCGAGUGUAUAUUUUUAUAGGGGCUGGCAUUAAGUUCCAAAGCACACUUGAAUCUCCACCAGUAGAAGCUCCAUUCUUGUACUUCUAAGAUCUUGAUUUGUCCGACUUCUUCUCUCUUCAACACCUUUGAAAAUGUCUGGCCCCUCCGACCGUCGUUUUGACUUGAACCUUGUUGAAGAUGCAGCCCCGCCUUCUCAAGACAACAUAUGGCGCCCAUCCUUCGUCUCCCCUACUGGUCCUCUUACCGUUGGGGAUUCCGUGAUGAAGAAUGAUAUGACCGUUGCGGUGGUGGCCAGGAACCUUCUCACUCCCAAAGAUAACAGACUACUUUCCAAACGGUCUGAUGAGUUAGCUGUUAAGGAUUCUCUGGCUCUCAGUGUUCAGUAUGCAAGUUCUGUGUCUAAUAUGGCCCAACACCUAUUUGCUCGAACCCGUCAAGUUGAAUCAUUGGCGGCUGAAGUGAUGAGUCUCAAACAGGAGAUUAGAGGGCUCAAGCAUGAGAAUAAACAGUUGCACCGGCUCGCACAUGACUAUGCUACAAACAUGAAGAUGAAGCUUGACCAGAUGAAGGAAUCUGAUGGUCAGGUUUUACUUGAUCAUCAGAGAUUUGUGGGUUUGUUCCAAAGGCAUUUAUUGCCUUCGUCUUCUGGGGCUGUAUCGCGUAAUGAAGCUCUAAAUGAUCAACCUCUGAUGCCUCCUCCUUCUAGGGUUCUGUCCAGUACUGAGGCUCCGAAUGAUCCCCCUCCGGUGCCUUCUCUUUCUGGGGCUCUACCGACUGCUGAGACUUCUCCUAAGCAACCUUUGUGAAGGCUCCCUCUUGUUUGUUUAUUUUGACUCAUGUAUAUGUAUGUGUAGCUUAUCGGGGAUAUCAAUAAAUAAGCUUUCCUUCAUUUCAACAUAUUGUGUUAAAUACACCAAAGCCUUCUUCGCUAAGUUCUUUGAAUUUUCUUUUGUUGAAGCUUGUAUGUUGAAACUUUGUGAGUGGAUCAUGUAGGUUAAGGUAGUGUUCCCUUAUUUUCAUCAAUAUUGAUAUUUUAAACAAUGACAAUUCUUAGAAUACUGGAAUUCAUGUCAUUUUCAUAAACAAAUAAAUGGUUAAGAAAUGUAUAUAUUAGAAAAUUAAGAGCCAGAUUUAACUAAUAUUAAAUCGAUUUUAAAUCGGGUAGUAAAACAAAAUUAGGAAUCUGUGUCCUUUUCAUAAAUAAAUAAAUGGUUACAAAAUUUAUAUAUCAUAAAUUUAAAAGCCAGAAUUGACUUAUAUAAAAUCGAUUUUUAAUUGGGUAGAUGUAAUUUGUAAAACAAAAAUGUUUAAAAAACAAUUCUCUUAAAAAUGGUAUUCUGGUGCCAGGAUUCGAACCUGGAUGAAAACUCUUAACCGUAAGACUUUUUGUAGUGAGCAACAUCAGAUGAGUUGAUAGAUUAUGUAACGCCCCGCGCCCGAAAUAUUUAUUUUCAUAAAAUAAUUCCAAUGAUAAGCCUAAAUUAAAUUUUUUAUUUACAUUACAACCAAUAAUCACGAUUCCUUAUUUAAUUUUCUUAAUCCCUCACAAAAACUAUAACCCAUAAUUAACUUACCAAAACAUACGAUUAAAUUUUCAUAAUUUGUCACCAACUUCUACUCUUAAAACAACUUCCCAACUAAAGAUUAAAUCUCAAUUAUUAAGGCUACAUCUAACUCUUGUUAGACUGCCUACAUACCCUUUAGCGGGAUCAAGGCUUUCGUAGUUCAUAAAUCCGUUUAAAUCCAUUCUUAUAGCCGUUUCUGAAAAUAUUCUAGAAUUGGAAAUAUUCAACAUUAGCUUUCACAAUCGAAUCACAUCAAAUGAUUACCAAUUAUGGAUUUAAAUUGUCUAAAUUAGUAUUAAAAGGCAGCGUCGGCCCACUGGCCACGCGCCACCACGGGUGGCGAUCUCCAGUGAUCGGAAACCCCAAUUUCCGACAAACUCUACAAAUUACCAAAUUUUAUAGGGUUGUAGAGUUCAAUUAUAGGAACAACUUUCAUACUUGGGACGAAGUCCAAUUCGGCCAAGAAAAGCCCCAAUUUCACUCAAUUCCGUCUGAACCCUAGAAUUUGGGUGUCCUCAAUUAGUCAUCUCCCGUGCCCCGCCGCCCCAAACAAGGCUUGGUAGAUGUUCCUGGGUUCACAAGGAGUCUAACCAUGGUGGUAGUCAAUGGUGGUGGCUUCACAAACGGGAGAUCGCAGAAACGGACCCAUCGCACCCACCAAUGUAGGUUUCACUAAAUUAAAGCAUAUUUCCAUCGAAAUUGGGAUGGAAUUGGUGAAGGUAUCAAUUGGUAUCGAAGGGAGGGUUAUUUUUGGCACCGUUCCCAUCAUCAACGAUGGUCGGAAUAAAAAACAAUGGUCAGGUCGGGUCGGCGGGUUGAAGGAAGGUCUGGUUCCCUUCUCUCCUUUCCCUCCCUACCUCCCCCUCUGGUUGGUCCGUGUCUCUCGCCUUCUCUCCUUCCCUUUCCAUCACAGCCACACACGUGGCUUCUCAGAUCCUUGCUCCAGCAAAUCUGGAGCCUUUUAGAUAUUGGUCAAAUGACCAUUUUACUCCUAACUUCAAUUGUUAAUAACUUCUUCGUUAUAACUCCGUUUCAUGAACGGUUUUCGUCUACAUGUUCGUAGGGCCAUCCUUUAUCCAAAUAUAUCAAGAAAUCCGAUAAAAUAUAUGAGGAUAAAAUACAUCCUUGUAUAAUUACGUCAAACUAGUUAGGGCAUUUUCUUCUUUUCUACUUAACGAUAAAUUUUACUACGUAAAUUAUAAAAUUUCCGGAAACAAAACUUUAAAAGUUCACAAUUUUUUUUUCUUUCAUAACCAUAAAUUGAUUUAUUGUCGAUUUUUCUUCACAUAUUCAUAUAUUUAAAUUUUCAGGGUAUUACAGAUUAUGACAAAAUAAACCAUUUAAAUGUUCUCCUUACGUUAUGCAUUGCGCAUAUUGGAUAAACAAUUAGUGCACAUAAUGUGGUUAUCUGAUUUGUGGGGAAAGGUGAUGCUCACCGCUGACUUUUGGUUUAGAGACAGGCUCUCAAACUUAAAUAUAUCAGAUUUUGUUUGACAUUCGUAACAUAUUUUAAUAUUUUCACCGUUAUUGAUAUUUUAAACAAUGACAAUUCUUAGAAUACUGGAAUUCAUGUCCUUUUCAAUUUUCAUAAACAAAUAAAUGGUUAAGAAAUGUAUAUAUUAGAAAAUUAAGAGCUAGAAUUGACUAAUAUUAAAUCGAUUUUAAAUCGGGUAGUAAAACAAAAUUAGGAAUCCAUGUCCUUUUCAUAAAUAAAUAAAUGGUUAAGAAAUUUAUAUAUCAGAAAUUUAAAAACCAAAAUUGACUUAUAUAAAAUCGAUUUUUAAAUGGGUAGAUGUAAUUUGUAAAACAAUUUUUUUUUUAAAUAAUUCUCUUAUAAAUGGUAUUCCGGUGCCACGAUUCAAACCUGGAUGAAAACUCUUAACCGUAAAACUUUUUGUAUUGAGCAACACCGAACGAGUUGAUAGAUUAUGACGAAAUAAAAACAUAAUAAUUUCUUUCAAACUUAGUGAAUAACCUUCAGAAAAUAAAAACACCGAACGAGUUCAUAGAUUAUGACAAAUUAGUGGAUAAACACCUUCAGAAAAUAAAAACACCGAACGAGUUCAGCGGUGAGCAUCACCAUUCCCCACAAAUCAGAUAACCACAUUAUGCGCACAAAGAAUCAAUCAAAACAUAAUAAUUGAAUGAACGAGGAUUUCUUUCAUUUUUUCCAAAUUUUCUGAAGGUUUUUUCUAUAAGAACUUUUCUCUGACCAAUGCUUUCUAACAUUUCAUCAUUUUUUUUUAAAUUACACAAAUUCUUUGCAUACAUUGUUGUUAAAAAGAAAAUUUCUAUUAUUAAGGAGAGAGUUCGAAACUAUUGAAUUAUGGAAGAUGGACUUUUGAACUCGAGACACGGGUAGAAACCUAACACCUAUCCACUAGGACAUUAGAUCACCAGAGGUGGUCCUGGUUUUUUGGUGCCGACUGCCCAUGAACACUCAAAAUGUGCUUUUUUCCAGUACAACAUAAAUUAAACUGAAAGAUUUAAAAAGGGCUGGAGCCAGUCGAAGCUGUUGGGACAUUCUUCCAAAGAGGGAGAUGAAAUCGUUGAGGCUCUUACAGAUCCCACGUCACUGUCUUCAUUCAGCAGUUUUCCUCCAUCUACAUCAACAACUGCACGUUGCUCAAGAAGGUACUUCUAAAAAUUGAAAGUCAAACGAUAAAUUAUUAAGAAACAUUGAAUAUAAGCAUGAAACAAAGAAAAUGUUACGGAAUGGUGAUCCUCAUCCUCAAAGAUGAUUAAAAGCAAUUUGAUUCAAAAAUGACAUAUCAACUCUGGAGAAAUGGAAGACAAACAUGUGGUACCAUAUUCGCAACAGAGGUUAUGAAAGCUGAAAUCGAUUGUUCCUGUGUGCAUUGAUAAGUAAGACUACCGUAGAGAUUCACAACUAAGUAAAGACAGGUAUUCCACAGAACAACCCUGACCUCUUUGGAAACACAGAUCUAACAAAAACUAAAACAUUUUGGAUUAAUAUUGACUAAUCAAGAAUAAUGCAAGGGAGCAAAAGAGAUACUCUUCCUUCUAAUAACAAGAAGGCAUAAAAAGUAUACAGAGUUCCAACAAUUAGAGAACUUAAAUCAAACUAAAAAAAUCACCAAAGUAGACAGAAUUUCACUUCGCCAAAAAUUUGAAAAUAUAUCCUUUUUAUCCACUGAGAAUCAUAAACUACUACUACUACAUCAUGCCAAUAAGCAAUGCGUAAGAGGUGCUACAAUUUACCAAUAUAUUUACCCUGAGAACAAGUUUUGAAAUCAUCUCUAGUGUUAACAGCACCUUGCGUCCUUGGGUAAGCUGAGUCCUAGUAUCAAGUAAAGAGACCAAUCAGUACAUAUCCAAAAGAUCUUAAAUGCUUGUAAUACCAAAUAAGAAAGAAACAUGAGUAUAUCUUGAGUUAACCAUGCAAAAAUGUAAUGUUAAGGCAUCUUGUCAUACAGACCUCUUCAAGGUACCAGAAAUUUUUGCACUAAAGAUGUCACAAGCGGCUGAUAUGAAGCUGCAUUUUCUGUGAGUUGAGAUUUUGUCAAUAUAAUCGAUCACCUGAAGAGAGAGAGAGAGAGAGAGAGAGAGAGAGAGAGAAAGACAGUGAUAUCCAGAGAUGUGAGCCUAAAGGCUGAGUGUGUAAAAAAUAAGAUUAAAUGGAUAGCAAGAAUAUACAACUUUAAUGCCGAAAAGAACAUUAUAUGAUGCUCAUUCAUCAUUGCCAUUGAACGUGUACCUUCUUCUUUUCCUCUUUCUCAAAAGGAAGUAGACCCUUGAAGACUUGCCUAUAUGAUCCAUCAUCACAACCAGGCAAAGUCAUUUUAAUCAUAGCAACAAUGGCUCUAACUACCUGCCAUAAGAAACAUGCUACAUCAACAAGAUCACAGAGUGUACCAGAAACCGUAAUGUAGCAAAAUCUUAGAUAGAAUAGCUGGCCAAAAGGGAAUGGAAAAGCAAGCACAAAAAACAAUGAAAAGGACCAGUGAUGCCAAAAUUCAGGUGUUUAUAACUUUAAGUUCUACGUAGCAAAAACCACCUUAUGCACAACAAUAUUGGAAAAAUUAGAUACAUACAACUGAGAAGAUAGGUUUUCAUAAUCUGGACAAGUGCUAACUACCUUCUUCCUAUAAACUGCCACUCCAUGAACAUUAAAUGGUAUUUUCGUUUCACGCAAGGCUGUCUGGAAGACUUUUCCUGAUACCUGUAGUAUAAAAUACAAAAGAAAAUGUGACCAAAAUGUCUUAUAUGAUUCACCUCAUUCACAUUAGCACUAGGGCAAGCAAGCUUGACCUGCCUCCGGUAAAGGAUUGCUAUAUUUCCAUAGGAGCACCCUGCUUCUGACAGUUAGAUGCAGUCUCCAGGAUCUUGUCGACAACAAAGGCGCAUUAUGCAUCCUCAUUGUGACUUUCCUUGAUAAUUACCUACAUUUUGCCAGUAAAACCAGUGUCACUAACUAAAAAGACUGAAAAAUGACAUCAAAUUGUACUUGUUGGAGCAAGGAAAGAUUAGGUACAUUAGACCCAGAAGAAUUGUCGGUGUCAACAUUCUUUAGUUGGCAUCACUUCUUAUUGUUUUUUAUAACAGAAGAUGCAGCUUCCACAAUAUAGCGUGUGGACCGAUAGUUUUUAUUAAGCCUAAUCUGAACCAUAAAGUUAUGUCAAAUCCCACAGAACCCCAUAAAAUAAAACUUACUUUCCUGUAAUUAUACAAUAUAUUUGUUCUAUACUAUAUAUAAUGAAAAAAGACACUGAAUGACAUAAGAUAAACAUAGCAGUUAAGUGCGAAGGAACCUCUUUGUAAUUUGAAAAAUCUUUACAAAAAGAAUCAAAUCCAGAACUGUCCGCCCCGUUGAAACUGAAAAUGGACUGCAGCAGGAUAUAUGUUAUUUGAUUUAGAACAGAUAAGGGCUGGAUUAGAAUGAGCUGAGAGAGAGAGAGAGGGAGAGAGGGAGCAAUAAGAUUGGAUUUCCAUAAUAAAUCAACAACAUGCCUGAUCAUCAUCACCAACAAUGGUUAUGUGGUUAUGAGAGGCGAGAAUCCGCAAAAGACUAUACUGCAUAGCACUUGUGUCUUGAAACUCGUCUAUUACAAUAGCUUUCCAUGACUCCUGGCACUCCUCCGACACUAAUUAAGAGAACACCAUGUAUCAACAUUUAGCAUUACUUGUAAAACUAGAUAAAUCAAUUUAAUAUACUUAGAUGAUAGAGACCUUCAGGAAAAUCACUUAGCAGCUAAUUAAGUCAUGGUAGUCCAAAGCGUUGCACGAUUCCUAAGAAUUUCACCCUGAUUCAGAUUGAGAUCUAAAACUCAUAAGCAAUAGUUUCAGAGAACUGAAAUGAUAACUGAAAUUCUAGAACUGAAAUGAUAACUGAACAACAACAAAAACAACAACAAAGCCUUUUCCCACUAAGUGGGGUCGGCUAUAUGAAUCCUAGAACGCCAUUGCGCUCGGUUUUGUGUCAUGUCCUCCGUUAGAUCCAAGUACUCUAAGUCUUUUCUUAGAGUCUCUUCCAAAGUUUUCCUAGGUCUUCCUCUACCCCUUCGGCCUUGAACCUCUGUCCCGUAGUCACAUCUUCGAACCGGAGCGUCAGUAGGCCUUCUUUGCACAUGUCCAAAUCACCGGAACCGAUUUUCUCUCAUCUUUCCUUCAAUUUCGGCUACUACUACUUUACCUCGGAUAUCCUCAUUCCCAAUCUUAUCCUUUCUCGUGUGCCCACACAUCCCACGAAGCAUCCUCAUCUCCGCUACACCCAUUUUGUGUACGUGUUGAUGCUUCACCGCCCAACAUUCUGUGCCAUACAACAUCGCUGGCCUUAUUGCCGUCCUAUAAAAUUUUCCCUUGAGCUUCAGUGGCCUACGACGGUCACACAACACGCCGGAUGCACUCUUACACUUCAUCCAUCCAGCUUGUACUCUAUGGUUGAGAUCUCCAUUUAAUUCUCCGUUCUCUUGCAAGAUAGAUCCUAGGUAGCGGAAACGGUCGCUUUUUGUGAUCUUCGCUAGAUUGCUCCGGUCAUUAGUGUGGAAUGGAUAGUGAUAGGAAAGCAAACACAAGAUGUACGUGGUUCACCCAGAUUGGCUACGUCCACGGAAUAGAGUUCUCAUUAAUUGUGGAGGGUUUACACAAGUACAUAGGUUCAAGCUCUCCUUUAGUGAGUACAAGUGAAUAAUUUAGUACAAAUGACAUUAGGAAAUAUUGUGGGAGAAUGAUCUCGUAAUCACGAAACUUCUAAGUAUCGGAGUGUGGUAUCGUCUUGACUCGCCUUAUCUGUCUCAUAGGUAGAUGUGGCAUCUUCUCUGGAAGUACUCUUCCUCCAUCCAGAGGUGGUAUCUUUAACUGGUGGAGAUGCAGAAGGUAAUGUAUCAAUUUCACUUGAAGCUUACUUGUAGUUUCAGGCUUGGUCAAGCGCGAUACAAACCAUGUAGUAGGAGUCCCCCAAGUCGCCGAGCUAGGGGAUCUGCUGAAAGAGGUGACAGACAAGGUAAGCAAUCAGAGCUCCGGCUGAUUGUUCACAUUCUCCCUAUCUUGCAGGCAGCAUGAAGGAUAAAGAGAAGAAAAAUGAGAAAAGAUGAUAUGGGAUACUUUUGCUUUUGAAGAAGUAACUUUCCACAGGCUUAUUCUUGAACUGAGCUGGAGGGUUUUCUGGUUUCCUCCAGAGUAUAAGGCCGACUGAAGAAUUUGAGGGUCAAAACAAGUCCAUCAAAUCUAGAGUACGUUCGACCCUGCUGAUAUAGGAUACUUUUGCUUUUGACAGAGUAAUGGAUGUAUCGGCACGUGUGCUGUUACGCUUGUCUCCACAUGCUUCCUUGUAUCCUUCUCACUUGCCCUAUCUGUUCCUCAGGCAGAUGCGAUAUCUUCCCUGGAAGCAUAAGAUGUUGAAGAUGAGUACUCGAGAGCAAUGCCAGGUAAGUAAUCAGGUAAGGGGUUCCAGGCAAUCAGUUCCUAGCUGGAAGCUUGAUUCCAAGUGCUGAUUGAUUGCUCUCUUUCUCCUUGUCUUGCAGGUAAGAACAAGGUCAAAGGAAAAGACAGGGAAAAAGCAUGAUAUGGGAUACUCUUGCUUUUUAACCCUGAUGAUAUGAGAUAUUCUUGCUCUAGUAUAGCUUGUUUGCAGAGGUAUUAUCGGGGGGAAAGAAAGCUGAAUAUUUCGAAAGGCUUCGUUGGGAAUGCCCUCUCAGAUAUGAGGAAGGGUUGAGCAUUUUUGCAGGUCUGCCUGUCCGUUGGGGAUGGAGGUCGACAUAUAUAGGAGUCUCCCUAACAACAAGUAGUAAUGCUAUUCCUUUAACCUGCUUGGUCAUAGCACGGUAGUUGGAGCUGCCAGCUUCACAUGUUUUAACUUUGUCAGAGCACUUUGAAAAAGUUGUCUGUGGUAUCUGGAAAGCUGAUGUUGCAUGUGAAGAUUACAGACAAGCUUUAUCCAAGGAGAUCCGGCUCUUGAAGUUGGGAAAAUUGUGCCUCUUCGGUUUUCGAACAAGCAAUCCUAUCGGGGAUCUGGCUCUCGAGAUUCGGAGAACGAUGUCACUUCGAUUUUUGAGAAAGCAAUCAUGCUGGGGGUCUGGCUCUCGAGAUUCGAAGAGCGGUCUCUUCGAUUUUUGAGAAAGUAAUCAUGUUGGGAGUCUGGCUCUCGAGAUUCGGAGGACGGUGCCUCUUCGAUUUUGGAGCAAGCAAUCUUGUUGGGAGUGUUUUCUCGAAUGUGAGUAAAGGUUGGGCAUGUUUGUUAGUCUACCUUGCCACGAAGCAUAGAGGUUGACACACAGGGACUUUCCAAUUAUCCAGCAAUGGUACUGUUCCUUUACCCUCUCUUCGAUUUUUGAGAAAGUAGUCAUGUUGGGAGUCUGGCUCUCGAGAUUCGGAAGACGGUGCCUGUUCGAUUUUGGAGCAAGCAAUCUUGUAAUCUUGUUGGGAGUGUUUUCUCGAAUGUGAGUAAAGGUUGGGCAUGUUUGCUAGUCUACCUUGCCACGAAGCACAGAGGUUGACACACAGGGACUUUCCAAUUAUCCAGCAGUGGUACUAUUCCUUUACCCUUGUGGGUAAUAAUAUGGUAGCUAGACCUUCAAAAUUUAUGCGUCUAAACUUUUAGUUGUGUUUUCUUUGCUAUUCUUUUACCCUUCUUGGUCAAAGCGAUGUAGUGGGAGCUGCAAGCUUCACGUGCUCAACUUUGGCAGAGAACUUUGGCAAAGUUAUCUGUGGUACCCAUGAGCUACUGUUGCGUGUGGGAAGUGGGUGAUUGAACAGUAAGAUUCAUGUGCUUUCUACUUCACCAGAAUGCCCAUAAUUUCCGCAAAGCUGAGUGUGCGUGUGACAGGUGCUGACAAGGCUGGAAAAGUAGGUGCCUCUUCGAUUUCUGAGAUCGGCCCUCAUGGUCUCUGAGCAGCCCAGCUUUUGAGAAAGCAAGUGCCUCUUCGAUUUCUGAGAUCGGCCUUCGUGGUCUUUGAGCAUCCCAACUUUUGAGAAAGAAAACGCCUCUUCGAUUUCUGAGAUCAACCCUCGUGGUCUCUGAGAGUAAAGGUUGGACAAGUUUGCUAGUCUACCUUGCCAUGAAGCACAGAGGUUGACACACAGGGAAUUUCCAAUUAUCCAGCAAUGGUACUGUUCCUUUACCCUUAUGGGUAAUAAUAUGGUAGCUAGACCUUCAAAAUUUAUGUGUCUAAACUUUGUUAGUGCUGUUUCUUUGCUAUUCUUUUACCCUUCUUGGUCAGAACGAUGUAGUGGGAGCUGCAAGCUUCACGUGCUCAACUUUGGCAGAGAACUUUGGCAAAGUUAUCUGUGGUACCCAUGCGCUACUGUUGCGUGUGGGAAGUGGGUGAUUGAACAGUAAGAUUCAUGUGCUUUCUACUUCACCAGAAGUCUUCGACAAAAUGCCCAUAAUUUCCACAAAGCUGAGUGUGCGUGUAAUAGGUGCUGACAAGGCUGGAAAAGUAGGUGCCUCUUCGAUUUCUGAGAUCGGCCCUCGUGGUCUCUGAGCAGCCCAUCUUUUGAGAAAGCAAGCGUCUCUUUGAUUUCUGAGAUCGGCCUUCGUGGUCUUUGAACAGCCCAGCUUUUGAGAAAGCAAACUUCUCUUCGAUUUCUGAGAUCAACCCUCGUGGUCUCUGAGCAGCUCAGCUUUUGAGAAAGCAAACGCCUCUUCGAUUUUUGAGCAGACGCCUCUUCGAUUUCUGAAGCUCCGUCGAGUGCAGAUUUUUAUAGGGGCUGACAUUAAGUUCCAAAGCACACUUGAAUCUCCACCAGUAGAAGCUCCAUUCUUGCACUUCUAAGAUCUUGAUUUGUCCGACCUCUUCUCUCUUCAACACCUUUGAAAAUGUCUAGCCCCUCCGACCGUCGUUUUGACUUGAACCUUGUUGAAGAGGCAGCCCCGCCUUCUCCAGACAACAUAUGGCGCCCAUCCUUCGUCUCCCCUACUGGUCCUCUUACCGUUGGGGAUUCCGUGAUAAAGAAUAAUAUGACCGCUGCGGUGGUGGCCAGGAACCUUCUCACUCCCAAAGAUAACAGACUACUUUCCAAACGAUCUGAUGAGUUAGCUGUUAAGGAUUCUCUGGCUCUCAGUGUUCAGUGUGCAGGUUCUGUGUCUAAUAUGGCCCAACGCCUAUUUGCUCGAACCCGUUAAGUUGAAUCAUUGGCGGCUGAAGUGAUGAGUCUCAAACAGGAGAUUAGAGGGCUCAAGCAUGAGAAUAAACAGUUGCACCGGCUCGCACAUGACUAUGCUACAAACAUGAAGAGGAAGCUUGACCAGAUGAAGGAAUCUGAUGGUCAGGUUUUACUUGAUCAUCAAAGAUUUGUGGGUUUGUUCCAAAGGCAUUUAUUGCCUUCGUCUUCUGGGGCGGUACCGCGUAAUGAAGCUCCAAAUGAUCAACCUCUGAUGCCUCCUCCUUCUAGGGUUCUAUCCAGUACUGAGGCUCCGAAUGAUCCCCCUCCGGUGCCUUCUCUUUCUGGGGCUCUACCGACUGCGAGACUUGUCCUAAGCAACCUUUGUGAAGGCUCCCUCUAGUUUGUUUAUUUUGACUCAUGUAUAUGUACAUAUUUGUAGCCUAUCAGGGAUAUCAAUAAAUAAGUUUUCCUUCAUUUCAACAUAUUGUGUUAAAUACACCAAAGCCUUCUUCGCUAAGUUCUUUGAAUUUUCUUUUGUUGAAGCUUGUAUGUUGAAGCUUUGUGAGUGGAGCAUGUAGGUUGAGGUAGUGUUCCUUUAAUUUCCCGAGUGAGGAAAACUUCUCGGUUGGAGACUUGAAAAAUCCAAGUCACUGAGUGGGAUCGGCUAUAUGAAUCUUAGAACGCCAUUGUGCUCGGUCCCGUGUCAUGUCCUUCGUUAGAUCCAAGUACUCUUAAGUCUUUUCUUAGAGUCUCUUCCAAAGUUUUCCUAGGUCUUCCUCUACCACUUCGGCCCUGAACCUCUGUCCCAUAGUCGCAUCUUCUAAUCGGAGCGUCAGUAGGCCUUCUUUGCACAUGUCCAAACCACCAUAACCGAUUUUCUCUCAUCUUUCCUUCAAUUUCGGCUACUCCUACUUUACCCCGGAUAUCCUCAUUCCUAAUCUUAUCCUUUCUCGUGUGCUCACACAUCCAACGAAGCAUCCUCAUCUCCGCUACACCCAUUUUGUGUACGUGUUGAUGUUUCACCGCCCAACAUUCUGUGCCAUACAGCAUCGCCGGCCUUAUUGCAGUCCUAUAAAAUUUUCCCUUGAGCUUCAGUGGCAUACGGCGGUCACAUAACACGCCGAAUGCACUCUUCCACUUCAUCCAUCCAGCUUGUAUUCUAUGGUUGAUAUCUCCAUCUAAUUCUCCGUUCUUUUGCAAGAUAGAUCCUAGGUAACGAAAACGAUCGCUCUUUGGUAUUUCUUGAUCUCCGAUCCUCACCCCUAACUCGUUUUGGCCUCCAUUUGCACUGAACUUGCACUCCAUAUAUUCUGUCUUUGAUCGGCUUAGGCGAAGACCUUUAGAUUCCAACGCUUCUCUCCAAAGGUUAAGCUUUGCAUUUACCCCUUCCUGAGUUUCAUCUAUCAACACUAUAUCGUCUGCGAAAAGCAUACACCAAAGAAUAUCAUCUUGAAUAUGUCCUGUUAACUCAUCCAUUACCAACGCAAAAAGGUAAGGACUUAAGGAUGAGCCUUGAUGUAAUCCUACAGUUAUGGGAAAGCUUUCGGUUUGUCUUUCAUGAGUUCUUACAGCAGUCUUUGCUCCUUCAUACAUAUCUUUUAUAGCUUGGAUAUAUGCUACUCGUACUCCUUUCUUCUCUAAAAUCCUCCAAAGAAUGUCUCUUGGGACCCUAUCAUACGCUUUUUCCAAAUCUAUAAAGACCAUGUGUAAAUCCUUUUUCCCAUCUCUAUAUCUUUCCAUCAAUCUUCGUAAGAGAUAGAUUGCCUCCAUGGUUGAGCGCCCUGGCAUGAACCCGAAUUGGUUGUCCGAAACCCGUGUCUCUUGCCUCAAUCUAUGCUCAAUGACUCUCUCUCAGAGCUUCAUUGUAUGACUCAUUAACUUAAUACCCCUAUAGUUCAUGUAAUUUUGUACGUCGCCCUUAUUCUUGUAGAUAGGCACCAAAAUGCUCGUUCGCCACUCAUUUGGCAUCUUCUUCGUUUUCAAAAUCCUAUUGAAAAGGUCAGUGAGCCAUGUUAUACCUGUCUCUUCCAAAACUUUCCACACUUCGAUUGGUAUAUCGUUUGGGCCUAUUGCUUUUCUAUGUUUCAUCUUCUUCAAAGCUACAACUACUUGGAAAAAGCGUAUCAUACGCUCCCAAACAACUUUGAGUGGAAUCGUUCGAAAAGAAGUUUCUAUGGCCCCCUUGCUCAUUUAACACUGCAUCCGGAUGCUGAUGGAGAUACAGCGACCCUUGCUCACUUAUCACUGUGCUCGGGCCACACAGCGCGCCACUUACGGGUGACGCCCUAGAUUUAGCGCGAUUUCGUUCUGGAUUCAUUUUCAUAAGGAUUCGACGUGAUCAUGGAGUGCCGGCUGUCGACUACCUGACGCCCUCCCCCUCCUCCUUUAUCCGGGCUUGGGACCGGCAAUGUAAGAACAUAGGCGGAGUUAACUGAAAUGAUAACUGAAACAUAAAUAAAUUUAGAAUUCAAGACUAACCUGUGUAGCUAAUAUAUUCUAGCUUGAUUGUAGCUAAUAUUUUUUAAAUCGAAUGAAUGUUGUUCUUAAUCCACUAUAAUCUGAACAUUAAAUUUGGUAUUCAUGACUAACCUGUGUCACGAACUUUAGCCAUUUCUUUGAUGGAUCCUUAAAAUGAUGUGGAGAUGUUACGCCAUUACUCUUCCCCAUCUAUAGCAACAUUAAGAUUCGUUUUACUCUUUUCAUCUUCUGAUAACCGCACAGCUUCAAUGACUGCUCUUCUCUGUUGCCCAUGUCCAUAUAUAAAAAAUUCUGGUGUGCGCUCAAGUCUAAAACACAAGCCAACAUAACAGACUCAGCUAUACCACCAUAGGUAUGGUGUUCAAAAUCAAGGGAGGUGAAUCAAUAGCUUACUUCUCAGCAUGUGAUCGGCAAAGUUGCAAUGAAAAUGAAUGAAAUGUACUGAUUGUUAGUAGUUUUGCCGUUCCUUUCCCAGUCACAGAUCCAAUUCGAUCUCUCAUCUCGGAAGCUGCUGCUGUAGUGAAAGUCAUUGCUAGAAUGUUAGACGCGCUCAUGCCCUAAGAACACAAAAAAAAAAGGAAUAAGAUUUCGAUCAUAAACAAGAAAUGUAGAGAAACAGACAAUUAAGAAAGAAAAAGUUAGAGGGAAAGUGGCAACACCUCAUUGAGCAGCAUUAGAACCCGCCCAACCAUCGUUGAAGUCUUUCCACUUCCAGGGCCGGCAACAAUCAUCAAAGGUACUGAAAUAUCGCUGCAAGCUGCCUCCCGCUGCCUUUCGUUGAGAGAAAGCAAAUACUUCGAAUACUCAUCCGGCAUGUUAGGCAAUCCAUGGUUAACAGAAUCUGUUUGGUUUUCACUACUCAGAGGUGGCGCUGAUGCGGCAUUAACAUCGCUACCACAACUCCCAAUAUCAUCACGCUGAAUGUCCCCACUCGGUUUCUGCUCAAUUAAAGCGUCAAUUUCCUGCAAAAUACUCUCAUCGAAAUCAUCAUCCUCGAGAAUUCCAGACGCAGAGAAAGAAUCGAAUGAAGUCGGAAACUGCGGUUGUUUGAUUGGAAUUGUGAAAGAAUCCGAUUUUGACACGCUUGAUUCAGUCCGGCUAGCGCUUAAGCUCCCGGAACACGACGCACUGCCAUAUUCAGUCCGGCUUGUAGAAAUCGGAGGCGGUGUGUUCAUCGGUAGCUCGGCAAGAGGAGUUCUGUGAACUCUAUUGAGCUGAGCUGGCGUUUGGAUUCCAUUUCCGCCACAAAUUCUGGAAUUUGAAAAACACAAUUGAAUUGAUUUAAAUUGAAUCAAGAAAACAGCCGAGUACCAAAAAAGUAGUAAGAAGAUGAAAUCUUUGAUUCCUGAACGACUUACUUGGUAUGAGGGAGGUGAUGAUCAGUCAAAACGGCGUCGUUGCGGGGGCGUUUGCGAUCAAUGAGGGCCUUGGCGGCUCUGAAAUUCCCAGAGAUGCGGUUUCUUUUGAUAGGAUCACAGAUCUCAGGACCCUAUUCAACCUACAAGCAGCAAUAGAAAUGACAAAUGGAGAAGACGAAGUAGAAGGGAGCAGGGCUCCAAUAUAUUUUUUUGGUUUUGUAUUUCUGUUUGUAAAAUCUGAUCUGCUACAUUUGAGGGAGCUGGACUCCUUUUAUACAAACUCUACUUCUUAAAAUGCCAGCUGGCAUAUUUAACAAUUCUUAACAAAUCAAUUAAAGCAUAAAACCUCAGUAAUAAUUUGGGUCAUAACAAUACUUCCCCCUUGAAGAACAACCUUGUCCUCAAGGUUGAAAGUUGAAAAACUUAUUUGAACGAGUAGAAACUAGGAGUCUUGCAACAGAAGGGAAGCUGCAGGGACUGCAAAUACAAUCUGCAUGUAGCUCUCAACUUUUGGAGAUGAGCCUGACAGCACCCCUGUACUUGUUAUGGCAGCUCCCCACAACUUGGUAAGUGAGCACUUGUUACCCGUAGCCUCUUCAUAAAUUUCAACCCACGAUAUCAUUUCAACUUCCAUGCUAGUUGCCAAAAAGCAUGCAGCAUCAAAUGGAGAAAAUGGGCCAACUCCCAGGGAACCUGCCAGAGGAUCAUUCUCAACGAAUGCAGCUACUAAAGCAAUUGGACCCUUGCCAAGAAUUAUAACCUUAGAGAUGGUUAUGAGCCUGAUAUCCUCAAAAGCAAGACGAGCGGUCUGAUUGAUAAGAGACUGCCUAAGAUUAACUAUCCUCUUCUUAGGUCCAACACACCAUUCCUUGCUCCGAAUGUAGCCAUCCUUCAUCACACCAAACCGAGGGAAGCCACCCAUGGGAGUGAUGUCUUUCUCAGUCAUCUUCCCCUCAUGGAGGCACAUUUCAUAGUUUUUUUCAGUGAAACUAGGACCACCUAAUGUCGGAUUGUCAAAAAACUCCUGAAAUAAGCUGAUGGAUGGGAGCAGUCUAUAUUGGAUAUUGAAACUUGCAAUUCUUUCUGAAUCAUUGAAAUCACUGUACUUUAAACUGUCAUUAGCAACACCGAUAUUAUGCAUGGAAGAUUUAAAGGACCUGAGCAAACCCAAAGCUUCAACCAUGUCCUUCAUCACCUCUGUUAAGGUGUACAAUUGGCAUUUGAAUUCAUAUGAUGGCUCAAUAGUAUCAAGUUCCAAAAAUUUAAACAACUCAUUUUGCCAACUUACACUCACGGUAAGACAAACAUGCAAAAACCAUGCAAAGACAAAUAUGUUGGACAUCCUUUCUGAAGAACAGGCAAAGAAAUAACACCAACAGCAACCAAAUGAAAUAACACCAGCAGCAACCAAUACAUUGAUGUGUACCAUAUUGUCUAACAAAAUUACUUUAAGCUGAUGACUGACUUUGCAGAUACGUCCAUAAUCGUACAACCAUGCAUAAACACUAGCACCAUCAAAUCUUAGAUUUGGCCUGAAUACUAUUACCUCUUCACUACCAAAAGUGAGCAUCUGAAUACGUCUGCCGGUUUUCUUAUGAUGCAACUCCAGCUCUACCAACAUCCAUCUUUUACCAAUCACAUAAGAGAAAACAUAAUGACUUACACAAUGUUGCUCAGGUACAGUCAUAUAUGGUGUUGUCCGAGAUUUCCAUUGCUCCUUGAAAUGCAUUCCAUAAACCAAGAAAAAUAAGAUUGAAGUAGUAGUUGUUCCAUCCUCCUUGAAAGAGAUGAGAAUGCAGGGCCUCUCCAUCAACCAUAUUGUAUAAUUCCUCUGAUUGAAGACAACCCUUUGAGAAGAUAUAUUGUCACAAGGAUUAGUGAGAGUGUGACACCAACCCGGUUGCUGGAAAAUCUGGUCAUUCGCUACGCAAUUAGGAAAGAAAACAGUAUCGAGGUGUACAUCAACACUAUUACAUAAUUCCGGAUUCAAUUUCGAUAACAAGCUGGUGAGAAUAGAAUAGUCAAGCUGGGAAAUGGCCAUGACUGUUAAUGCACAUCUGUGUAACAGUGAUAAGCAGAGGAACUGCUUGAUAGCAUUGAUAUAACCCAAAGUCCCAUUCUCCUCAGUCAAACUAGCUGCAAGAUCUUUAGGCAAAGAACGACAAACAAGUACAACAAUAUCCAAAGCUUCCAGGUUGCUACUCAAUGACAUAUUCUCCAUAUUAUGCCUCUUAGACAUUUCAUCAAAUAGAUGCAAUGCAUAGAAAUUCUUCUUCACAAAUUUACCCACAAGGUACCAAUUAACCCAGCCAUACUUAGCAUUCAAAAAAACAUGAUAUACAAUCGCAUUAUGACCAGUAUAGCAUGCAAUUACACCAUACAAAAGCAAUACCUCAUGUCCACGUACCAUUCCUAACUCCCAUAGCCCACUAGGUAGCUGAUACCAAACAUGAAGUUUCUUCUUGAUGAAAUAUCCAAUGUUGUCAUCGUAAACCGACUGUGUAAUCUUCUCUCCCAGUCUCAUUCGACAAUCUUCCAGUGGCCUAAUUUUGGAGCCUCCACCCUUAUCCCGAAUGCCAUUGCAGUAGCACAUGUCACGAUUGAGAACAACAUAGCCACUUGAGUCUGGAAUUUCAUCAAACAGGUUCCAUGCACAAAAAUCCUCAGGUCCAUUUUUCGUAGUAUCAGAGAACGAGUGCUUAUGGAGUAGCCGCGGAGCAGAGGUCAUCGUCUUCGAUCCCGGAAGCAAAAUUGUAGCUGCAUCAGAGUUGUUCGAGUGUGGCUUCACGGGCGGAGUUGCCAGUGCUUGCAACAACGGUGAAGAUGAGAGUAACGGCGGAACGGAAUGGACUUCAAUUGGCGAUGGAAUUCUCGGUGGAUUGUCGUCUCCUUGAAGUCCGGGAUGAUCGAGAUUGAUUGAUUGAAUCGUUGGGGUAGGAUCGGAAACUUCCCCGACACCAAGAGUCAAGUGAUGGCGGAACAGAGCAAGGUCACGGCGGACUGCGGCGGCUAUUGAAUCUAUAGCCUUGUGGAAAGCCUCCUCCGUACGCCUGAAUGUUUUCCUUGGACAUUGCUUCGAAGAUUCCGACGGAAGAUUUGGCCUGACAGCCUGACCAGGCAACCCUAGAAAGAAGAAGGAGCGAAGAAGACCAAAUGUGUCCGUUUUUCCUUUGGUUUUUUUCCCUCCUAAUCGAGUUGUUCGAAAUAAUUGGGCCUGGGCCUAGUGGGCCCAAUUGUCAGGCCCAUUAUCUCCUGUCUUCUAGUUCUACUUCCAAUUUCCCAAGUUAACAACGUACUGGUUCGCUUUUAGCGCGAGAGAGAAAUGGAGGCCCUGAUUGCCUCGUACGGAGACUCGUCGUCGGACUCAGACUCCGAGUCGCCGGCUCCACCUCCACCGCCACCUCCGGAGCUCAAAAACUCUCAAGAAUCGACCACUGCGCUGCCUCCACCUCCUCUGUCACUUCUCGACAGCCCAAUUCCUUCGGUAACCUCUGAUUCCCAUAAAUAUUCUAUCUUUUAACUUUCUGUUGUGAUGGCUUUUUCCGAGUUGCCCACCAAGUGUUUGAUGUUUUGCCUCUAAAGGAUUUCUGGACUUCUCCCCAAGCGCCCAGCCGAGCAGAGUUCGGAACUUUCCUCACGUCGAAGGGAACUACGCAGUACAUGUAUACAUCCCAGGUAAUCAAAAUUCUCGAAAUUUUCAGCUCCAUUAGCAAAUGCGAUCCCUUUGCACUUAGAUUUUGCUUGUUUAAUUGUGUGGUUCCAGUUUAUAUACCACCAGCACCAAGGAAAGAGAUGGCCUUGUUUUUGAACAAGCUUGCUUCUCUGGUGCCUGGUCUCCACGCCGUUGACGUUGACGUCCCGCUUGACAUUCUGCGUAAGGACGAGCAUAAGCUUGAACAAGUUGCUUUAGGCAGAGAGUUCCAUAUAAGUCUCGGAAGAACUGUUCCGAUUCGGGUGCACCAGAUUAAUUCCUUGGUGACAAUGCUGCGGCAGAAGCUUCAGAUUCAGAGGCGGUAUGGUUGCAUUUACCUUCUCUUGUGUGCAUUGCGUGAAUUUAGUUCUGUUAUUUAACAUAAUUGUUUAAGCCUGCAGAUAUUUUGUCCAUUUUUGGUUUUUAACACAUUUGGUUAUUGUGGAACAGGUAUUGGAUUGAUUUUUGCAAGUAGGAGGUUUUUGUUAACGAUGAUCAGACCCGGACCUUUGUGUCGAUCGAAGUCAUUGCUGCUGGGUUAGCUGAGGUAUGAUUGCUAGCUUUCUCUCUUGGUGCAAUUCAAAAUGUUUUGAGUUGUUUAUGGACUUAAGAUUUAGCAAGUACUUGCCGAAGGUCAUGGGAUUUUGAAAUAUCGAUAUCUUGCUUAUAGAUUGUUUGGUCUUCGAUGCACUUGUUACCUGAAAAGUAAAAAUGUAAAAGAUCAUGAAAAGUCCAAACGAAACAUAAUGGAUGUAUGAUAUGCUCAUGCUUCUAACAUGUGUUGUCCUGGCAUAAAUUAUGUUCCAAAUACCGUCAUUUGCGUGUAAGCCUAUGAACUUAGAGCACGUUUGGUAUGCCGGGUAAGAUUGGAUUUGGUAUUUCAGACUGCUUAGGUUAGGAUUGGAUUGGGUAGGUUAGGUUUUUUGUCUAAUGUUUGGUGUAGACUGUCGCAACAACGCUCGUGAGCCUCCACAUCCAUUGCAAUCUUGCACCACUCUGAUGUCCUGGAGGAGCGAAACAUGGUUACUUGAAGCAUACCUGUUUUCGUAUUAAUACAUGGUUGAAUCAGCUUUCAUUGUCAAUCAGUCUGUAAUAUUUCAACUUCCAUUGAUUUCAGAUAACAAAGCAGAUUCAAGCUGUCAAUGAGGUGUAUAUGCUUCACAAUCUUCCUGAAUUUUACAAGGUUAGCAUUUCGUGUUUUUCAAACUUGAAUCACUUCCUGAACAUAUGACAAUAUAUUGGAGCAAAUGGUUGUGCAUGAAUACUACUCAUUGCUCAGAGGGUGUUGCUGAUCACAGGAUCCGCGUCCUCAUAUUUCGGUAGCUUAGGCAUUGGGUGACAUCAGCAAUUCCCUGAAGAAAGUGGUUGAAGAAGAAAGACGAAGAUCUACCAUCGGAGGAUCGUUACAGAAAUGUAUUUUUACCAGUAAAUUCAAUGGUAUCGAAUGUAGGAUUGGUAAUAAAACACACAAAAUAUGUAAAUUUUCUGAAGAAUAAUGUAGCCAUUUAACUAUAUUGUGAAAUUCCGAGAAUAUAUCGCUGAGCAUUGGAUGAGAAGACAUUUCUUCGUUGGUGUCGAACUUCAUGUUGAAGGUAUUGACACCAGUGUAAACGCCAUCAUCCAUGUUGAUGGUAAUUACUUCCCAGCUACUAAGGGUGUCGGAACAACCUUGCACGCAGCCUCCUGUGCAUUACUUAGUAUUGUCUCAGUUUCUCCAAACUUGAAUGCUCCUGUAAACCCACUUUUGACCUUUCCGUCAUCUGUGAUUACCGGAAUGCUGGCUAGGAUGUUGCCGUUGACCUCCCAAACUUAAAAUACCGGAAAGCCGGCUCCAAUGUAUGCGAGAGCUCCACCUCUAUUGUUGUAACAGCAUCUGAUGCGUACUAGUCCUUUAUUCCCGUUACUCUUUGCCAUCUCCACUUGGAACUUGGCGUAAUGGCUCCCGGCCUCCUCUCCGGUGAAAUUGAGCAACCCCGGAGCUGGCGUGCCAUCAAGAUUUCCGUCAUGUCUGUAGCGAAAGUAUUCGCUGUUGUGGUUUGGUUUCACCACUAUAAAUCUUGGCAGAGUUGGCAUUUUCAUUUCUGUUGUCUGUAUAUCUUGAUAUUACAAGUAUUUGUUGUGCAAUAUGCAUGCUAUGUUCAUGUUAUGCGUAUAUACAUAUAUAAGUGUUUUAACACUUUGCAAACGUUUUCUCCAAAAUUUUGAUUUUGGUGGUGUUCUAACUUUUGUGAAUGCUAAUAACAAUUCCCUCAUUAACUGUUAGGACGAGCAACAAAACAGUUUUGAUUCUGUGCACAAAGGCGAUCCCUCGUAAGAAAUUGAUUCUUCAACAGAAAGAUGUUUUAAAACAAAUUUGAAGGGAAGGAAAUAUUUGAAUCGCAUUCAGAUGUCUGGUCAAAUUCUUGAACAGUUGAUAUACACAGAAGUUCCUUGUUUAUGUCACUACUUAUGAGAGGAUGUACGCAUUGCAUUCGCAUCAAAAGAGAGAGAGAGAGAGAGAGAGAGAGAGAGAGAGAGAGAGAGAGAGAGAGAGAGAGAGAGAGAGAGAGAAGGUUGUCAGUGGUAAGGGAACGAAUAACGAUGGCGUUGCGCUUCUAAUCAAAGGGGUCGAUCCGAGGGUCGUGUUCACUUGCCAUCGCCAUUCCAGUGCAAAGGCAUGUAGGGCACAUUACCUGCCACAUUAAAAACGCGAUGUUAGAUAUACUCGCCAUUUGGAAGUCAACCCUCAAAAUUUGCUACUAAAUUAUCUUAAACUCCAUUUCCAGUCAAUUUUUUUUCUUCCGAAAUGUCUUUCACGUGCUUAGGGAUAGGCAAAUACCCAUUGGUUAUAGGUAAUCGCGGUUACUCGCCCAUUUAAAUUAAACAGUUACGGUUAUGGCUAACUGUUUAGAUAAAUAAACGGUUAUGGGUAUAACCGUUUACCCGUAAAAUUUAAAUGGAUGGUUAUGAGUAUUAACCAUGGUUAUAAACGAGUAACCGUUUACCCAUUUAUUUUAUAUAUGUAAAGCUAACACAAAUCAUGUUCUCCAUCCAAUAAUACUUAGCACCCAAUAAAUUAGCAAGGAAUUCAUCGAUCAUUCUCUCAAUAACACUACUACAUGAAUGAUGAUUCCCAUCAUCAAGGAAUUUGCCAAAUUAAUUUAAAUUCCUUGUGGGUAACCGUGAAAUUGACAGAAAUACUUUAACAAAAAUGUCUUCUAAACAAUUUUUGUAACCCAAUAAUACUUAGCAAAUAUUAUAUUUACCUUCAUUGGUAACAGUUAAAAAUAUCGUCCGUAAACUAUUAUUUCAAUUAUUGGAAUGGUAUAAAGACUUAAAAAAUUAAAAUAUAAAAAUGUAUGACGAAUGUACCUAUAACGGUGUUUAAUUGUCAAAAAAAAAAUUAUGACAAUUUUUUUUAAUUUUCAAGUUGUUAAAAAACAUGUAGACUGGUGAAAAAAAGGUAAUGGUAAAAAGAAAAGAUAAACGGAUUAAAAAUGAUAAAUGGUAUACGGGUAUUAAAUUGUUACGGUUAAAUGGCUAUGCGGUUAUGGGUAUGGUUAACCGUUUAUAAAUGGUUAUGAGUAUGAGUAUAACCAUUUAGGCAAUUACCCAACGGGUAAACGGUUAUGUAGGUAUGAGCAUAAACGGUUAUGGGUAAAUUAACCGCGGUUACCCGCCCGCAUAACCAUCCCUACACGUGCUCGACAAACACAACAGUCACCAAUCAUGUGAAUCAGCUAUUCCUCAAUGUAUAUGAUGAAACAAGUGCAUCCCAGAGGCAGGCACGAAGAGGAAUUUACUAUGCAAUAAACAUUCAAUGGGUACAAUUUUAUGUCUAACCUUUCCCGCUCCUGAGCAAUUUGAACAUCUUUCAGUUUUUGGCAGUGAAAGGGGCUGGUUUCCGCCAUCAACUGUUGAAAUUGGUUCGGUAAGAACAAGGGUUCCAGUGCUGGAGCAACGAGCACAAGCAAGAUAUCCUGCAUAAGUAUCAAAUACACCGGUUAGUUGACAUAUGAAGGAUUGGUUUGGUAUUGCUGUGCUUUGAAAAAAAAACUGCUGUGAGAAUAAGCGGCUGUGCUGUGAAAAUAAGCGGCUGUGAAAUAAAUCAGCAGAGUGUUUGGUAAACUUUUUUGUAAAAGUGUUUUUGGAAAAAAAAAAGUCUAAUAGUGGGUCUUUUCAUUAAAGAAACACUGUAGCUCCAUGUGCUUUGAAAAAAACCAGUUUUCCAAAGCUACAAAUAGCAGCUUCAGCUUUUUCCUUUGAUUUCAGCUUAUUCUCACAGCAGCUUCCAAAAUAAGCCUUUUUUUUUUCAGUUUACCAAACACCUAAAACCCUCACAGCUUUUUUUCAUGGGUGCUUUUUUUUUAAGCACCUCACUCCCAAACUUGGUUUGGUAUUGCUGUGCUUUGAAAAAAAGCUGCUGUGAGAAUAAGCGGCUGUGAAAUAAAUCAGCUAAGUGUUUGGUAAAUUUUUUUGUAAAAGUGUUUUUGGAAAAAAACAGUCUGAUAGUGGGUCUUUUCAUUAAAGAAGCACUGUAACUCCGUGUGCUUUGAAAAAAAACCAAUUUUCCAAAGCUACAAAUAGCAGCAUCAGCUUUUUCCUUUGAUUUCAGCUUAUUCUCACAGCAGCUUCUAAAAUAAGCCUUUUUUUUUUCAGUUUACCAAACACCUAAAACUCUCAUAGUUUUUUUUCAUGAGUGCUUUUUUUUUAAGCACCUCACUCCCAAACUAGGUCAACCAAUCCAAACAUCUCCAUCGUAUAUAUUUAAAGCUACGGUACAUAUGACUAAAAGUGAGAAACAUAGGACAUUAUCACACCAGUUCCAAGACAAUAUUUGCAUCGCUUAUGCUCCUGCUGUUUCACAUUGCUUAUUUCAACUACCAUCAAUGCUGAGAUCACUCCGACUGCUCCUCCAGAGAACGAUGCCACUAUGGGAUCAACUUGACUGCAGAUUGAAAGUAUAUGAGAUCAAUAAACGAAACUGAUAACAAUGUAGUAUUAACAUUAUUUAGCUCCAUGUCAAGAUAGACAACACAUCCUAGAUUUUUCUAAUGUGUAAAAUUUGAGGACCCUCGUAAAAUUUGACCACAUCGGUUCCCAAAGUAAAAUUUAGUACCUUUGGUUCCUACAUUACAGACCGAAAAUAGUAACUACCGAAUUUAAAGUUCAUAUCAAGAUAGAGGAUACAAAAUUUCGAAACGAUAAUUGCUAGAGAACAGGAGGGUUAAUAGCCCGAGAUAUGAGCCAUACCUCAACUGCAACGGCAGAUGCAUAUUUACUAUAAAAUCUUUAUACGAUGUGCCUCCUAUUCCCAGCUUCAACUCCAACUGAAAGAUGUAAACGUAAUUGUCGGCAGAGAGUUAGAAACAUAACCGAAUCCAUGUUUUAUAAGCAGAAAGUACACUUAUUUGACAUGCUUCCUCAUUUUUUUACUUGCAAAUUCAAAACCGUAUUGUCAGACCAGUAAAAUAAAAUAAUGUUUACUAAUAACUGUUAAAACUAAUCACAACAAGUUAAUGCAUAAAGAACUUACGGAGGGUGCUAUGAGGCCACCGAAAAGGAUAAACCCCGCAAUAAUUGAAUAACAUACAGCAUAAUACUGCUUAAGGUUGUCUGAACUCUGCAAGCAAUGCAUUCACCUUGUGAUUAAUACUUUUGCACAAACACUAGUUUUCGCAAUUUUUUAUGAACCGACAAAAGGCUACAACAAAAUAUGGCUAAAACAUGUCGGGGAUAUGAAAAUACAUGUCUUCACAGGGGCAGCAGCUUACCAGGGGAGGCAAAAAUGGAAUGAAUGAUGGAAAACUUGAUCUUCAUUUACCGCUCCAAGCUCUGCGCGUUUAAUCCGUUUAAUCCGCUGUUGUAUCCUCAGCCUGCGAACCUACGCAUAUCGAAGCUCAUUCUUAAAGAACACAUUUCUAAGGGCAAUUGGAGAGUAAUUUGAAACAUGCUAAACUGAGAAAGUGGCAGCAACUAGCAAUUGCUCUCACCUCCUCCGUAUGCAAGAAAAUUUUGUUGCGCCGACUCCGAAUAUUAUCUUGAAUUUCCUGCAGCUCCAUUGUCGCAAAGUCCUGCACUGUUUCAGGCCCCUCUAUGAUACAAAAUCUGCACAAUUAAGCAUGUAACAACUAAAACUUACAGGCUACAAAGCAAUUUCCGUAUCAUUUUUGGGUUAAUUAACAUCAACAGCAGAUAAAUCACAUGAGUUUUUCACAUGAAGUUACAAACCUUCAGAGACCAGUAAGCUCUCUGCAAUCUCAUAAAUUUCACUGUGCAAAGUAACAAUCCAAAGCUUGGAACUUUAAAUUUCCAUUUUCUGUUAUUUUCCUAGAGAGAGAGGGGGGAGUACCCGGCGGGGUUUGUAUCGGCGGCGGGUUUAGGAUCAGAAUCGACAGACGGAGCGAACGAGGAGGAGUCGGGCUCCGAAGCCAUGGCCAGGGAUCGCCAUCUGGAGCUGCUUGUUGAUAUGGGGCUUCUUGCGUAGCUGAAUUUGGAGCAGCGGAAGCUAUGCAGUUUGUACGGACCGCACCGAUUUACGGGGAAAGAAACGGCCAAAAGUCUGCCGGAGCAGAGCAUCUCUCUCUCUCUCUCUCUCAAACCAGAAGGCAGAGCUUUCUGUUUCUCUUGAGGUUUCUUUCACUGGUAAAUUCCAGACAAGCAGAGAAGGCGGCUCUCUGAGAAAUGGCGAUGGUGCAAGUGGAGACAAAACAAAUGUAAAUCUUGAAGCACCGAACAUGUGCAGAACACUUGUCAACUACCGAACUCUAGGAUUAGGAGAGAGAGAGAGAGAGCGAGUGACCGGCCAAAAAAAAAUGGAGGGAAGUGGCUGAUUCUUCUUUUUAGUGGACCUGGUGUCCUUCGAUUCGAGUACUAUGUCAUAUUUAAAAUUUAGGGUUAAUUUUGUUUAAGUUUCUUAGUUUUCAACAUUUAGUACAUAAAGUUUUUUUCAUCUCAGAGUGGUACAUAAAGUCAUAAUUUUGAGACAGUCUAAUACAUCCGUUAAGGUUGCUGUUAAAUCAACCGUUAAAUAGUGACGUGGCGUCUAGGUGGAUAUUGACUGGACGACACGUAUCAUUAUGGGUCCAUGUGGAUAUUAAAAAAUUAAAAAAAAAAAAUUAAUGGGCCGUUCAACCCCUCCUCCCUCGACCCCCUCCCUUCUCUCCUCUGCACCCACCCUCCCCACGUCUGCAACCCAUCCCCACGUCGUCAUCUUCUUCUUUGCCCAGAUCCCGCAAGAAUCUUCUUCGUCGCCGACAACUCAGCCACCAUCUCCAUCUCCGCCUUCCCCUCCUCCGAACCCGACUCCUACCCACUUCCAGUUCCAAUUCACCCUCUCCCAAUUUGCCCACUUCUUGUCCGAUUUUCGCGCCACUAUUGAACCCGAGCCCGACCCACAAAGAUGCUUAGAUUCUGAAAAAGAGAUGACACAAAUGCAAGAAAUGGAAAGCAGUGUGGUUUAGAGGUUAGAAACUGAGCAAUUUUUGGAUUGCUUUUUGGUUUGAUCAAUUUAAAGAAAUGAAAUUCUGAGUCGAAUUUCUUGUUCGUUAUAUUCGAUCUCCGCUUGAGAAUUUUAAACUUAAUAAUUGCAAAUCAAGAUACAAAAUUGACAUGAAUUUCGAAUUGGGGUUUUGGGAAAUUUGAGAAGUUCUUGGCGAUUCAUAAGAAACUUCAACUCCCAAUCGUUUCUUCUCGCUCACAACCCGAGAUUAAUAAUUUUAAAGUUUGAGCUUGAAUGUUCUUUGUAAUUAAAGAACAGAUGUGCAUCCCUCUGAAUGGCAAGAGGGUGAAUAGGAAGCGAAAAUCGGUGUGUGGCAAAUCGGAGAGGGUUAGGGAAAAAGUUUAGAGUCGGGUUCGGAUGAGGGGAGGGCGGGGUUAUAUUUUUUGUCGAGGCGAAGAAGAUUCUGCGGGAUCUGGGCGAAGGAAGAUUGACAUGGAGGGUGGGUGCACAGGAGAUAAGGGAGGGGGUCAAGGGAGGAGGGUGAACGGCCCAAUUUUUUUUUUUUUUUGGGUCAUUUGGACCAUCUCACUCAUCACCUAAGACGCCACGAUCUAAUAUUAAUUCCGGUUGACUUUGUAAAUUGGAUGUAUUAAUUAACAAACAUAGAUUAGGACAUUGAUGAUUUAAAAUUUGGGGUUUUGUUCUUCAGAAAUUUGGUCGAAAUAAGAAAUUCCCUAAAAGUUCAAUUCAGAAGAGUUACUUGCCUUACAAACAUUUUUUAAAUACUUACUAAGAAAAAGAUUUUUGUGGGUGGGUACAGUAUGGGGUUUAACUCAUUGUGUUUUAGUUUAAAUCUUUUUCUCUCUUCUUUAAUAAUAUUUAGUAUAUUAUCAAUUCGUAAUAAAAAAAUUUUGAUUAAAAACUCUCAUCUAUAUUCUAGCCAAUGGAAAAAAAUGAAUAGUGAUUUUGAUGUUGCUUUAACAAAAUAUUUUUUAAAAACAAUGGACGGCUUUCAACAAAAAAUUUGAGUAAGAGGGGUUUUGCCUUAAGUAAUUUUUGAAAUUGAAUUCAUGGUGGUUUUUUGAUUUUAUUAAAUUAGUCCCUCCCAGCAAAAAUGUGAUCAAUUUCUCUAUAAAAGAAAUAUAAGAUAUAAAUGAGAUAAUAAAGGGGUCAUUAAUAAAGAGUUGAUGAUUGUUUUUUUUUUUUUACAAUUCACACUAAGGGGGAAUAAUUGAUUUCUUUGUUGGUGUUCAAAAGCUUUUAAAUUUAUCUCUUUAAAAUAGUUUUAAUAAUCUUUUAAUGUGUUUAGUUGCCAAAAUUUUAUUUUUUUAGCAAUGAUAUUAUCUCAAUUUGAUUGGGCUUAAAUUUCUCUUAUUUUUCAUUAAUUUUCAUAUUCAAAACAUCUUAAAUGUCGUAAAUGCCGAUCAAAUAACUCUUUUCUUUUUAAUUAAUUAAUCUAAAAUUAAGUAAAAAUGAAAUUAUUACAGAGAUUUUCGAAAACCAAAUUUACAUUAUUGAUUUUUUUAACCUUUUUACAAACAAUAUAUCUAGUCUUUUUGUUUUACAAAGUAAUAUUGAAUUUUUUCACAAGAAGGCUAACAUAUCACAUUCAUUGAUUCAUGAUCAAUAUUUAAAAGUCAAAAAAAUAUUAGUAACCAUUCUCUAUUUUAACACAAUGUUCCAAGAAACAAUCUAGGGAUUAUCGGAUUUAAUGACCAAGAGGUUGGAAUUUUCCCCGUAAAUAAAUGAAUUGUUAACAACAAACAUAAAAAACAAAGCAAUAAAGAAUUCAGAUAGUGAAUACCUACUAAACCAUGUGAACACAAGCAAAAUACUUCAGAAUCACAUGUUGUCGAAAAAAUACGACUAUUUCUAAUCAGAAUUACAAUAUACCACGUUUUGCCCAUCACAUAAAAUCCAAAAACUAGUUAGGGAGCUCAAAAAGGGAGCGGGUUUGGAAACCACUGAUACACGAAGUAAAGAGGUGGUACUGUUUUGGUAAAACACAAAAGGUGCGAAACAAAGUAAACAAAACGGAAGGAAGAUGUUAUAGUCAUUCUCAGCAACAAAAUUCGAGCUUGUUGUCGAAAUCACAACAGGAGACAAUUUCGAUUAACAGCCUUUCCUGCCAAACUCAAUUUCCAAAAUCCUACAUCACAUCAUAAAUCCAUUGUUUCAUUCCCACGCACAAUCCCUACCCACUGCACAGGAGAACAAUUGUUUCUGCAAAGAAAAAACAGUUAACAAAAAACGGCAUGCAUAUCGCAAAAUCGGGAUAGGAAGCAGAAGCUUUCCUUGUUUUCCUUAAACACCAAGCUCUACAUUCCAAAAAGAACAUGAAAAAAUAAAAUUAAAUAAAGAGCCUUUCCUGCUUAUUUUGAAUUAAGGCGGGGAGGUCGAGACACGGCUGGUGUAUUUUUGUUUUUUUAAUUGUCAAACUGCCCAGGACACGCUGGGCAUUUUUUUUUUUGUUUAAACCUGGGCCCAAAACGACGCGUUUGCCAUUUAAAAAAAAAUUCCUUGGGUCAUUUACCAAUUCCUUUUUUCAAAAAAAAAUAACUGGCCCAGCGCCUUCGUCUUCUACAAAGGCACAAAAGCCCAAAAACCCCGACGAACCUUCCGUUUCACAGUUGGUGUGAGCGAACGGUGGUCGCACCAGGGGUCGCACCACCAGUCCAAGGGUCUUAAAGUUGCUUCAUGCUCUCCAAGGUCCGCGACGUGGUUGCGCACCCCAAUUGAACCGCACAGGAUCCGAAUGGCUUCUUCCCAUACAUGCCAUCGAAAUUCAGCAAAAGCAAUAACCAGCGAUUUCUUCUGGAGAAUUUAAGCCACCCCAUUGGACCAACAAUUCAAUCAAAAGAAACCAGUAACCAAGUUCAAUUGAGUUUAGAAGCAUUUACAAUGUUCCCACGGAUGUUCAUCACUUUACCCAAUAGUUCGUUUCAAGAAGGAAAUUCCAGCAGAACUGAAACUUCAAAACUUCAGAAGGCACCAAAUUUUUGAAGUAAAUUCAUUUCAAGUUGAAAUAAUCAACUUAGGUGAGGACCCAUAAAAUUAGGAGGAACAUGAAAGAAAGCUUUAUCUUUUUCCUCUAAACUCAGGCGUUACUAAACAAACGGACAUUCACAUCCCCACCAGAUGCAUUUCCUUUCACAUCUUCCCAAGUAAAUCAGUACCUUCUUUCGUCUGAAUCUUAAGUCUGAAUUCUGGAAGUGAAAAUACUGGAAAAAAGUGGGCCUUUAUAAAAGAAUACCUCACGUUUUAGUCAAUGUAUCAGCGCACUAAGAGGACCAGAGGCAGGAGUGAACGACAGCAAACAAUUCAUGUAAUAUUCAGUCGAGUUUUGGGUGAUUUCUGCAGCGAUUUCGGAGGCCAAGAGCCUGAUAAGAAAGCUGGGACGGAAGGGCAGUGGUCUGGAAGAAAAGGCUCGGGUCACACUGUCGCGAUUCGCGAAGGAGAAGUGGCCCAAUACAAUUUCGGCCUGUUUGCACUGGACUGUUUUGCACAGGGCCAAGGCCGACCCUGAACCAGAUAAAGCUUCUCCAAACAGUAUAUAUCAGGUGCUAGAAAUUCUAUAGAACCAUUCAAUCUUAGAGCAACAGCUUAGCAUUAGUUGGUACAAAAAGAUUUCCGAUUAUCGCUUUUAUUUAUUCCUCCUCUGAUGUGUCCUUUUAGACUGCAACAGACGAUUUAAAGAAAUGAAAGUUAGCAGAAUAAAUGGCGCACAAAGGGAUUUAAAAUCCUGACAUGUGUAUUUUUGGCAGAUUUAUGUGAGCAUGCAACUAAAACUGGCAUCACUAUCAAUGGUGCACGAAGAUUGGCGGAAAAACGUAAAGGGAAGCAAUCACAACACAAAAUGUACGACGUAAUCUGUCCACAUGUUGGAAGGAGCUAUGAAAGUAUGGCUUUUCACUAAUCAGGCGUCCAGAGAAUCAAUAUUUUACUCACGGAUCAGUUACGGAGAACAAUCCCCACCAAAGCAAUCUCAAUAGUCCUCCACAUCUCAAACCAAACAGAAAUCGCACUAACAAACACGACUUCUAUACUAUUAGUCCUUCCCAUCUCAAAUCUAGUAAGUAACCCAUCUUUCGUCUGAAUCUGGAAAACAAGCAGCAGUGGAUUUAAAAAUCUGGGUAUCUCAAAGUUACUCACUUUAAUCACAAAUUUAACAAUUAAACAUAUAAAUGGGCAUUUUUAGUGAAAUAUUAGUGUAGUACUCACUGUGUGCUAGGAGCAAGAGUACCCAGAAAGCUCAAUGAGCUGCGCACAGAGGACUGCAGCGGUGAACGAUAGCGACCAAUUCUGUAAAAUUCAGUCGAGUUUUGGGCAAUUUCUGCAGCAAUUUCGGAGGUCAAGAGGCUGAUAAGGAAAGCUGCGACCAAAGGGCACUGGUCUGGAAGAAAGGCUCUGGUCACCGCUGUCGCGAUUCGCAAAGGAAGAAGUGCCCCAAAACAAUUUUGGCCCUGGGCAGGUGCACUGUUUGCACUGGGACAGGGCCGGCCCUGAAUCGCGAUAACGUCCUUCUCCAAACAGUAUAUAUACAGAUGCUAGAAAUAUCUACCAGAACCAUUCAAUUCUAGCGUCUACAGCUUUAGCAUCAGCUGGUACAAGGGACAUUCU